rnacentral:lncRNA from 1 species
UAAAGAGCUGCAUCAUGCAACAGAUGCUUAGAAGCAAACAAGCAUAUUAUGUGGGUGGAUAGAUUUUCAUGCAAAGAUUUUAUUUUCGUCACUAAAAUAAUGACUUUGCUCUGAUCACCCGGUAUCUAUCUGACUUCCCAUUUAUUUGAGUGUAUGUUUUUGCUUCUACGUCAGAUCCUGUUUCACUUUUAGCGUAGGAAAAGCUAUAGAUCUUAUAUCUAAAGAGCGGAAACGACCUUCGUUAUGUCGAUAUCAGUGUCUUGUAUUGGGAGCCUCCUUAAAAUAAAUCAUAGUUAUCAAGUCUGCUUCAAAAUUUCCAACUCUUUUCAUCUUACCAUUUAGUCGAAGUCGACCUUUCAUAGAUUAUACUAAUGUCCCUUGUUUACUUGUCUAAAUGUAAAGUAAAUUAAAAGAAUGAACCCUUUUUUCAGUGACAAACAUCAUUAACUGACUAAUUAGUUCCGUUGUCAAAUAAGCCAAAUAGAUAUCGAUUUAUUAUCGAAGAAUCUCGGUAAAAUUUACAAAUGUGCCGUAGACGUUUCUCUAGUUCGUCAAUCAAAAGCAACAUAAAGCUUUUCUGUGGAUUCUGCUGUCGAGACACUAUGACAAGUAAUGCAUGCCUCUCACCAUCCUAUGUUAGUCCUUAGGGUCCCUCCUAAUUCAACUGGAACCAACGGAAUCAAAGAGUGAACGAUAUCUAUCAUGAGCGGUCGGUAAGAAGGUUCUGGCUGUACACAUAGUAUGGCCACAGCAGCAACCUACAUAAAAAAGAGUCGGCAGACUUAAUAAGGUGCCUCGUGCUUUCUUAAGGAGCAGCGAUCUUCCAAGGUGGUAACAUACCUGAAACAGGUACUUCUCAUCGAUUGUGUCUCUAAUGACGGGAUCCACUAUGUUUGGGAGCAUGUCUCGAUUAGUGAGCUGUGACAUGGCCUACAUUUAUUUUGGAAAAAUACACAGCAUCUGCUCAGGGUAAGGAUUUUAAUAAUAGUCAAAUAAAGUUAAAAAGCAUUUUUUUCAACACUAACAUAACAACGAGUAAAUUUUGGAUUUUUAACUUCAUUUAAUAUUUAUAAAGAUACCAUAAUGAAACUUGAUUUUUUAGCAAUCUCAAACAUACAUGUAAAAUAUUAGUUGAUUUGAAAAUGUUUAUGUCCAUGACCCAUUUUCAUUCAACCCCUUUGGAAAUUAACCAUUUUGACAUGAAAAUUGAAAAUUUUCAAAUGGGCUAAUAUUUUUUUUCCUAUUAUGGGUGCUAUCAGCGACGGCUAGACCAAAAUCUGAGAGCUGGACACUUGAAAUGUUGAAAGGAUGGUAGUAGUGGCGUUUUUAUUAGAAACGAAUAGCGAGACCCCUAAAUUAUUACCUUAGCAUGGAAGUUUGAAUCCAAAAGGAUAUUGGACGAUUUCAGAUCUCUAUGGAUCACUAGUGGCUUGCAGAACUCAUGCAAAUAUUCUAAUCCUCUUGAGUCAACAAUUGGUUAGGUGUCAGAAACAAAAACAACCAAGGAAAAUAGGAAUAACAGUUGGACCGACAAAGCAGUACCUCUAACCUGGCUGUAUCAAAGAGCAAUCUUCAGCCUCAUAUGCCAAGUUAAUUUCGACCCACGAGAAGGUCCUGAGUUUGACAAAAGAGAUAAAACCGCCCAGGAAAGUCAAUUAUUGGCCUAUCUUUAACCACUGACUACUUGCUCUCACUUUACUUUAGUGGGUGCUGGAACAAAAAGAAGAGACUUGAGAUGGAAACAUUUACCAUGCAAAAGAUCUUCAAGUGAGCCGUUAGGCAUCAACUCAUAUACAAUGAAUCCCAUAUCCUCAUGAACACCAUAACCGACCAAGGAAAUUAUGUUCGGAUGACGAAAUUUGCUCAAGAAGUUCAACUCAGUCUGCAAUAUAUACAUACUGCAGAUGAACACAACUAGUCUAAAACAGAAGAAAGAAAAAAAAUACUAAAAAAAAUUCCAGAAACUAUCCCCCAACCUGAAAUCCCCUUUUUGCAUCCUCAGUUGCACAAUCGAGUUUCUUGACUGUGACUUCCGAGUUAUCAUCCAUGGUGGCUUUGUAAACAUAUCCGAAUCCUCCCCUGCCCAACAAAUUAUCGUCUACAAAGUUUUGGGUUCCUUUCUCUAGCGUCCUAUAUUCGAUCAAUGGAACAGAUCCCUUGUUGCUCAAGGAACCGAAUUUGCUGAACAAGGCUCCUUUCUCCAUAUCUGCACACCCAUAAAUGUUAAAAAUUCAAAUACUCACAGUCCGAUCCAAAAAGAAUCGACUUUUUUAUACCUGGGCUUUGGGCAUUUUUCUUCUUCCGGGUGAAAUGAAUGCAGCAAGCAGAUGAAAAGAGAAAGAUAAUGACAGCCAUGGCAAUGCAAGCAACAGCAAGUAUGCGGUGGGUUUUCUUAUCCAAUUCCAUAAGUUUGCCGCCUGCUUCAACUCCCAAUUGCAACUGGAUUCCUGCUCAAAUUCAUAUAUAUGUAGUUGCCAUGGAAAGAAAAAAAAAGAGUAUCCAGCUCACAGAGCUAAGGCUUGAAGAACUGAUUAUUGUAAGAAAUGAGGGAGAGAAGACCACCCAAUUCCGCCAAUGAAAAUGAUGGAAGAAAUCAUUUUUUUAAUUUCCACAUUUAAUCAUUUAUGGCCGACACUUCCACUCAAAUUAUNNNNNNNNNNNNNNNNNNNNNNNNNNNNNNNNNNNNNNNNNNNNNNNNNNNNNNNNNNNNNNNNNNNNNNNNNNNNNNNNNNNNNNNNNNNNNNNNNNNNNNNNNNNNNNNNNNNNNNNNNNNNNNNNNNNNNNNNNNNNNNNNNNNNNNNNNNNNNNNNNNNNNNNNNNNNNNNNNNNNNNNNNNNNNNNNAAUUGUAUAAGAGUUUAACAUAUUGGGCUGUAUAUAAAAAUAAAUUAAUAAAUUAAAAAAUAUAAAAAAUUUACAUAACACUGAAUUUUAAAAUUCAAAAAUAAUUGAAUCGAAGAUUGAGAGACUCCCUGAAUUUGUCAAUGAAAAAGAGAAUGGUUACUUCUGCUUCAUUGUUAUAGGGAAUCACAAGAUGUGACAUUGUUAAUUAUUCAUCUUGUCUCUUAAUCAUGAGGUCAGAAAUUUGAUGUUUAUCUAUAAAAAUGAAGUACACCUUAUGGUCAGAUAUUCAUCGUCUUGUAAACAGUCGCAACGAAAAAAUCAAUUAUUACCAUUAACAAUUAACACCAAAAUUAAAAAAAAAAUUGUUGUCGGUUACUUUCUUUUUGAGCACAUGGAUGCGCCUCGACCCGACCCAACCACAAUCCUACUUAUGCAAACAAAGGAUUUGAUUAAUGUACCGAUGAAAUGACGGUUUCACUGUUUGCUGAAGACUGCCUGCGUAUAAGGCCCAAAUGGUAAAAUAAAGGGGGAGGAAGAGGACUGGGAACAAACUGGGCAGCUGACGCAGAGCAGUCUAAAGUCUAAACAUGUGGAUCGGAUCUGUCUGAGAGCCCAAAUAACAAAUUCAGUUUUUUUACCAGUCCAACUUGCAUUAGGGACGAUUAUGGGAUGAUCCAUGGGGUAGAUUAUAUCCCCAAUCCGCACGAGCCUUAAACCUCCCCUUACAAGUCGACCCACCACAGUCCUUUUAUUUUAUUUUUGGAUUAUUGCCGCCUGUUUCCUUUGACCGUCCAUUCAGACUUUAUUCAUAUUCAUGGUCAACACCAGCGCUGGGAUUUAAUACCCAUUUCCACGAAGUUGGCCUGGUCAUCACCAUUCACCAGAUGAAACUCAAACGAGAGAGACGUGGUUGUUAAGCGUAGCUGGGUGCGCGUGGCGGUAACCCUAAUUAUAUAUUUAUAUAAUCCUUCGUCUUCCACCUUCCUCUCCACUAGUACAAACAAAACAAGGAAUACCCAAGCCCUCCCUUCUCUCUCUCUAUCUCAUUUCUUUUUAUUCAUUGAAUAUAUCUCCCUCUCAAAAGCAGCAGCUCACCCCCAUGGCCAUCGCCCUUCUCAGCCCUCAAGACUGCCUCCGGGAUCCCAUCUCCUCCCGCGGCGGCCUUCUCUCCACCCCUCCUCGCACCAAAAUCCACCGCAACUCUGACCCUAGCCCCCCAUCUUCCAAAUCCAACUCGAGGCACGGUCGUGCUCAAUCAAUCCGCAGAAAGCGGAUUUCUAACUCAUCCCCUCAACUAACUGAUGCGUCGCUCUCUCCCCAGGCUGCAUCCAAGAGCCUCAUGAUGGGCGGUGUGGUCAAGAUCCUCAAGCGCGGCGAGCAGAUACCGAUGAAAAAAAACCAGGAUCAGAUCGAGAUAUUCUCCGUCGACUCCAAGAAAGUUUCAGUGAACAAAUCUGUUGAUGGUUUCUAUGCUGGAUCUGGAUUUUUCACCUCGCCACCCCCGAGCUCGCUGCCCCUGCCGGCCUUCAUUAAAAAGCCUAGUAACCUGGAAGCCACUACCAGUCUGUGUAGGCUUCUGAAUUUGAGUUUGUAGGAUUGGGUUCAUAUUUAUGUUAUCCGAUUCUAGGAUCGUUGUCUCUUUCUUGUUUGAGUUUGGCGUCUCGAUUUCCCUUAUUUUUUCAAGGGGAAGUAAAAGUCGAUUCGGCCAAACUCAGACUAGGCAUCCAUAUUCUCCUCCAUAGGGGGGGAUAGGUUGGGAAAGAGAUCUUACUGCAUGAAUCCGUCAGCAAUCAUAGGUCUUAGUAUUGUAGAUUGGGUUGAUGGUAAAAAAGAGUUGUUCAAUUUGGAAGUCAGGGUCAGUUGUGGAGAUGGGGUAGAUAAAAGAAAUUAGGCGCUUUAUUAGUUGAAGUUGGUAUCCUGUACUAGUUGUUCUUGUUUUUCCCUUUGUUCAUUUGGUUAUUUCAAAGGUGUCAUCUUUGGAUGUAGAGAGCUCUGUUUAAGUUGUUUUCUGUCAGGUGAAAUGGGAUUUAAUUUCUGUGUUUUGGUCGAUAUUGGCUGGCGAUUGUUAGUGGGAGCUCUUUUUGUUAGCAAGUAAUGAAAUCAAAGGCACAAGCUUUUUGCAAAACCAGGACAAACCUUGUUUAAACUUACAGCUGUUGACGCUCUCAAGAACGCAGAGAGCAGCAAAAACCAAGUAGCUGUCCUCUGACUCCUACACAGCCAAAUAGUUGGGGACAUUUUCCUCUGAAACUGGAGGAAACACACCGAACAACUGCUGCUGCUGCUACGCCUUCAUGGUUUUGUUGGUUUAAAAACUGAUACACCUCCUUCCCGCUGAAUUCCCACCGCAUACAGAAUCCAAACAUUUUACAUGGCACCACCAACCCAGUACGUAGCCUUGCUAUUUCGGUAGAAAGGGACGAGGGCAUGAUGACUAUCUGAUUUUUUAACAAGGGUGGGAUCAAAAUCGUGUUCACAAAACUUAUGUCCGUCGAUUGGAUAACAGACCGUGAAAUACUAAUCUACAUUGUUUUCCAGUCUCACAAAAAAACUGAGAAUUGGGAUUGAAUUCUCCUACCACCAGAACUUAUACACCAAUGUUGACUGAUUUUAGACACUAAGGCUAACGCUCCAAUCAAGUUAACAUUGACAGAAACAUGCAUCACGUUUAUGGAGCUGCACAAUUUAUAGCACUGUAUCAUCAAUCAAGUUCAUGUAUCACUUUUAUGUCCCUGCCUAAUUGAUAACGCCAGUGCUGUGCUGCUAAAUUUUAUACAGAGUUUGUCGAUAUUUUAUCAUAGUAUCUUUUUUAAUACGUCAUUUGAUUUAUAAUUUGGAUUGUGCCAUGGAUGAAAUUAGAAUCCUAGAGUAAUUUAGACGAGGUGGAAUGAUGAAAAGAAAACUAAACUACAUUCACGGUGCCUUGGUAAGGUUGUAGCAGGCAGCCCGGGUUGACUUUAGAAGUUGGAAAGUUAUAUGAUUCCCUAAUUUUAGCAAAAGAGAGUCAUAUCAUAUCAUGCUGCAAGUGUUCCCAUUUGUACAAUAUGUAGUAUAUGAAUAUAAAUGAAAGGGAGAUGGGAAGCUUUGGUUGUGGUCUUGUGGAAUGCAAAGUCUCAUUUUUGGGAACUCGGAAACGACCUUGGCUGCUUAAACUAGUUUGAAUAUGCUUCUCCACUGCUUCCUUGUUAUCCUCGUGUAAGCAGUUUUCCAAACUCGGUUGGUUGCUUGCUUGUAUGCUUCGGGUAGGCCUUAAUUCCGGGGAAUCUGUCUUAUCGUCUAUCAAAAGAAGGAGGUUCACGACUCCAGGACAAACUAACUGGAUAACAGAGCGGCGGAAGGGGAUCUGCUGCAACCCUUACCGCAACCGGGAAAGUUUAGGCUCAUCUUAAAAAUAUAGAUUGAAUCUUUCACCAAAGAAGAAGCAGUAUCAAAAGCUACCAGGGAGGCGGGCACCAACACCAAAGGGGUCUGAAAAUACAUAUGGGUACCGCUUACCUGAGCUGGCAGUCGGCAGAGUAGAUUCACUUUCACUUUGGGACUAGGAAGAGUUUCAAGUAAAAAAUAAUAGAGAGGAUCAUUCCGCUCCAGUUGGUGUGUAAAAUUACUACUAACUAAUAGUAAUGCAGUGGUGGAGUCACUUAAUGCUUCAUGUUUGGACCAACCCGUGAACUUUGAUUCCGUCUCACGACCAAGGUUUGGAUUCCCCUAAAAGUAUAUCCAUCAACAUCUGAUAAUCCGACGUAAUAAAAAAAAAUCUGACAAUCCGAAAACAAGAGAAAUGGUCCGCCGUGUUGUAUAGCAUACUCAAUCGCUACCUGAAUUGCAUUUACCUCUGCCACAACUAGAGAAAAUCGAUCAACAGACCCACUGUACUGUCGUAAACAACACCAUAGACAUUCGAUAUAAUGAUGCCAUAAACCGCCAAUCUGGAAUCAUGUUGAAAUGCUCAAUCACAAUAAAUCACCCUCUGAUCAUUACAGGACGCCUUCUUCCAUUAUCUCCAUUUAGCUAAGUGCCCCCCUUUAACUCUUCUCAUUCCCCAACCCCACAGAUCAAACAAACAUGAUUAUUGAUCCUCAUGUCAACAUUUUCUUUUCUAUUGUGUUAAGGCAUGGUAAUAACAUAAACAGGCUAGAAAAUUCAUAUUAUUAAUAUGAGGUUGAUGGCAUCCAUCGUUUGAUCAGUCGUGGCCUUGUUUGCACGUCGGGCCAACAAAGUGGACCCCAUGAACACAAUCUUGGGUAUUCGAGGAGGAAGGCUCGGCUAGGGAUGCAAAGCACUCAUUGGAGAGGCUCCAAGCGGCCGCCUAAGUCGACUGUGCCAUAAGAAAGUCGAAGACAAAGCCUCAUCUCACGUUGGAGUGACAGUUGCGUAUUGAAUGUUUAAUAAAACAGGUUACUAACUCCGGCCCGCGUUAUUUGUAUAAAUCAAGGGCAAAAUAACCCGUAAAUGUCAUUCAUACAUUCCUCAACCAACUUCUAUUUAGAUUACUUCUCUUACUAUCUCUUUUAAUCAUAUCAUACAUUUUUUUUGGAGAUUUUAUUAAACUCGAACUGAAUUGAGACUUCUCAUAAUUUGAUUAUUAAGUCAUUCUUUGCAUUAAUUAAGGGGAGAGUCAUUGUGGCCAACAUAUCUAACUCAUGAAUUAGUUUGUUAUCAUGACCAUCCUCAAGUUGCUUUGAAGAUUUUGAUUUUUUUUUUUAAACAUCUAAUUUAUAGACCUUAGAUAUUUGUCCACUCUUUUUUCAGCUAUGGGUUUCCCCAUUAAGUAUGUAUAAUGGAUUGAGAGGGUUCAUGUCUAGUCAUGAUCAUUGUCAGCAUAAAUAGAAGUAUGGUGAGUUUCAAUGUUGUUUUAUAAUAAAAAUGCAAAUUGAGUUUGUUUUCGAUUAAUUUUAGCCAAAUUUUAUUAAUUCAAAUUUGAUAUUUAUGUAAUGUUUCCAAUAACAUAAAAAAUUUAUCAAAAUCAAUUCUUCAUGAUUUCAAGCAAUUGAGUGAUAUAUACAAAAUUUAAGAGUAUCACAAUGCCCCCAAUUAAUAUAAACUCUAAAGUAUUUAACCUAUUUGUUUUGGGAUGAAUUUAAUUUGAUCCAAACUUAAAUAUAUAGUUUGCAAGAGUAUGGAAAAAGGUCAAACCCACUUCUCCACGCCCCCUCCCCCAACCCUAACAACGAAACAGGAAAAUAAAUUCAGAAAAAGGAAAUGUGUUGGAAUUAAUAAUUCAUUUAAUCUAUUCAUCAUAAAAAUAAUUAAUUUAAUCAGAAAAACAGUCACAUAGGAAAAAUGAAAAGGAAAAUAAAAUCGAAUAACUCAACCAAAAGCACGCAUUAAAGCCACAAACCCACCCUCUCCUCCCACCCUUCUCCCCCCUCUCCUCCUCCCUUUUCCCCCAUCUCCUCCUCACAUAUAAAUUUAUGUAUAUAUAUAAUCCUCCGCCCUUUCCCCUAACCUCCUUUUUUGUUAUUUCUCUCAUUCUUCUUCCUCCUCAAUCCUCACCCAAACCUUCUCUGCUCCUCUUUUCAUUCUUCCCCACUUCCGCCUCUUACUCUCUUUUUUUCUCAUUAAUCUACCUCCUCCUCUCUUUACUUCCAGCUUCGUUAGCGGUGUUGGCAACGAUGUGGAAAGACGAGUGGGUGUCGGCUGCCAUGGUGGACGACACGGGGGGGGGGGGGGCUUUUUUGGGGCGUGAGCAAGGCCAAGCGAUUGGAGCANNNNNNNNNNNNNNNNNNNNNNNNNNNNNNNNNGGUGAUCUGGGGGCCGUCGUUUCGUGCCGUCCCACCAGUGGGCGUCUCCGCCUCCCUAGGUCGAAGCCGGCGGCGGCCACGUCAGCUGGCUCCUUGAGAUGCGACGUAGUUUCUAGAAGGAAGGAAGGCGAUUCCUCUACCAGAUGCAGUCCCACGACGCCGCUUUCCUGGAGCGGUGGAGGCGGCGCAGAAUCUCCCUCCGCCGCCGCCGAUGGUUACGAUGAGACCAGUCAUCGUUCUCCUUCUGGUUCCAGAUCCAAGGUAUUUCACCCUCCUAGCAACUCCUCCUUCCCAUAAUCUGUUUUUGUUCUGCACUUCCUUCAUCAGAUUCCGCUUGAGUGGAUCUAUUUGUUUGGGCUGCGAUAUAUAUUCUAUGAUUUGACUGGACUCCCCCCCCCCCUCUCUGGACUUUUAAACCUGUAAUUACAGUAUCAGCGUGGGAGGUUAAGUCGACGGAUACAUUCUUGUCACCGGACGAUUCAACCAACCGCUGCUCCUUUUUUCGAGUUCUUCCUUCGUCUUUUUUAGUCGGCUGAUUAAAUUGACCUUGCUCAGUUGCCUUAAAUAUCCAUCACCAGCCUGCCGAUUUCCUAGUUUACAGAUCGGCUUCUCCCGUCAGAGGAGUCGAAUAUCUGAAUAUUUAUUUCUCCGAUCAAAGGUGGAAAAACCGUCGAUUGUACCUAUCUAGUUUGUUUUCCCCUUUUCUCGCGGAUCCCAUAUUUUUAAAAUUUUGAAGUUAUUUUAAGAAAUUAAAUCGGGACUGGUGGGUGGCAGGACCGCAAUGCCCUCAAAUGUACUUCCUCCGUUUCUCCAAUAUUUUGUUUUAAGUCGAGCUCAGCAUUUCAGCAGAAUCAAAUAGAACAAGGCCGAUUGGUGGGGGGUAAAAGAAAGGGUCAGGUGAGGAAACUGUGAAGGGUGGCUCACGUUUUAUUUUCUCGCCUCUUUUGUGAGUGGGUUUUGGUUCAUCAUCAUCUCGCUGUUAAUAAUAAUAAUAUGGGGGAGGGGUCGUUUUAAUUCCAUAUAUAUUUAAUUUGUAUUGAAUGGACGAAAGCACCCUUGGCCUUUUAUUAGUGUUAGAAUCGGAGUGGUGAUAUGUACGCUUCACUAGUAAAAGGACAAGUUUGUCAGAUGGGAGAUGUAGAUUCGAUUUAAUUUUAAUUUUGUUCUUCCUUCUUCUCCUUUCUCUACCCAUAUAGUAAACCACGAAGUUUCGAGCAUUGGAUGUUUCUUUUUGAAAAAUCGAUGUUUUAUUGGGUGAAGUGGAGCCCAGUUGGUGGGUUUUGCUUCGCCGGGUGGUUAAUAAUUUGUUUUGUGCUGGAGGGGGGGAUAGGUGUUGUUGUGGGUUCUCAUCUCAGAGUGGGAUGCGAAUGGGGCAUUUUAUUCUUUUUGUUAAUAUUAUUAUUUUUUUAAUUUGAUUGGAUUUUUUGGUGGAUCUGUAUGAGCAUUUAUUUAUUAGAAAUAGAAAGACAGAGGAAGGGUUAUUAUGAAUUUACUUUACUUAUUUAUUUAUGGAUAUUAAGAAGUAGUACAACAAUUGUGUAUUCCAGUAUUUUCGUUUUUUUUUUGUUAUAAAGCAAAAAGGGGUGGGAUGGGAAAUGAAGUGUGCCUCCAAAUCCACGCUGCCGGCCUGGAUAGGCACUGCAGGGAUGGUGUGUCACGUGCUGCUGGGGGCUCACGUGACCGACGAUAGUAAACUGGAGCGGAGGGGCUUUUGUUUGAAUUAUAUGAAAAUGCGUCAACGCACACGGUUUAUAGUACCUGCUGACGGGUUUUCUGUCCUUCGUCCCCAUCGUCGUCUUGAUCACCAUCUAUAUUUCACCAUCGUCAGAUUCAUUGAACGCUCGGUUGGAUGAAAAUAUCGGGAGGUAAAAAUGGGAGGAAAGCGAAAUCUGCCCACCUUGAUCCUCCCUAAAUUCCAGCUGUCCUAAUGACGGGAAGCUAGCUAGCUGUAGCUCUCUUAGUCCUUUUCCUCUCCUUUUAUUUUAUAUAUAUAUAUAUACACACACACAUACACACAUGCAUAUGUAUAUCCUCCCGUGUCUCCCUUUCCCAAACGUUUGUUUAAAUUAAUUAAUCAUUUAUUAUUUUGAUUUGGAUACUUGGUAUUUAGUUUAUGGUCUUUAAAUGAUCCGCGGAGUCGGAGUUACAAUUUGUUAUUGGAGGACCAUGAGGAGCUUGAUCAAGAAGCUGAUCUCCCAUGGAUAUUUAAUGCUUCCGUUAAAUUCCUUCCUCCUUUCAUUGUUACCCUUUCAUUCAACAAGUGUAAGAUAUAACGGUAGCUCCACGGGAUUGGUGACACCCCUGUUUCUGGCAUCUUUUAUUUGGGUUUGGAUGUCCUUUGGGUUUUGGGUUUAGACCUCCUUUUUAUCUGUUAUUUUGUUUUUCAGUCUAUUUCCUGCGUGGUGGACAAUUUUGGUUUAUGAAGUUUCCUUGCGUUGUUUCUCAUUUUGGCUUACAUUUGUUAGCUUGAACUGUUCUGAUCGUCUUUUUUUUUUUUGGUUUGCGACGACCGUAGGGUGGUAACGCAACUGCUGCCGAAAUAACUAGCACUGGCACCACAAGCACCAAACGAACCCGAAGAAAGAAGGUUGCUUACUGAUUUCCAUCUUUUUUAUUCCACUUAUCGUUUCUUUUUGUCAUCUUCAAAUUCAAUCAGCUUGUGAGAUAGGUACCCUCUCGUUUGCUUACUAACUUUGGUCAUCUGUUUCAAUUAUUGUUCCCUUGUGGUUUGUCUGCAGACAUUAGCUGAACUUAGGGAGGAGGAAUGCUUUCUUUGGAAGGAAAGGAUGCACCUCAAAAAGGUAUUUUACCACUAGCUGCUGGCUAGUUGGCUCUCGUCAUUCCCAGCCUCCAUUUCUAGUAAUAUUCUUUCUUUGUUUAUUAUUUAUGAUUCUUUCCUCAACUAAAGUAGAUGUCUUUUUCAUACGUGCAUCACUCUCCCUCAGGAGAUACAAACUCUGCAUGCUACAUUUGAGGAUGAGAAAUCCAUAAACCAGAAGUUGAAGAGAAUUAAGGUAUGUUCCUCGUUUGUUAGAUCCUCCUUUUGGCCUAUCUGUCUAUCUUAAUGUUCUGAUUACCGUCUCAAACAGAUUUUUAAAAAAAACUUAGAUCUCUUUUUAUGUAUUUGAGCAGAUGGAUCUGGGGUUGAAUUGUUCAAUCAACUCAAACUACAGUCUAGCUUCUUUGGGGGGAAGGGAUAAAGGAAUAGUGAAAGUUGAAGAGCCGACCCCAAGAAUGGAGUCGUCUUCUUUGGGGCAUAUUCCUUCGCCAACUCUCCUUCGUCCUGAGUCAGAGUCUUGUAGCCGAACAGAUGAUACAUGUUUCAGCGGCAGCUAUCCCUUCUUGUUGCCCGACUUAAACAUGAUGCCCUCCGAAGAAGAUCCCACCACUUUAUAGUACGGUGGAUGCUUCUGGUGAGAUACAUUAGGAUAAUUAACACGAGAAAAAAAUACAGUUUGUUUUAUUUUUUCUUGGUUGUUUCGUUCUCCUUGCUUCCCAGACAGCAUCACCAGUCGGUAUGUUGGGAAAUGAUUGAACACAACCCUUGUAGCAUAACGGAAAAGAUGCUGUUAGCUGCUGCAUCAGUGAAGUUUUCCAUAAACUGAGUGGAAGAAGAUGCUGGUGCUGAUGCUGAUGAAGGAGAGGGUAGGUGCAUUGCUAGUAGAAGAGACGAACAACCCCGAUCCUAGAUGUGCAGCGAGGGAUAUAUAUAUAUAUAACAAACAGACUGAGUGUAUUUGUUCUGUAGCAGUUUAGUUCCUUUAGUGAAUCCUGAAUAAAAUGUUUCGGGAUGAACUCCUUAUUAUGUCCUUUCUUCUUCGUAUCUUGCAAUCUUUUCUUAAAUCAGGAGCUGUAGAAAUUGUUCUUCAAAUUUAUUUUGUAGACCAAGGAACAAGUGCUCAGCUAUUUGGCUCUACUGAAAACUUUGAUUGAUUUAUUUAUUUCCUUGUUUGAACAGUUAGGUUAUUGAUCACUUUGGAUGAGUAAGUUUGAUGUGGCCAGAAUCACGAAUUUUGUGAGUCUGAGUUCAAGGGCAGUUUAUUAAUUGGAGGGAAGAACCCAGAAAAGAUAUCAUCUAUAAAGUUACAGAUCCACAACAAUGUUCCUUGCAAAUAGAUCCCACAAUCUAUACCCAAACUCUUCUCGCCCAUAGCCGAUGAUCAUGGCUUUACUUUAUCAUCAAGCUUCACCCUCUCAUUUCUUGUAACAUGAGCAUAGCCUUUACAACUGAACACUCUUAAGUGUUCGUAUGAGACAUCUUCGUCAAUUCAUGUUCACUGAGGAGGUUCCUCACCCUCCAAAGGAAUCGAGGUUGAGAGAUUAAUUAACAUUAUCCUUUCUUGACAACACUAAGAUAUAUGGAACUUGCAGGUUUGAAUCUAUGUUAGAGCGGCUAAAAGAAUCGAGUCCCUAAGACGCUCUUCAUUUCUGUGUCUGCCAACCAUCAUUGAAGACCAGUGAACGAUGGAUAAAACUCAAACACACUUGUGUGCUUGAUUGAUCAGUUGCGGUAGUGUUGAUAAGUACUUUAAAGAGAAGUGAAAUUUAUCCUGGAAAGUCUUUUGCUUAUUUAAAAACUCUAUCAGAAGUUUGGCUCUAGUUGGAUCCCUACUUGUUAUAGGUGUAAUAAUACCAAUGAGUGCCUACUGUCUAAUAUGAAUAUGUGCCUAUUGUCUAAUAUGAAUAUGUGCCCUAAACUUAGAACUGAGAUCAGUCUUACUACUUCAUGAAUGAACCGUAAGGUAGAACACUUGUGCUUGGUUUUCAAUGAGGAUUCAAAACAUUAAUAAAAUAUUAUCUUAAAUUUUCGAGAGAUAAAUUCUUUGUGCUUUAACAAUAGCAGAAGACAAAUUCUCUAAUUUACAAUGCAGAAAUCGUUGGUUAUUGUUAGGCUAACGACAUUUCUCGAUUUCUCGUAGACCUAUACCAACUUUUAUAGAUUCUAAAUUAACUACAUACUACAAAAAGCCAAAUAAACCCGAGAAGAGGCUAAUCACAAAAAAAAUCACCAAUUAGGACACUGUAGCUAUCUUUCGAGUAAAUUAUCUUUGGGAAUAACUUCAAUCAAUCACACUCAAACCAGCAACAUUGAAAUGCAAAGAGAGGAAGAUGUUGCCGCUUACGUCCCAUAAAACUUACGAAGUUUGAAAAACAAAAAAUCAAAACCGCAGAAACCUUCUAUACGUGCCGAAACGUUUCGUAUUUGCGGGAUUAAUAUCGAAACGCCAGGGCGGACAACGCAGGUAAGCUGGAAAUCCUAGGAAAAUAAUAAAAUUACCUACAAAACGCGAAACGUUUCGUGUUUCUCAAACCAAAUUCGAAACGCGGUAAAUUGACGUUAAAGAGAAAUUGGCGAUACGUAUCAUGCAGCGGCAUACCGUGAUAUUUAGGUGGUAUUUUGACUUUUUUACUAUACAUUGACAUAAUUUUAUUAAUUUUUAAAUGGGAUUACUUACUUUUCGUCUGUGUUGCGGGCCUGGCCCAAGAUUUCUCCCCGCAAGUUCCAACCAAAGCAGGCCUAUCAUGUGUCCAAAGUAUUUUGGAUCUGCUAUUCCUUUUUCUAUGUUUUGAACCCAGGAUCUGCUAUUUAUCAACUGAAGCUCCAGGUCCUGUUGCUGGGCCGCAUUAAUACAAUUUCGCCUUUAUGUUUUUAUUUAUUAUCAAAGCGCCUUUAUGAUUUUAAGUAACGUUUAUUUAAUUUCUUAUGAAAUUCAUUAUUGUAGGGUUAUAUAUCAAGGCCAACAAGAGAAGAGCAUACUCUUAUAUUGGAGAUUACUGUUUGUUGGCUGGAUCAACAGUUGAUGCUAGUGCUCAUUAUUCUACUGCAUGCAUUAGAGCUUGUUCUGGUACGCUAGCUGGUGCCCUUGAGGGCAGCGUUUGUGCUUUACUACUGGUAUAUAUAUAUUCUCACAGUAUUCCUGAUAUUUUCUGCGAUGCCUAGCUACUUGAUGUAUGAUGAUGCAUCGUCUCUGUUUUUAUCAAAUAUAAUGGUGGAUGCCUAUGAUGAAAUUAAUUUUGUUACCGUACGUGGUCAACUUUGAGUCAACAAAUGAGCAACAUGCACGUUUUAGAGAAAAAGGCGUGAAAGGCUCCUUGCGAGAAAGAAAGAUAGUCUUCAAGGUGAAGAAAUAAAAAAGAAAUUUAACAGAUGCAUGUAUAUGUGAAAGGUUGAUUUAAAGAAAUAAUGUGUCUCUAUAAGUUAUUUUCCGAGACAUUAAUAUCAUCGAUGGAGAGAGACGAGAAAGAGAGAGGAGCCAAAAUAAAAUGUGGCCUCUCUAUCUUAUCUAUCUCAUUCCUUUUAAUUUAAUUAUUUAAACAACCAAAUAGUAUUUGACAUAUAACAUCGAUCGAAGGCCUACUGUAUAUAAUAAUAACACAUGCAUGCCCAGCAGCAACAUCAUCAUCAUCUUAAAACAACAAUUCACAAAUGUCCCUUUUGGCUGGACUCGGUCAGUGUCCGCUUCUCUCUCUUUUCUUUUUUUUUAUCAAUAUAUAUAAUUUCUUCUUCUUCUUUUUUCAAUUAUUCCGAACUUGGAAAUCAGUUCAUUAUUAUACUGAUUAUCAUCGAUACGAUAUAGUUGUUGCUGUGUGGGUCUUUGAACUGGAUUUUGUAUCAAAACUACUCCUCGUUAAAAUUAACACAAUCUCAUACAUAGUUUGUCUUUAAUUAGUUCCGUGAAGAAGUAAAGAUUCAAGAUGAUCUCCAACUCUCACCUUAAUUAAUGACGAUCACAACCCUUAAAAAACAUUAAUACUUUUUAUAAUAUAUUUAGCCAUAUAUAGUAAUUGAUGAUUGAGGAGGAGGUGCUGUACAAGUAGAAAUAUGUGUGUGUGUGUGUGUCCAAAUGAAAUAAUCCUUGGUUAAUUAAUGUACUUGACAUUUUUCUCAAAUAGUAUGCUAUAUAUAGUGGAGUGGCGCCUUCAAAAGCGCAUAAAUUGACCAUGAAUAGAGGAAGCAAUAUAUAUAAUUGCAUACAGUGGUCACGUUAAUAUAUAUAUACAUAUAUUGUAUUUUCACCAGACUUUUUUUUAUCAUUUUUAAAUUCCUACAUAUAUAGUUAGUGAUCUUGUCGAUGAUGUCAUUGCGAUCAUUUGUGUAGCAAGUAUAUUCUGGCAGAUCUUUUUCACUUCUUCUAUAGUUCUCGUGAUAAAUUCACCGCGCAUAGUUCCGCUCACGAUCAUUUCAGGUAGGGUGACCACUGGCUAGUAAAAAUGUUUACAAAAGGCCGGGAAGAUUCGGUGACGUACAAACAUCAAAUGAGAAGACUUAAUGAAAUAUUCUGAGCUAGCCUAUUGAGAGUAAGCUAAGUGAUACAAAACCUAAUUAAUUUAUAUCAGUAUCUUCUGCUACGGAUGGAUAAGAGCUAGCUAGCUAGCAUGCAAAAUUGCGAAGCUGAUAAUAAAAAAUAAAAAAAAGAAGAUCAGUGCAAGUGCAAGCCAAGUGGGCUAACCUGCUGUGGGCCAUGUAUGUGGUCCAUGCAUGGAAAAUUGGGUAAAGUUUUUGAAUAAUAACUUUUUAAGUGUUUCAGUUGUCCAUCAACAUUACAUAUAUUGAAUCAUCAUCAUCAUUAUGUAUAUCGUGAACAAGAUGUAUAGAUGAUAAAAUAAUUUCCCAAAGAAUAUUGCAAUUAUAUGCCCCUAUAGUCUAAAUAGAGUUGGGUGCAGGUACAUGAAUACACACCAAUAUGAUGUUUACUUUUCUUUUUUAUUGAUUGAAAAGUUUAGUCCAAAAAAUUAAUAUAUAACCGUUAAGAAUAAAUAUUACGUGAAAUCAAAUAUGUAUUCAUUGAAUAGGUACAUGUCCCCUAUUUCCAUCUUUUAGAGAUAACUUUGAACUCCUAUAUAAAUUAAAUUUAGAUGUACCACAACUAUAUGGAUACGUCCCUUCAUUUCUCCUUUAAAUUAUUAUUAUUAUUAUUAUUAUUAUUAUNNNNNNNNNNNNNNNUUACUAUUGUGCUAGCUAGGUCCUUGGAAAGUUAGUAUAUAUGGAUGAGGUCCGUACGAAGAAACAAGUGGAAACGUCAACUUAAUUAUUAUCGUGCUGUGCUCCUUGGUAAGUAACGUCAACUUAUACUUUUAUAAUUUGAUGGUAUAUAUAUUAUUAAUCAUCACGGACGACUUUGAUAAAAUGGCAAUCACAUCCACCGCCUACUUUCUCUCUUCUUUUUACUUGUGAUAUAUAUAUUAUAUUGGUGAAACAUAAUAACCAAUUAAUUGUUUCGCUUCAUUGGACUUUCUUUCUGCACAAUAAUUGUUUGGAUAUGGAACACCCUGUGGACUGGCUCGCUAAAUGACAAGUUUAAUUUGUGUGUGGGAUAAAAAGAUAAAUAGAAUGAAUUAAUUCCUAUUGGGGACUUGACUUUAAGUUGAUGCCAUGGCCCAUGGUAUAGUGGCACCUUAUAAUAGCAGCGUGCUGGUUGAUAGUUGUACUGCUGCUGCUGGUCCCAACACCCAAAUGAAGCUUACCUAGCGCCCAGACGACCCGUGUCAGUACUGGGAACCCGACCCCGGUUCUGGCUCAGAGACGUGCGACGUUAUCCAAUAACUUACCCCCGCCCCAAUUAUUUUUGAUGAUAAAUUUAUGUUAUUAUUUAGUAUCGGCGAGGUAGUUAAUAUAAGUGGAAUGAAUGGAGGAGGAGGAAAGCGGAAGAUAGAUAUGAAUAUGACAUAAAUAAAUAAUAUAAUAUAAUUACAAGUUAAAUCUGUGAUAUGCAUGGUUCGUUGGGACUGGUAGAGACAACGUGUAGAACAAGGAUGAUGUGAUGUGGGGAGCACGCCUACGCCAAACCCAAUCCUAUUUAUAUUUCACUGAAAUUGAAAAGGUUGCUUAAUUAGCUUGACGGUGAAUGCUGCGGAUGUUAUAUCUGCCUGCCUCUUCUGGAGACUCAGAUCAUAACCAGCUAGCUAGCUGCUGAUCAUGGUCAUUGAUUAAUUAAUUAAUUAAUUAGUAAGUCAAUUUAGAGUUGAGGCUAAUUAAUGAAUGCAACUUAACUUUAUUAUUCUCUUUUCUGAACUAGUAGUCUAGUCUCUUUUUCUGAACUAGUAGUCUAGUCAUAGUGGAGACUUAAUUUCCCUCUUCAAUUAAAUAAUCCUAUCCUCUCUUUAUCAUGGGAUCUCUUUUCUUUUGUCCUUUUCUUAAUUUGUUAAUCUCGCCGUUCCCACAUAGUACACAAUUUUAUUUAUUGUUCAAAUAAAUAAAUCAAUAUUGCUUAUUAUUAUUUAUACCCCGAUGCCAUCUCCUUCCUCCUCCUCCUCCUUUCAUCUCAAGUAACCCAAUCUAGCUACCUUUGCCCUUUGCUUUCUUCUUAUUUAUCUAAUCCAAAACUCCUCUCAUCUCUUUUUUUUUCAGAAUAAAGAAACUUGUGCUUCAGUGAAUUAUUAUUGUUAUUAUUUUAUAUGCAGUAGAGCAGCAACAACAACAACAACAACAAAAGUGUGAUACGUACGUACGUGUUUGUCCAAAGAAACAUGGAAUUCCACCACCAUAGUGAAGAAGUUCCUGAUCUCCAUAACUUCCCCUCCGACCAAACCCAACAACAACAACAACAAGUCCCCACGGCAUCCUCACAGUCACCACCCAAUAAUUGGCUCAACUCUGCUCUCCUCCUCCGCGGCCCCCAACACCCGCCCGCCGCCGACACCAAUUUUCUCAACCUCGCGGCCUCUUCCGACAUCAUCCACAACACUACUACUCCAUCUGACUCCAUAUUAAACCAGAGCCACAACAACUUGAAGCAGAAUAGUAAUACUCCUAGCGAAUCAGAAAGCGGUGGAGGAGAUUCGAGCGGGAGGUACAAGGGAGAGAUACUUGCUCACCCGCUGUACGAGCAGCUUUUGUCGGCACACGUGGCGUGCCUGAGAAUAGCGACGCCGGUGGAUCAGCUUCCGAGGAUUGAUGCACAAUUGGCCCAGUCUCAUAAUAUCGUCUCCAAAUAUCCUCAUCAUCAUCAUCUUCAUCUCCCUGCAUCGCCCGAUCACAAAGAACUUGACCAGUUCAUGGUAACCUACCUAUCCUCCAUCGAUCCAUCUCCAUUUUCCAGUACUCGAUCGUCAAAAAUAUUAAUGUGUGAAUAAAAUUUUGGACUAUCAAUCUGUUCGUAUAAUUAUAAUAAUAAUAAUAUCUAGCUUACAGGCACCGACGACCGACAUAGCUGGGCAUUUAGCUAGUGUGUUUACUUGUUUGUGUGGCUUCAAAUUCUUUUGGGUUACAGAAAAAAAGGCUAAGGAUGCUGGAUCCCUUCUUCUGUGGCUGUCCAUUGUUUAAACUUUUUGUCUUACGUAUCCUCUCAUUCAUAUUUCAGUCGGCAUUCUUUUCUUUCCUAAGGAAGGAGGAUGGAAUUAUUAAUUAAUUAAUUAAUUAAGCUCUUCUAUAUAUCUGUUAGCCAGCAUAAAGGAUUUAUUCGCCCUUCAAUUAAUAGCCCGAUAUGUAGCACAACUAAAUUAUUCCUUAUUGUUUGGAAUGGGCGGCCCCAAAUGUAACUUUGGGAUUAAUUAAUUGGAUGGAAAUUGAGAACAUCUGUUGAUUGUUGUUUUACGCUUAAAAAGUAAGUUUUGAACGUCAUGCGCGCUAAGUGACAAAGUAGCCUCUCGAUCGGUUUACCCGAACGGUGGAUAUAAUAUAUAUUUAUAAAUUUUAAGUAAAUUUCAAUGGAAUUUCAGGAUUCCUUUAUUCUUCACUUUCUUGAUAAUAUAUUAAUUGCUCAACAUUCUACCAUUCUAUGUUGCUUUAUCAUAUCUCUAGCUUUAUUUCGCCCAAUUACAUAUCAUUUUCUACUUCACCUAGCUAAUUAUAUGAUUUUUUCAAUUCUUUUUUUUUUAUAAAUUCUAUAACAAUAUAAAAACGUGAAGCCAAAUAUUUUUCUGAUUGAUGAAGACAUGCAUGGUGGAGUUAAUAACCUCUAAAUUAUGACAAUAUUUUACGGCGAUCUUAUAAGUUUUCAAUUGUUCGUUUAUAACAAUAAUAAUUAAGGGGAUUUAUAUAUAAUAUUUAAUGGGGAUGAUGGAUGGUUUUAUGCAGAGUCAUUACUUUCUGCUGCUAUGUUCGUUCAAAGAACAACUACAAGAACACGUAAGAGUUCAUGCAAUGGAGGCAGUAAUGGCUUGCUGGGAGAUUGAGCAGUCUUUGCAAAGUUUAACAGGGGUGUCACCAGGUGAAGGGACCGGUGCCACUAUGUCGGACGAGGAUGAUGACGGCCAUGUAGUAGUAGUAGAAAGCGAAUUAGGCGCCGUCACUACUUCGUUUGAUGAUUCGAUGGGAUUUGGUCCUCUUGUCCCAAGCGAGACGGAGAGGUCUUUAAUGGAACGAGUGAGGGCCGAGUUGAAACAUGAACUUAAGCAGGGUUACAAAGACAAGAUUGCGGACAUUAGGGAAGAGAUACUGAGGAAGAGAAGAGCGGGAAAGCUGCCUGGAGACACUACCUCUGUCCUCAAAUCUUGGUGGCAAUCUCAUUCCAAGUGGCCUUAUCCCACCGUAAGUAUUCUAUUAUAUUAUAAUUCACACUCAUCAUUAUAUACCUAGCUAGGUUAAUAUCAAUUACAUAAUAUUUACAGAAUAUUAAAGUCAUGAAAAAUGUUACACCGUUGCUUGCUGUAGUUUCUCUCAUCUAACUGUUGGGCUAAUUUUAUUGGAUGAUUGAAAGUUUUUUAAUUUUAUUUAGAUUAUUAUUUGAAAAUUUUAACACGGUGAAAUUUUAAUUUUUAAAUAUUUCUAAUGUACAUGUUAAAUAUUAAUUAAUUUAAUUUUUUUUAAUUUUCAUGUUAAAAUGGUUAAUUUUCAAAAGGGUUAACCUAUGGAAAUUGACCAUUUUCACAAAAAAAAUUCAAAAAUUUCAAAUCGACUAAUAUGUGACAUGCAUAUUUGAAAUGACUAAAAAAUCAAGUUUCAUUAUGAUAAUCCUAUAAAUAAUGGUCAAACGAAGUCAAAAAUCAAUUUUACUCGGUGUUGUUUUAGCAUGUUGAAAAAUGUUUUUAACUUCAUUUGGAUAUUAUUUGAAGGGGUUAACAUGGUGAAACCUCAUUUUUUAAUCAUUCUCAACAUGCAUGUCAAAUAUUAACCAGUUUGAAAAUUUUCACGUCAAAAUUGUUAAUUUUCACAAGAAAAUUUCACAAUUUUCAAAUCGACUAAUAUUUGACUUGCAUGUUGAAAAUGACUAUUAAUGUAAAUUUCACCAUGAUGACCCUUGUAAAUAAUGGUCAAAUGAAGUUAAAAAUAAAUUUUACUUGGUGUUAUGUUAGUGUUGAAAAUUUUCAAAUUGGCAAAUUUCCUGCAUGUUAAGCGUCGUUACAUGAAUUGCAUUAAUUUUGAUCAUGCACAAUUAUGUGGAAACCAAAUCAUUUUACCAUACAUAAUAACACAUACAAAAAAUAAUAAAACACACGGAUCGAUACGUUGUUUAAUCAACUGAGCGCGGACCAACAACCUAAUAGUUGUAUAAAGUGAUAGGAAUUUCUGAGCUGAUAAAAGAUGAUGAUGAAUUGAUAAGGUGAUGCAUGCAUAUGCAGGAGGAAGAUAAGGCGAGGUUGGUAGAGGAAACAGGGUUACAGCUGAAGCAGAUAAACAACUGGUUCAUCAACCAGAGGAAGAGAAACUGGCAUACCAACCCUUCCAGUACUUCAACCUCUACUUCCUCCAAAACUAAACGCAAGAGGUACUUACGUUACUUUGUCAUAAUUAUUAAGUAUAUAUACAUAUUGUUUAACAUGCACAUAUGUUAAACUAAAUAUAUCACCUCUUAACUGCCCCCGAUCGACAGGUCUCAAGUAGAUCUCAAGUAAGGUGUAUAGAUAUCAAUAUCAUGCGCAGGUGACGUUCAUAUCUUACACAAGCAGCAGCAGCAGCUGGUUGGUCGCUUUGUAACGUACCAUACAUACAUCGUUGUCUCUCGUUGAUCGGUUACCAAUAGGAAAACAAUCACCAAAAUUAACACAUACAUAGUGCAAAUUAAUCGAGGUGACCCAGCUGGCCUCAUGUAGGAUAUGUACGUACGUAAUAAUAUUAUUGAUUUCAUAGAUAGACGGCCGCAUACGACUUUAAUUUUAUGAAAUAAAUGAAAGCUGUUUGAAUUUUUGGGAGAUAGCAUGUGUAGUAAUGUAUUUUUUAAAUGGGCUGGCUGGGUUGUAUACAACAUAUAUAUGGAGUACGUACAGUAUAAUUAAUUCUUCUCCUCCAUAUAUUAUAUGUACCUCUCUAUACUCAAAUUUUCGGAACACUAUGUGUACGUACGGACGUGUGCAUGACAAAACCAUUUUUAAGUAUUCGGCAGAGUCGUGGAUAUCUCCUGGUUCACGUGCAAGGUGUGUUCUUCCUUUGCGUCUAUCUGAUGUUUAGUUUUCUCUCCUGGAACGUCCGUGGUUUGGGUCUAGAGGAGAAGAGGUUUAGAUAAAAGACAGAGUUACAAGUGCUGGGCCUGAAAUUGUGUGUUUUCAAGAAUCUAAAUUGGUGAAUGCUGAUGCUGGGAUAAUUAGGAGUCUUGUUGGUGGGUCGGACUGGGGAUGGACCUUUAAACCUUCUGUCGGGGCCUUUGGUGGUAUCAUUACUUGUUGGGAUGAGAUGUGUUUCGAAAUUGUUGCUGAUUGGAUAGGAGAAAAUGUGGUUGUGGUGCUUCUUCAAAACAAGGUGGAUGAUUUCAAAUGGAUGUUGUUAAAUGUUUAUGGCCCUUGCGUCCAUACUCAGAAACUUCAAUUCUUGGAAGAGAUUAGAAGUGUUGUGGAGUGGUGGGAUCUCCCUGUUUGUGUGGUAGGUGAUUUAACCUUUUGAGAAGCCCAGAUCAAGCUAUUGGAGCAAGUAGAAACGGUUUGGAGAUGGAAACUUUGCUUUGAUUGAGUUGCCGUUGGGUGGUGCUCAAUUUACCCAGACAAAUUUUCGGGCAAAUGUUUCUCUAUCUAGAUUUGAUCGUGCUCUUGUUUUUAGCGAGUGGGAACAACACUUCCUUGGCUGCACUCUAAGGGCGCUUAUGAAAGUUUGUUCGGAUCAUUGUCCCAUUUUGGUGGAGUGUCGAAAUGAGAAGCGGAUUGAUAGACCGUGACGUUUUAAAAAUAUGUGGAUGAGAGCUCUAUCCCCCGAUUGGCGGGUUGUUCUUUCUGGCCAAAAAGCUGGAGUUAAUCAAAGAAAAACUAAAGGUUUGGAACAUUGAUGUUUUUAAAAGGGUAAAUAAAGAAAUUGAAAGAGGGUUUGGUGACAUUAACGUGCUUAAUAAGAAAGAGGAAAGGGGCGUGCUCACUGAGGAGGAUAGAGUUCAGAGAAUUUCUGUUAAAUGUAACUUGGACAUAUUAUGGAGAUGGAAAGAGAUUUUCUCAAAGCAAAAAGCCAAUUUGUAUUGGUUUAGGGUGGGUGAUCGUAAUACUAAAUAUUUUUAUUAUAUGGUUAAUAGUAAAAAAAGGAGAAAUUUAGUUUAAUUUAUUGCUGUGAAUGGUGAUCUUGUCAAGGGUCAAAGCAACAUAACAAAAAAGACAGUUAAGUUCUAUUAAACUUUGUAUAAGGAAUUUAAAUUUGUAAGAUCGAUAGCCUCCAAUCUUACUCUAAGGAAGAUUUCUAAGGAGGAGGCUAUGGGAAUGGUUGUUCCGCUUUCGGAGGAGGACGUGGAGAGAGUGGUUCAUAAAUGUGGUGGGGACAAAGCUCUAGAUCGUGAUGGUUUUUCCAUGAUGUUCUUUAAGAGGAAUUGAGAGAUUGUAAAGGAAGAUAUGUGUAAAGCGAUGACGUCUUUCUUUGAUUAUUCGUUGAUCCCUAAUAGUGUAAAUAACACCUUCACUAUUAUGAUUCCUAAGAAGAAUGUGAUGGAGGAAUUUAAGAAUUUUCGCCCUAUUAACCUUGUGGGGAGCAUUUAUAAGAUUAUCUCCGAGAUUCUUAUGUUUAGGUUGAAAUAUCGUUUGACUAGUCUUAUUUCUCCACAACAAUGUGCCUUUGUGAGGGAUCGACAGAUUUUUGGCGCAGCCCUUAUUGCUAAAGAGAUUAUUGAUUCUAGAUAGAAAAGUGGCAAAUCGGGGCUUGUUCGCAAACUGGACAUUAAAAAGGCGUAUGACCAUGUAAACUGGGAGUGUCUUUUCAACCGUCUAUAUCUGAUGGAUUUUGAGGAAAAGUGAAUUGUGUGGAUAAUAAGUUAAUUGACAACAACUCAUUUUUCGAUCUUAGUCAACGGUGAGGCGUCCGGUUAUUUCAAGAGUAGCAGAGGCUUGAGGCAAGGAGAUUCCUUAUCUCUCUUCCUGUUUAUCAUUGUUAUGGAGAUUUUAUCUGUUAUCCUUGACAAAGUGCAAACUGUUAUCUUAGUCUCGAGUUUCUACAUGGACGAGGAUCACCGUGAAGGACUCGUAAACCACAUUUUGUAUGCAGAUGAUGCUUUGCUUUUUUGCGACGCAUCAGAAUCUUAGGUUCGUUUUCUGGCUGCAACUCUCAUUUAUUUUGAGUGUGUUAUUGGUUUGAAGGUGAACUGGCACAAGUCCACAUUAAUCCCUGUUGGAGAAGUCCCUAAUGUGGGUGGUUAUGCUAAUAUCCUUAGUUGUGAGAUUGAGGCUCUCCUUGCUUCUUGUCUUGGUCUUCCUCUUGGGAUAAGAGGUUGUUUCACGACGAUCUGGGAGCUGGUUAUUCGUAACGUGGAGAGGAAAAUGGAAUCUGGAAAGCCAAACUUUUGUCCUUCGGUGGUAGGGUGGUCAUGCUUAAAAGUGUGUUUUCUAGCCUUCUUGUCUACUAUCUUUCCAUCCUCAAGGCUCCCGUUACUGUGAUUGAGCUGAUUGAAGGUUUAGAAAAACGUUUUCUGUGGGCUGGCAGUGUAGAUAAAGAUAAGAUUCAUCGGGUAGUUUGGGAUCUUAUUAAGACUCCUAAGUGUGUUGGCGGCCUUGGUGUGUAGAUCUAAGGAUUCUUAAUGUGGCACUUUUGAGUAAAUGGAUGUGGAGGUUUGCGGUUGAGAGAAAUGCUUGGUGGCAAAUUCUACUCACUACCAAAUGCGGGGUUGGAUGCUCUGAGUGGCUUCCCUCACCAGCGGGUUGUUUUUUAUGGAGAUGGAAAACUGAUCUUUAUUCUGGGCGUACAGCUAUCUCGAUCCUUGGGGGGGGGGGGGGAAGUUUGUGUUUGUUUUGGUUUUAUUACUAGGUUGGGGGUGUGAGAUUGUGUGAGGCCUAUCCAAGGAUUGUGGCAGCUGCACAGUCUGCGGAUAGUUAUGUUUUUUACCUGUAGUCUAUGGGCGACAGGAGGACUUAGAGCAUUCCCUUGUCUACUUCUUUGAGACGGGGGGCUUUGGUGGAGUUUCAAUUUCUUCAAGCUCAUUUGGAGGCUGUUCCUUCUAACCUGAUUACUGAGGGUCCAACCUCGAUUGUUUGGCCGCUAGAAUGGUCUCAUGUUUUUUCAGUCGAUCACUUCGAGUUCAGAGUACUACAGACAAGUUUCCAUUUUUCCCUUUCGACUUUGUUUGGUCGACAAGCGCUCCAUCAAAGGUUCAAUGUUUAUGUUGGUUGGUCUUCUUCAAGAAAAUUGCAACGAUCGACAAUCUUCAAUGGAGAGGUAUGCAAAUGGUGAACCGUUGUGCCCUAUGUUGUUGCGACCUCGAAUCGGUCGAUCAUUUGUUCUUGCACAAUAGUUUCUCUUCUUCGGUUUGGGCACAGAUUAGUUGAAUACUUUCCAUGUACGGCCUACUACGUUUGAUUGUCUGGGUUUCAUUGAGACAUUAAAAGAGAUGAACUGUCUUCCGAUAUUUGAUGUCACCAAGAAAGUGAUUUUACAUGUCUAUUUCUGGAUUUUAUGGGAGAAAACAAUAAUCGUAUAUUUAGGGAUGGGAGGAGAAGUAGUUCUCAAUUGUUCUACAAGAUUAUGGUGAGUGUGGGGAAGUGGCCUGUUGCUGCAGGCUUCUUCUCGGUUGCUCAACAUCAGGUGUGGUCAGAGUUUGUCAUCAAUCCUAAUUAAUUUCCGGUUAUUUUUUGGGCGUGGGUUGGAUGUAUGGGGCAUUUCUUUUGAGUUGAGAUAUAAUUUUUUUUGCUAUAAGUUAAGUUGGGGUUUUUUCUUUUUUCUCAUUGCAGUUAGUUUGUAAGUGGUUCUAUGUACAUUUUUUUUAUAAGGACCCAUUACUUUGAUGUAAUUCUCUUUCAUAAUUUAAAUCCACAACUUGAUAAAAACACCGCAUCUUUAAUAUAUAGAUGAUGGUUUGGAUUUCUCUCAUCUCUACUCUAUUCUUGAAGUAGCUUCAAAAAAGUGUUCUAUCAUGAUUUGGCCAAGUCCAUCAACAGGUCGUCAAGAGUACACAAGCCAACCAGUCGAGAUAUAUUUCGUAUCUCAAUAUUCCUUUGUGCCUAGUCUUUAGCAUGUCUAUUAUAUAUCAGGGCAAGAUUCAUCCAAAUUCAUUCGUCCAGCUCAAGAUUCAUCCAAACUCUCCAUUAUGAACUAUUUUGUUGCUCACCUGAAGUUUUGGGAGAGAAUAGUUGGCGUGCUAGAUAGAGACUAAUUUACAUAUGAGGAUAUAUCACGGUAACGUGCACUUCAGUUUCCAUUUGAAACCACAUUAUUAUUAAUACAUAGUAAUGAACUGAUUAAAUACAUAGAAAACCAAUUGGGCCUUGGGGCCCGGGAUCACCUACUCUAAUCUAAGGCAAUUAUCCAAUUGAUUAGUUAUCUAGUAGAUACUUUUGAAUAGAUAUUGAAUCCAACAUCAAGUCAGCAACUGCUCAUAAUUUGUUUCCUUAUUGGCUGUCCUGGCCGAUGAACUAACUGUACAUAUAUUCUAUUAAUUAGAUAACCCAAAAGAUAUUGACAAUUUAUAUAUUCCAUCUCUUUGCUUUUCCAGCUAUUUUUUUCAUCACUAAAAUUAUAUUGAUACGCGUUUCCUAAAUCCUAAUCAACACAGCUCAUGAUUUUAAUUUUAGGUGAGAUUAAUUAGCUACUUGGAUAAUAAUUAUAAUUGGGUAAGGUUUCCAUUCUUAAAGAGAAAUUGCCAAAGGUAAUUUGUUUACUUCUUUUAAGGUGAUAUUUCCGAAUUUUAGAGCCACGAAUAACAAAUCAAUCACUUUGACAACAACCCAAUUCAAAGAAUGAGUAUUGGAGAUUCAUGCAUGUUCAUCAAACUUCAAUUCUAAUUAUAGACAAUAUAAUUACAGCUCAAUAGAAAAGAAUAAUGGUAAACAGAUACACAGGUUUCAAGACUGCCUAGGAGCGGCGAAUCUGGCCGAGAAAUCCGGGUAUCCGCAGUCGUCGGUGGCAUCGCCGUCAUCGAAGUUAAGCGCGUAGCUCUGAGGGUCGUAUUGAAACUUGGUCCUCUUCUUAGAAUUCGAAGACCCAAAGGCUGGUCUGCUAAAUCUUCGAAUGAAAUUUUUCCACUUGGGGCCUGCAACCAACUCGGAUAUUUCUCUCGCCUUCUUCAGCUUCUCCACCACCCACCGCCGCCCGCCGGAAUACCAACGCAGUCCAUCUUGAUCUUCUUCGGAACAAUCUUCUUGAUCGGUUUGCAAAAAAUAAGUACGGGAGCCGGAUUUGGUGGUUCGUCGGCGGCUGAAGCAGUGGGCUGGGAAGCAGAGACAGAAGGAGGGGGAGAAGGGGACACCGAGUUCGUCAUCUAGACCGUCGACGACGUCGUAGUCUUUGGAGGGAAGGUGAUCGUGUGGUCGGGAACUGGGGACGAAGGAUGCAGCAGCUUGAUCUUGCUGUGGAUUUACAGCCAUUGUGGUGGGAGCUAGCUAGACGAGAGAGAGAGAGAGAGAUCGAAGAGAGUUGAGAAAGAUAGGAUUUAUAAUUAAGGAGGAGCAGAGACAGGGAGCACCGUCUAAUAGCAGGCCGCUCUUGAUUCGAUUAAGGAUUAACUGAUUAUUAAUGACCAAUAAUUGCCUUGUUUUGUUUUGUUUUGUCCUGGAUUACCGCCUUCAAUUUGUAUUAUUUUCCACUUACGGACUCCAAAUUGUUCGUUUUUAAUUCCCGUUACUUUGCCGCUUAAGCUUUCUCACAUACAUAGGGUAAUUUACAUCCCAUGCCAUUUGACUAUUAUUUUGCUGCGCAUUAGUCACUUACUGUUUUUAAUUUGCGCCGGAUACCACUCACUCGACUGUCAAAUUCGUUUGCCGUCUAUUUAACUAACAGAUUUAUUAUUCUAAGUAAUAUUUUAUUUUAUGAUUACUUGAAUGCCAACUCACCUCAACCUAAAGCUCAAUUGUUGAUUGGCAGGCUUAAGAAGUUAGGUGUCCUUAAAUUAUUACAUUAAAAUCCACCUACUUAAUUACCCAAUUUGCAGUCAUUUCAUUCAACUUCUCGAUAUGAGAUCAAGCUGUAGGUUGAAGUGAGUUGGCAUCAAGUUGUCCCCACAAAAUGUUAGUAGCUAGAGAUUGGCCUUGUUAUAUCCAAGAUUCCAAGUGGUUUGAUGGAGCAGUGACCCAAGUCAGCACAAAGGCUUAUCCACAGAAACCCAAAAAUACCCCAGUUCUGCAGCAUUAUAGAUGAUUUGAUUUUGCUAAAAACACACACAAAGGCCAAAGCUUUAGACUAGUGGGAGUGGAGCAAAAGAGAAUCAAGAAUCACCCGUUGGUCUUCAACAUGAACUCCUCAAUCUUAACUUGAAAUCCUUGCUUCCACUUGUAGCUAUGCUCCGGGUCAAUCUCUAAGCUUCCUAUCUUCACCAACUUGAUGUCAAAAUACCUCUAAAUGUGCUUCCAAGAUGCAAAGCAAAAUGGAAUGGAGGAAGUUUGAUAAAAGCUAGCUGGGGCAGAUCCUGGAAAAGUUCAAAGUUGUGUUCUUUUAUUAUAUGCCCUGUUGCCACUCGGAAACAGAGGAAGAGGAAUUUCCCUUAAUAAUGCAGAAGAUUGUAGAACCCCCAAUUGUUGAUGUAUUUCUUUACACAAAGUACCCAAGAGGCAAGACAGAGCAGCAAAUCAACUGUAAUUAGCUGCAUUUAAAAAAGAAAGAAGAAAAAUCUCACUAGUCACAACCUUUUUUUACGAUAGAUACAUCACAAUAUAUUUAGUUUUGAAUUUCUCAAUUUGAGCUUCAGUUUCAACUCCAUCCAGAGAUCUCCGUCCUGCUCACCCUCCCUUGCAUAGACGGAGCCUCUGCCCAAGUCUCAAUACGGGUAAACCUUUCUGGAGUUGCCGGAAGUCUGGCUGCGAAGCUACUAAACGGUAGUUGAUCAUCCUCUCGAUUGGCACCGUCCUCCUCGAAAUUGAGAGAGUAGCUCUCUGGAUCGUAUCUGAAAUAAUCGGAUCUGUGUCCUCUCUUGUUCCGGCCUCCUCCUGCGGAUCUCCUACCGAUGAUGAACCCCCUGCACCUGUCCUUGAUCUCAAGAUGAUAUUGGCUAGAUCUGGCAGGAGGCGGCUUGGUGUUGCUGGGGUCGAAAUCGUAGUCAGGGUGGAGGAUGUGGUGGUGGCGGAUGGGAGUGAAGCAGCAGAUGGAUAACUUGAGCUUGUCCUUGAAGGAGGUGGGAGAGUAGUACUCUUCGUCGUCGCUAAUAAUCGGCAUCGCCAUUUCUGGUGGUUGAUCUGGUUGUGUUAGUUUGCAGUGCAGUUUAAAUACAAGGGAUAGAAAACGGACGGCAGUUGUUGAAGGGAAAGAUGAAAACAAAGAUACAUAAAUAAAUAAAUAAAGGACGCGGAAAUGCAGUGUGUUUUGUAGCGGACGAAACCGUGGGAAGGUCGCGGCCUUCCGUUAAGGGAUGAUUGAACCCGCGGAGGGAUUACUGAUUGAUAUUAUUAUUUAUUUGAUUUUGAACUGUGGACGGCUCGAUAUUGUAAUUAAUUUAUUAAAGAUCCAAUGGUCGAUCUAAAUUUAGUAGGCCCAUAAGUCUAUAUUCAUAUCUGUUGAUGGCCCGCCUUAUCAAGCCCAAUUUUCAUCCGCACUGGACCCGGGUCCAGCCACAGAACCCGAAAUUUUCAAGAGAAGGCCCGAAAAGGAUACGGAACAAAAUAAAGAGAGAUUAAAAAUUAAUUUAAAGCGAGAACCUGAGAGCCGGAGAAUCGACGUAGUGCUAUACGGAUCUCUUUCUCUGCCACCUCCUUCCAAGAAAGAAUUCGUUAGCUAGUAGCUAUUACAUGCGAAAAAAAGAUGAAUGCAAUUUCCUUGAAAUUUCCCGUUCUACUACUUAAUUUAUUCUGCCUUGCGACAUACGGUAUGUUUUUAUAUGUAAAAGGGAAGAAGAUCCAUUUGGCUUUUGUUGAUUUAAUAGCAUUUGACUUCACAAUGAAAAUGGCGUCAUUCUUUAGGGAAGUUUUGGAUUUAAUUAAGCCAUUUGAAUACAAACAUGAUGAGGGUGGGUUGUUUGAGAAUUGAAUUCAUCUUCAAAAAAAAUUCCGAAUCAAUUAGAUGUGAUUUUAAAACAAUGACAUUAUUAAUGAUAAUGAUUAGUCUUAAUUAGUUGAGUUGUGCAUGCCACAACGUUAGCAUGGAGAGGCCGAUAGCUACAAACAGACCAAACCCAUUAUCACUUAGGGUUAUGUGAAGUAUAUUUUCGGCCUUCAUCCGUUAACGGUACAUGGAAAUCCAUUUGUAAAUGUGUUACCAACUAUAGGGCGAAGCAUCUUCGGAAACCAAAAAUAUAUGGCUUGAUGGGAUAUUACAAUAUAUGCAUCCGACCCCACCAACACAUAAUACACGAGGGAAAAAAGAACACUUAUUGGAACCAAGUAUUAGUGCAGCAGUACUGCUAUUAUUCCCUAAUCCAUUAUUUGAUGGCAUUGAUGCAGGUUCCAUUCAUUAUUUAACCUUCCUUUCGAAAUAAAUCAUCACAGCUUAUUUCAAUUUCUAUCCAAGUUGUGUAUCUGAGUUUUAUUUUUUUAAAAGAAGAUUCUUAUUGUAAUUUUCAUAUAUGUGAAUCGAGAAAUAUAUAAAAUGUCUUACAGGAUAACUGUUGCCACAAUUAAAACUGUAUGGAUCGCAGAUUUAUACUUUUUCAGAAAGAUCUCAGUUCUUUCUCUCCGUAUCAAAAAUAUUAUGGCAAAAAAACAUGAAACUCGAAAAAAAGUUCCAGACAUAGAAAUCAACAAAUUGAAACUAAAACGAAACAAAAGAUUAAGACUACCAACUAAAACAAAACCCUAGCUUGCCUGGAUGUGCACACAUCUUUAUUCGAUUCAAACUGCCAAAGGGUUUAAGGCCUUAGCUGUCCGACACGCUCUAGUCAAUGUGGCUGACCGGUCACCUUCGGCUGGAGGCACAGAGGUGGAGCUCUGGCCGAGUUUCUCUGGGCCUGGUGGUUGGGUGACUAGAUCCAUUAGCGACAGAGCUUCUAGCCUUGAUCAUGGUCGCCGUGUCUGAAGGUGAUACCGGUGUCGACGUCGGCGGAGAAGUCUGCUGUGCGGUGUUUCCAGAACUGGGUGUUUUGGCUAUAGCGUUUAUAGUUAGGGUUUGCGGUGACGGCGGGUUCAACAGCUGGAGGAUUGGUAAGGGUGGUUGUUUGCAUCUUGGUGUUGCGGUGUAGGGUACGAUACGCCGGUCGUGAUGAAAGUUGUGGUGAUUGGCUCACGAUGGUUGGAUGAAGCGAUGGUUGGGAUUGAUGGUGUACAGCAGGAAGCGCCGGCGGCAUGGUUGUUUUACGAAGCUCUCAUACGAGAGACAUCUUAGCAGCUAGGGCAACUCUUACCCUCUAUUAUUAUUAUUAUUAUUAUUUACUUAAUUAGUAAUUACCGACUGAUUACCGUACAUUAUUCGCUUUUCACAGUCUUGUUUUAGUUAGAAAUCCGAAUAGCACCAUAAUCCCACGAUCAGAGGCGUGGGCAAAAUAACCCCUCCCCGCCUUCUAUAUAUUGCCCGCUUACUUUCACUAAUUCCUUACCCCACACCCACACCCACACCCACACCCAGAGCAUAGUUGGCGUGUCGAGGAGUUGUACACGAAGCAGGAAAAAGCAGAGGCAAAGCUAUACAAGAAAGAGAAGGCAGCGGAGGGACAUAUGGCAGCGGUCAGAGCAUCGUUCUACAACAACCAACAAAUGGCCGAGGCUAGGCUUUUUGGUAAGCUGAAGGAGGCUGAAGGACUUGUAGCCAUCGCCAAAGCACAAGGGACUUAUUUGAAGACACUCCUCGACACGCUUGGUGGGAACUGCACUUCCUUGAGGGAUUACUUGAUGAUCAACGGCGACAUGUACCAAUCAUUGGCACAGAUCAAUGCCGACGUGCUGCGUGGGAUGCAACCAAAGCUUAGCAUAUAGAACAAUACUAGCGACGAGGGUGGUAAUGGGAGUGACGCCAUUAGUGGUGGGGCAAUGAAGGACAUUGCGGGGAUUUAUAAGAUGUUACCGUCGUUGCUUCAAACUGUUGAGGAACAAACUUGGAUGCGCCCUCCUGCUUGGCUUGCUUCCUUGCCGCCUCAUUCUAAGUCGUCGUCUAAGUGAUCAAUUAAUUAUCUACCUCAUUGGCUUAAUUAUAUCACUAGAAAUAACCAGCACUUUCUCACGAAAAAUAAUAUGAUGCUAAUUGUUGUGAAAAGUUCAAAAACUAAGCCAACGAGGUAGAUUUAUCGAGUUACAAUUUAUUGAAUUAUGAGUUGAACGGUUGCGAGUUUAUGAUCGCAAAAGUACGACGGCCGCUUCCUCUAUCAUAUAAGACCAAAUAUAUUGUCAAUUGGAGAGGCUAGCCUAAAUGAAGAGUAUUAAAAAACUUAAAUAAUUUUAUAAACAAAAACCAUAGGUAUCCGAGAAAUAUGACUAUAAUGAGAUCUACAUGAAAAUGGUACACAAAAAAUAAUGUGAAAUUCUUUAUAGAAAAUUUUACCAUUUUGAAAUAAUAAUAACUUUCAUUCUACUCUACUAUUAUAUAUAGAAUAUAGAAUAUACGGAAUGAGUUAGGUUGUUUUUUAUGCAAAAUAAUGGUUAAUGUAUGAGAAAUUUUUUAUAUAGGUGUCCAUAUGUGUAGUAAGAAAUAAACAUACUUUUUAUGCGAAAUACUUGUUAAUGGGUUAUGUUAAUGUUUAAUGUGAAGGGAAUUGGGCUAUGGUAAAAAAAAGGUGCAAAAGUCUCAUUUUCUUGGGGUUAGGAUCAGUAUUUUACAUCAUUAUUAUUGGUGCAGAAGUCUCAUUUCUUUUGGCAUCAUUAUUUUACGCCCAACUUAAUAACAAACAAAUACUAAAAUGCAGGUUAAUGGCCGAACUAGCUCCUCUUUUACAUGCAUAUAUCUUUAUAAGAAACUAGUGUAACAUAAGUAAGCAUUUAAACACAGUGUUAAACUCUAAUGAAUGUUUGGUUAAAGAGGUAGCUAGCGUUAUAAAGUAAGUUGUCACAUUUAUCCCAAAAGCCUCCAAAUAAAGUCCCCGUUUGGUUUACAGUGUGAAAACAGAGUUGCUAACGGCUCUGUUCCCUUUUCGUUUUCUUCCCCACUGCAACAGUUAUCACUUCCAUUCACUGCUACACACUACAAUCUCAGUUUCCAGUUGUUAUUUUCACUUCCACACACUCAAAAAAGUGUUCUGGAAAAAAAGCCAGCGAAAAUGAUGUUCAGUGAAACCCAUUUACUGAAGCUCACACCUCUGUUCUUUGCGUUCUUUGUUUUCCCAAUAUUGUUCCUCCCAAGCUUCUCUCAUGCCUCUUUUCCUCCAGCUGGUCUGUGUUCUUUUCCCCUACUUUUCGUCCUUUAAUUUCUUGGAUGCCCAGAACGAAAGAUGACAGGAUUAGAUAAAUGCAUUGUCAGAAGAUGCAGUAAAUUAGAAAAAAGAAGUUAACUUUCCCUUGUUGAGAUCCCAGUUACAGUCUUUCAUCCCCUUUUUAGUUUAGUGUUUUAUUUUCUGUGUAAACGUGUUUAAAUGUAUGUUCUGUUUCAGGGUCGCCGGCGGCGGCGGAGCUCCCAUGGAGGAGGUCAGCAGUAGAGAUACCCAGCGAACCACCAAUGGAAGUUUCUUCAUCAUCACCACUUGUAGCUUUAGCAGCUGAACGGACUUACAGGAAAGACCCUCUUGCUGGCUUCAAACGUUACGAUGGUGGCUGGAAUAUCAGCGACCGCCAUUAUUGGGCUGUAAGUUUUUUUUAUUUUCAUUGUUUCCUCCCCUUGGUAACUUAAUGCUAGUUGUAAAGAAGUGGGUUUGUUGGAAAUCAGUCUGCAGGAUUCACAGCAGCUCCACUUUUCCUGGUAGCCUUAAUCUGGUUUCUAGGGUUUGGAAUCUGUUUACUGCUUGGAUGCCUAUGUCAUUACUGCUUCAAGAAGCAGCUCCAUGGCUAUUCUCGAAUAGCCUAUGCACUCUCCCUCGUUUUCCUUGUCCUCUUCAGCAUUGCUGCUAUGUAAGUAGUAGUACUAACACUUCUUACAUUUCCCCUCAUGUCCACAAAUAUAUUGGAAUCGUCAUUGCUGAUAAGACAUACUCUGCUGUCACUUGCAGAAUUGGUUGUAUUGUGCUGUAUAAUGGUCAGGGCAAGUUCCAUAGAAGCACAACACGAACAUUGGAGUAUGUUGUGAGUCAGGCCGAUUCGACAGCCGAAAAUCUGAAGAAUGUGGAUGAUUAUCUUGCCUCUGCCAAGCUACUUGGAGUUGAUCAGGUGUUCCUUCCUGCCGAUGUGCAAACUGACAUUGACCAGAUUGGUGGCAGAAUCAACUCUUCUGCUAGCUUACUUUCCGAGAAAUCGUCUGAGAACUCUGCUGACAUCCAAGAUCUUCUUGAUUCUAUGUAAGUCCACUUAUUGGCGUCCCAAACUUUCCUAGUUCCAUUUCAUGGCUCUUAUUGUUUGCUCAUAAAAGGAGGCUGGCUCUGAUCGUUGUAGCUGCCGUAAUGCUUGUCCUGACAUUCCUUGGAUUGUGUAAGCCACAUUACAAUACAAACUAUACUGUUGAUUUGAAUUGCAUAACGUUAUUAAUUCGAAUGCGGAAUUUGCUAACGUUUGUUUUGGUGUGUCCAGUGUUCUCCAUCUUUGGCAUGCAGUCGCUAGUAUCCAUGUAAGUGCCCUUCUGUUGUAUGUUGAUAUUCAAAGUUCCAGUUUUUUUGCGUAAUACUCAACAAAAGAACCCUUCUGUUGUAUUUUGAUGUUCAACGUUCCAGUCUUUUUGCUUAAUGCUCAACAAAAAUGACCCUUCUGUUGUAUUUUGAUCUUCAAAGUUCCAGUCUUUUUGCUUAAUACUCAAACAAAAAAACCUUCUGUUGUAACUUGAUUAUCAAAGUUCCAGUCUUUUUGCUGUAUACUCAACAAAAAACCCCUUAUGCUGUAUUUUGUUCCUCAAAGUUCCAGUCUUUUUGCUUAAUACUCAACUAAAAACCCUUCUAUUGUAUUUUGAUCUUCAAAGUUCCAGUCUUUUUGCUUCACUCAACAAAAAAAAACCACUAUGGAUGCAGCCUAGUUGUUCUAGGAUGGAUACUUGUUGCAGGCACAUUCAUUCUUUGUGGCAUAUUCCUCCUUCUUCACAAGUAAGCCUUCUCUUCCAAGUCCGAUUUUACAAUCCAUUGAUUAGAGUUCUUGAAUCAAUGGCGUAUACUAACUUAGAGUUGUUGCAUUGGUCGUAGUGUGGCGGGUGAUGCUUGUGUUGCAAUGGAUCAAUGGGUACAAAAUCCAUCUGCACACACAGCAUUAGACGAGAUCCUGCCAUGCGUAGACAGCUCAACCGCACAAGAAACUCUGUCGAAAAGCAAGGAAGUGACAUCCCAGCUUGCCGAGGUAGUGAACCAGGUGAUCACCAACAUGUCGAACAUCAACUUCUCCCCCAACUUCAAGCCAUUGUACAUCAACCAAUCCGGUCCGUUAGUCCCGAUUCUCUGCAACCCGUUUCACGCUGACUUGACUGACCGCCCCUGCAGCCCUGGUGAAGUGGACCUCAAUAAUGCCACACAGGUAAUCAAUUCCCACCAAAUUGGAAAGCGAUCAAAGCUGCAUGUCGAUGGUAACACGAUUUCAUUUGUUAAAACGUUGCGUUUUUUAGGCGUGGAGCAGCUAUGUAUGUCAGGUUUCGCCAUCGGGAAUAUGUGAAACAACAGGGAGAUUGACACCGACUAUAUACAGCCAAAUGGCGGCUACAGUCAAUGUUAGCUACGGAUUGAUAAACUACGCACCGUUCUUGGUUGAAUUAGAAGACUGCACAUUUGCAAGGCAGACAUUUGGUGAGAUAUACAGGGAACACUGUCCAGGUCUGAGGAAGUACAGCAGGGAGACAUAUAUAGGGCUGGUGAUAGUCUCCACUGCAGUUAUGCUGUCCUUGAUAUUCUGGCUCAUUUACGGGCGGGAAAGGCGACACAGCGCUGGUAGUAGAAAUACCAAGCAGCAGCAUCGAGGUGAUGAAUCCGCAGGUCACCAGGAGAUGGAAGUUAUACCAGAGAACAAGGAGCAGCACGGAGUUUGAUCGAGUGUGAGGUUUAGUUUUACCUUUCUUUGUCAUGGGUGAUGUGCAGCAUUUGUAGAUGUGCUCGAGUAACUUAUGGUUGGGGUGGAUUUGUUUGUUUGCAUUGUUAGAACUGUGAAAGAAUGAUUCUUUCCACGUAUUUUUGUGGUACAAUCAGAACUUUAAAAGCUUCAGUUGAUGCAGUGGCGGAUAACUAGUUAUUCUGAAUUCAAGGCCAACUUGAGAAUUUGCUAUGAGUAGACGUUUUUGGUAUAGCCUUAUAUGUAGGUAUUCACGGUCAGAUGAUUGUAAUAACCACCGAACAGACUACCGGCUAUAUUGAUCUUGUUCAAAAAAAUUAUUUUCUUUAUGACGAAAUCACAAAGAUUAAUCAAAGUAAACAGUGCGAAGUUGAUCAUAAGCUUCCCAGCGACUAACAAACUCUCCUUCAUGUCCUCCAAAACCCUACUCAAGAAAGUGUCAAUGUCUGAACCGGGCCAUCGAAUCAGCAAAGCAAUUUGCUUUGAUUGAAAGAAUAUAUGAUAAAGAGGAAUCAUCACUGCUGUUGUUGCUGCUGAAUGAUGAAUGUAUUUGAGAAGAAAGGAGAACAUCGUUUGGAUUAAUCAAUUAGCUUUUUGUCAAAACUUGUCAUAUUAUUGUUAUAUUUAUUUAUUUCUUCGUAGAGCUGUCAUACUUUAUUGACUGAACUUUGUAUAUAUAUUUACAGCUAUCAUACUUUAUUGACUGAACUUUGUAUAUAUAUUUAUGUUUCAAUAAUAAGAAUCUCAAUAAGCAUUUUCUCCAAACAGCAGUGUUUUUCCAUAACAUGCUUAUGCUUCUGGCUCUUCAUCUUCCUUAACUUCCUUCAAUCAAAAUUCAUAUGGUAUCAGAGCUCUAGCUGAUAUAAUUUAGGAUAUAUCGAUCCAAUCAUGAAUGACAGGUGAAACAGAUCCUCCGAAAGCCAUCAACAAUCUUUCAAAUUCUGGAACGAAGUAUGAAAAUCCAUACGGUAAUCCUUAUUUCUUAGCUUUAGGAGACAACUCAUUCCUUCCUGUUAUCAACUUCAAACUCAAUGAUGACAAUUAUUUGCUAUGGAGUGAAUAUAUAGAAAUGGCUCUCAAAACAAAGAAUAAAUGGAUGUUCGUCAAUGGAGCUUUGUCUUGUCCUGUCAAAAAUGAACCAUCUCGUAGUACGUGGGAAAGAAUCAACGGAACAGUUGUUUGCUGGAUCAGAAACUUUGUUUUUGAUAAUAUUGUUCCUAGUCUCUUGAGUAUCAGAUCGGCUAGUGAGGUUUGAGCAUUUCUCAAGUCGAAGUUUGGACAGGGAGACUCAGUUCGAAUCGCAAAUAUACAAGAGAAGAUUGAUGGUGCUAAGCAGGAAACCAAUCUGUCAGGCAGUACUAUACUAAUCUGAAGAUCCUUUAGGAUGAACAUCAGUCAUAUCGACCAAUCCCUUUUUGUGAAUGCACUGUUGGAACUUAUGCUAAUGUUUUGAAAUAUCAGGAAAAUGACCGAGUUAUACAUUUUCUUCUUGGUCUAAGUGACAAAUACCAGUAGGUUUAGGGUGAUGUGCAGCAUUUGUAGAUGUGCUCGAGUAACUUAUGGUUGGGGUGGAUUUGUUUGUUUGCAUUGUUAGAACUGUGAAAGAAUGCUCAUGUUGGAUCCAUUACAUGACCGAUAUAUUGUGUAAAAGUCUGCCAUUCAGUUGGAAAGACAAAUGUCAGGGAAUGCUAGUGGUGUGCAGAAUGAAACCAUCGCCCUUGCUGCAGCUGCUACCGCAACUUCAUCAAACUUCUAGAGAUUCAAGUCUCAACCUUCUAAAUAUAAUGGUGAGGAGGGUUAUAAAGAUAAAAAAAUUUGUUUUGUAGGUAUUGCAAGAAGGAAAAUCACAUAAUUGAAGAUUGUAUCAAGCUGAAAAUCAAGCGUAUUAAAGACGACUUACCUCCCGACGUCAAUGUAGGCAGAAGGGGGUUUGCAGGUUCUGUAGAUGGAACUAUCAUCAAUCAAUCUGAGAACAUUGUUGGAAAUAGAACUCAUAAAAAUAAGAAUGAGGCACAAUCAGCUAUUUCAAAUCUGACAACAGCUAUGGAGGAGCUCGUGAAACUGAAACAUCUCUUCCAAACACCGAAUUCACAGCCUGCUACAACUUUUUCUUCACUGUCACAUCACGCCAACUCAGUUCAUACUCAUGUACAAUCCUCUACAAAUAACUCUUCCAUGACAGGUAGUGUCAUUCUCUUAGCACUUCCUACAUUGAAUCAUUCAUCUCUUUGGAUCCUUGACACUGGUGCAUUUGAUCACAUAAUUUACCGCUUGCAUCAUCUCAUUCAUCUUAAACCAUUACCAAAUACUUUUGUCAUUCUUCCUAAUCAAACACUGGUCAAAGGUACCCAUAGGUUCCGUGAAACUAUCACGUGGUCUUUAGUUGGUUAAUGUUCUUCUAGUACCAUACUUUACAUUCAACCUUGUCUCAAUUAGUAAACUCACUACUCAUUCUCUAGUAUCCUUACUCUUUCAUUCUAAUAUGUGUGUCAAUCAGGACCUUAUUACUCAACGAAAGAUUGGUUUAGUCCAAGAAGAUAAGAGUCUUUAUUUGCUCAAUCAAGAUUCAACCUCAAAUCUAUCCAACAAUUCCUUUACGACAGCCAUUCCAUCUCGCUUUUGGCAUUCCAGACUAGGACACCCAUCUUUUCCCAGACUUCAAAAAAUUCACAAAUCCUACCCUGAUGUUAUUCCGCUUGAAUCCAGCCAUUGUGAAGUGUGUCAUCUAUCCAAACAGAAGCGUCUUCCCUUUCCAAGAAGUGAAUCACAGAUCUUAUUUAGUUUUGAACUUAUUCAUGUAGACAUUUGGGGCCAGUUGAUGCAAUUUCUUUGGACGGUUUUAGUUAUUUUCUUACCAUUGUUGACGAUUUCUCCCGAACUGUUUGGUUUUUUAUGAUGAAAGCUAAAUCUGAAGCCAUGUAUUUGCUUCAAUCUUUCUGUCACAUGGUUCAUAACCAAUUCCAAAAGAAUGUUAAGGUCAUUCGAUCUGAUCAAAGAGCUGAUUUCACAUGAAAGAUUUCUAUUCUCAGCAUGGCAUCCUGCAUGAAAUGAGUUGUGUCAUAACUGCUCAACAAAAUGGCAGAGUUGAAAGAAAGCAUCAACACCUCUUAAACGUAGUUCGCUCUCUCAAAUACCAAUCUGAUUUAUCAAAUACUGUCUGGAGUUACUUUGUUUGUUUUACAUGCAGCCUACUUGAUUAAUCGAAUUCUUACAACAAUCCUUCAUCAUAAAAGCCCCUUUGAGACCCUUCAUAAUGUUCCAUCCGAUUAUUCCGACCUUAAAGUUUUCAAAUGCUUGGCCUAUGCCACCUCAUUGGAUACUCAUAGACCUAAAUUUUUUUCUAGAGACCGCAAAUGCAUUUUCCUCGAAUACACCACUGGUAUCACAGGCUAUAAACUAUACGACUUAGACAUCCACCAAAUCUUUGUCUCUAGAGAUGUCAUUUUUCAUGAAUCCAUUUCUCUCACUAUCUUCUCAGUCUUCUUCACCAGCCAUUCCUCCUUCCUCAUCUACUCUUACUGGGUUUUUAAUUAAUAUUUCUUCAGAUGCCAAUUACCAACUACCUACUCAUAUUUUUCAUGAUAUCUUUGAUGAUGACACCAAUUCUAAUGCUACUGUCACUGAUUUUUCAACCUCUCCUCUUUCUCCUCCUCCACAACCAAUCUUACCUACACAAUCAUCCUCCUCUAUUCGUACUUCUAGACAACCUCAAUACUUACAAAAUUGUCAUGUUCAAUUGCAUAAUGUUCAUACUCCUAUUCAUGUGCAUUCUAACCAUCACUCGCUUUCAUCAUGCAUCUCUUAUGAUAAUCUUUUUCCUGCAUUCAAACACUACAUUCUCAGCAUUUUUUCCCACAUUAACCCAAUCACAUAUGCACAAGCUGUAGAAGAGAAAGAUUGGAGGGCCAUGUAUGAAAAAUUUGCUGCUCUAUUAGUUGCUCGGACUUGGAUUAUAGUUGACAAACCUUUAGGCAUAACUCUUAUUGGCUGUAAGUGGGUGUAUCAAACCAAAUAUACUGCUACAUGUGAGGUCGAUCAGCUCAAAGCCAGAUUAGUUGCUAAAGGAUAUACAUAAGUUUAUGAAGUUGAUUUUACGGAGACCUUUUCACUUGUUGCAAAGUUGAACUCAGUGAAAGUCUUGCUAGGUGUUGCAGCCAUAAAAAACUGGCACCUCCAUCAAAUGGACGUUAAUAAUGCAUUUUUACAUGGUAACCUCGAUGAGAAAAGUGUAUACGAAACUGCCUCCUGAAUUAUAUUACGGGGUCUGAAAGAAUAUAUGAUAAAAAGGAAUCAUCGCUUAUGCUGCUGUUGAAUGAUAAAUAUGUUUGAAAAGAAAGGAGAACACAGCGUUUGGAUUAAUCAAUUAGCCCUUUGCCGAGAUGUUGUCGUGUUAUUGUUGUAUUAUUUAUUUCUCUAUAUAUGUGUUAUAAUUUAUUAACUGAACUUUAUACAUAUAUUUAUAUUUCAAUAAUGAAAAUUUCAAUAAAUAUUUUCUCCAAACAACAAUGUUCUUCUAGAAUAUAUUUCUGCUUCUAUCUCUUUGUCUUCCUUAACUUCGUUUAAUCAUUUAACUUCCUUCAAUCAAAAUUCAUAUUGAUCUAACUAUCAAAUAAGUCGGAUCUCUCGGUCUCUGGCCGGAGUCUCUGAAAUUUCAAAAUUUUCCUUUGAAUUAUUUUAAAAUGCUUAUUUUGGACGCAAUAAUUUGGACCCACCUGUGAAUUUCUUAGGUGACCGUUUCUUUGGAAAGCUGAAAAGUAUACACGCGGCAGCUCAUCAGAGGUGGCCGGGAAACCGGUUAGGGAUUCUUCUUUAUUUCGGCGCUUUUGGGCGGUACCUACUCCUCAUCGCUGAAUUAUCAACCGUUUGAUCAGAGAGAGUCCCAUCCCUUCUUUUCCCAAAGUCGCCUCUCCUCCACUAACUACAGUUAAACUAACCAUAGCUGGGAAAGACACAAAUAGCCUUGCUAUUUCCGCUAAACUUCACGCCCGCCAUUAUUUCUCCAAUCUAUAAAUCCGUCUCCUGAAACUAGCCAUGUUUGCCGAACCAAACAGCCUAAGGGCAUCUUAAGGAAAAUUCCCCCCAAAAGCCCCUCCUCUUCUCUUCCUUUUCCCCUUACCACCUUCUUCUUCUUCUCCGAUGGGGAUGGAUUCAAAUUCUAAGAAACCUAGCGGUCCGGUGCUCCGGUCACUAUCACCUUCCGCACGGUUUCCGUCAUACGGAUCCCGUUCUCACCUGUCUUCUUCCUCGUCAGCCUUCGCUUCUUCCACGAGCUCCGGUUUUUAUUCGUCGCCGUCAGCCUUCUUCCGCAGCUCAGCUCCUCUUCAGAGAUCCACCUCUCCGACGCGCGUCAAUCUCUAUUCCUCGAGUCCUCCAUCACCCACCUUCCGUUUCUCCAUCGAUCGAUCCACUUCUCCUAGCCGAUCGAUUACGGUCGCCACCAAGCACAUCAAUCACAUCUCCAGCCUCCCUAAGAAGAAGACGUGUAUGUGCUCUCCGACGUCGCAUCCGGGAUCGUUCCGGUGUAGCCUCCACAAGAACAGCAAUCAAAGCAGCCACGGUGGUAAUAGCAGCUCGUAUACGCCCAACAGGUUGAACAUGAGGAGAUCCGCCAUGGCGAACUCGGUGGUGAGAAUCGGCGGUGUUGAGGGAGACUGGGUCAAGAGAGCACUGUCCGCCUUGAUCCGGCCGUCUUCACAUCAGCAGAGGAGGCGUGGGAACUUUCAGCAACGACCAAGCAGGCUCUCCGUCAUGUCUAGAGCCGAUGAGGGUUCUUAACAAAUGGUAUUUAUGAAGGUUUAAAUAUCGUUUUUCUUCAUUUCUGAUCUCCGAUCCCGGCGAUUCCCGGCGGAGGGUAUGAAGUGUGGUUUGCAACAAGGGACGACGCCGAGCACUGCCUUCGGGAACGAUCAAACAUGGCGGGGCGAGCUUUGUAGGCGGAGAGAUCUGGGAUUCUCUGCUAGAAAAAAAAUUCUUUUGUAUAUGUCAACGAUUGGAGUGGAAGGAGAUUUCAGGAUCUAAGAGAUAAAUUUUCCAAAACCAGAAACUGAUGAAAGUUGAGAAUCGGAAUAAUUAUGGACAGAACGAGUUUAAUCAAUUAGCCAAACAGAACAUCAUGAUCACAAUUGGUUUCCAUUGAAGUCGAACCCCGUGAGACGUCCUCUGUCUUCUGGCCAUCAGUUCUCCGUUCACCGUUAUUCGUCUCUUCCGUCAUCGUCCGUCCCGUGCGUGCCGUCGGAAUUCCCGUCAGCCGUCGUCGUCGUCGUCGUCAUUUUGAAAGGUAAUAUUUAUUAUUAUGUAUUUAUUUGUUGUUUUCAAUUCAUGCGUUUUGCAUUGUUCCUUGUUUACGUUUUGUUUGUUUUUGGGUGUGACAGGUGGUACCAGCUUUGGAGGAAAAACUUGUUUAUGGACGGACUUUAAUUAAUUGAAUUUGCCUUUGCUAUCAAAAUGGAGAAAGAUGGAAACACGUCUUGCAGCAGCAAGCUGGCGAUGACUAUUUCCUUUGGAAAAGAAGGAAACUUAACUUAAUCGUGACGAAUAAAUAAUGUGAAAACUAAUUAAAGAAUUAAAAGGUGGAGUUUACGUGAAUUACGGUUGGGAAAAAAGUAUAAUAUUGCAUAAAACAUACCAAUAAAAAUUGGAAAUUCAAUCUUUGGGGUGGUUGGGUUGGGUUGGGGUCGAUUUGAUUAUUUAAACUUUAAACAAACUGAAAAAUAUGAAAUUUAAUUAUAAGUGGAGGGGACGGGGGAGAUGGUAUAAAGACAUGUGAAGGGGUGGGCAUUUGAUAAUGGAUAAUAUGGAUUGAUGGCUAAUCGUGACCCUCUGUGUAUAAUAGAAGGCGACUAAAUAUGAUUUUAAUAUUUUAGUCAUUUUGAAAAUUACAAUGGCUCCAACCAUAAGACUAGCUAAACUCAUAAAUCUAUGCCGGAGGGUUGGAGACAGCCUAACAAGUGCCGGGAAAUAAGGUUUUAGGAUGGUGGGUAACUCAUAUAACAUGGUUGGGAAAUAAUAAGGUUAUCUAUAAUAUGUGUUUGUGGACUAUUGUGGGAUGGUGAUAUAAGUGGAUUGGUGGUCCGAGAUGGAAUUGUGGUAUCGGAUCGAGAAAGAAGAAAAGGGUUUAAAUUUUGAUAUAAUAAGAGGACAUUGAAGGAAUGAAUGAACUUAUAAAUUUGGAUACGGUAAACUGGGAAAUUGGGUCAAAGAAGUGACCAGAUGUUAUGAUGAUAUAUACUAAUACAAGAGGUUUGUGAAGAAGACGAAGGAAGAAAACCAGUUAGUUGUAUGACAAACACAUGUGUGGGGGUUAUGCACUUAGAGUUUGGUUGGGUUGAAUUACUUUCAGAUUUUUACCAACUCUACAUACAGUUCCAACAUCCAACAAAGACCGGUGCUAUAUUUGAGUCUAACUGGUUUUUUAUCCUAUUUUGAGUCAAAGAACGUUUUGGUUCAGAUAUUAGAGUGACUCUUGUUGCUUAUUGCUUAGGUUGAUUACUUGAAUCAUGAGUAAAUAAGGAGUAGGUUAGUUUAAAAUUUAAGAAGAAAAUACACAACUUUGUAUGUUACAAAUACUCUUCAUUUAAUAAAAUAAGUAAUACAUGAUUAGUUGUCGUUUUUUACUCGAUUCACUAUCAAUCACGAUAACCAUUUGCUACUCUAUUGGAUUAUAGUAAAUUUAUACUUAAUUCAUAGUUUUGGAAUGUAACUCGGUAAGGUAUUUUACUAAUAUUAUGAAUUUUUACCUUGGAAAAAAUAAUUUAUCUGCAGUAAUUUUGUUUCACGCAGCAAUUAAUGUUAGGAAAAAAUGAAUACAGAUAUGUCAAGGAUGUAACCGUCGAACAAAAUAAAUAUAACGGCGGCAGGACGGUGGCGGGUAGGGUAAACGUUGACCUGGAUUUGUCAAUUGGCGCGGCGGACGAAAUUCACGAAACCCUAGAAGGAGGAAGAGAAGCUCCCACGACCAAACAUUUAAAAGAAAAAAGAAGAAAAAAGGGAAACAGAUGAGAAAUUGAAUGAAUGAAUGAUUGUCUUCUUCCUUUUUCCUCUCUUCAUCUAUCUGGAUCAGCUCUGUCAAUCUCUGUCAUCCACUAUUUUGUUUCAGAGGCGUUCAUAACAUUUCUUUUGCCUCUCUGGUUUUUCUCCAUUCCUUCCUUGCGUUUUGUUCAAAUUCGUAACCGUCCAACGAAAUGGGAAAGCCAACGGGGAAGAAGACUUCAAAUCCUCAAUCGCCGAAAACUCCGAGAACCCCUAAAACCGACGGUAACGCUAAGCACCAGCAGAGCAAGCUAGCAUCCGACAAAUCUUCCAAAGCCUUUGAUGAAGACACCGCAAUCUUCAUCACCAUGGCGCAGGAGCUUAAAGAAGAAGGAAACAAGCUCUUCCAGAAGCGUGACCACGAGGGCGCGAUGUUGAAGUACGAAAAGGCCGUCAAGCUACUCCCCAACAAUCACAUCGAUGUCGCAUCUCUCCGCACCAGCAUGGCCGGUUGCUAUAUGCAGAUGGGACUCGGUGAGUGUCCUCGAGCUAUUAACCAGUGUAAUUUGGCGCUGGAGGUUUCUCCAAAAUAUAGCAAGGCUCUGUUGAAGAGAGCUAUCUGUUAUGAGUCCUUGAAUCGAUUGGAUUUAGCUUGGAGAGAUGUUAAUCGUGUUUUGUCCAUGGAACCUAGUAAUUCAUCCGCUCUUGAGGUUUUGGCUAGUGUUAAGAAGUCUAUGGCGGAUCAGGGGUUGAGUUUUGAUGAAAAUUCCAUUGGUUUGGAUGAUGAGGUUGAGAAGAAGAGUGGUAUUGGUGCAUCUCGUUUGCGCAAGGUGGUGAAAGAGAAGAUCAAGAAUAAGAAGAAGAAAGCUGAUAAAGCUGAGGUUGUGGAGAAGAAGAUAGAUGAUAAAGAAAAGGUACCGGUUGUUGAGGUGAAGAAAGCAACUCCUAUCAUUAACAAAAAGGAUGUGGUUGUGAAGACCAUUGAUGUGAAGAAAGUGACUGGUAAGAAAGGUAUUAAGGAAGAGAAAGCAAUUGCUAAGACUGUGAAGUUGGUAUUGGGGGAAGAUAUAAGGUGGGCGCAAUUGCCUGCGAAUUGUACUGUGGGAUUGCUGAGGGAUAUUGUUGGUGAUAGGUUUCCUGGCUUGAGAGGUGCUCUAAUUAAAUAUAAAGAUCAAGAAGGUGAUUUGGUUACUAUAACUACGACGGAUGAGUUGAGGUUAGCUGAGGCAUCCUGUGGUUCUCAAGGAUCAUCACUCAAGUUCCACAUUGUUGAAGUUAGUUUGGAUCUGGAGCCGAGUUACGAGCGACCAAAAGCUGAUGAAAACGCAGUACUGAUACACGAAAAGCAGAGUCAUGAUGUGGGAAGAAGCAAUGAUGUUGAAAAGGAGUCUGCUUCGGUUGAUGAUUGGAUUAUCCAGUUUGCAAGGCUGUUCAAGAACCAUGUCGGGUUUGAUUCCGAUUCUUAUUUGGAUAUUCAUGAACUGGGGAUGAAAUUCUACUCGGAGGCAAUGGAGGAUACUGUUACGAGCGAAGAAGCAGUAGAGUUGUUUGAUAUUGCUGCGGACAGGUUCCAGGAGAUGGCAGCUUUGGCUUUGUUUAAUUGGGGGAAUGUUCACAUGUCAAGGGCAAGGAAGAGAGUUUCUUUUCCAGAAGAUGGAUCCCGGGAGACCUUACUGGAACUGAUGAAGAGUGCAUAUGAAUGGUCAAAGACUGAAUAUAGAAAGGCUGGAGAGAGAUAUCACUUGGCCCUUAAACUAAAGCCGGAUUUUUAUGAAAGUCUUUUGGCACUUGGUCAGCAGCAGUUUGAGCAAGCUAAGCUUUGUUGGUACCAUGCCACUGGAAGCAAGCUUGAUUUAGAGAGUGGGCCGUCCGAGGAGGUGCUGGAUCUUUACAAUAGGGCCGAGGACUGCAUGGAGAGAGGUAUGCAGAUGUGGGAGGAGAUGGAGGAGCAGCGCCAAAAUGGGAUCUCUAAGUUUGACAAGUAUAAAUCCCAGCUUACGAAAUUGGGAUUGGAUGGUCUGUUGAAAGAUGUGUCGGAAGAAGCUACGGAGCAGGCAUCGAAUAUGAGCGCACAGAUAAACCUCUUGUGGGGGACUAUGUUGUAUGAACGUUCUGUUGUGGAGUACAGGUUGGAGUUACCGACUUGGGAAGAAUGUCUGGAAGUUGCCGUUGAAAAGUUUGAACUUGCUGGAGCUUCUCCGACAGAUAUAGCAGUUAUGAUCAAGAACCACUGUUCCAAUGUUACAGCAUUUGACGGUAAAGCAUAUAAUACUUCUGACUCACAAUCUAGUUCUGUAAUUUUCGACUUACUUUUUUCAGACUAUUGGAACUUUACCGCUUUUGCAGGUUUGAGCUUCAAAAUCGAUGAGAUAGUGCAAGCAUGGAAUGAAAUGUACGACGCUAAGAGGUGGGAGAUAGGUGUUCCAUCUUUUAGGUUGGAACCUUUGUUUCGUCGGCGAGCUCCAAAGCUUCAUUAUAUGCUGGAGUCAUAUUGAAAUUUUUAUUGGUAGUCAANNNNNNNNNNNNNNNNNNNNNNNNNNNNNNNNNNNNNNNNNNNNNNNNNNNNNNNNNNNNNNNNNNNNNNNNNNNNNNNNNNNNNNNNNNNNNNNNNNNNNNNNNNNNNNNNNNNNNNNNNNNNNNNNNNNNNNNNNNNNNNNNNNNNNNNNNNNNNNNNNNNNNNNNNNNNNNNNNNNNNNNNNNNNNNNNNNNNNNNNNNNNNNNNNNNNNNNNNNNNNNNNNNNNNNNNNNNNNNNNNNNNNNNNNNNNNNNNNNNNNNNNNNNNNNNNNNNNNNNNNNNNNNNNNNNNNNNNNNNNNNNNNNNNNNNNNNNNNNNNNNNNNNNNNNNNNNNNNNNNNNNNNNNNNNNNNNNNNNNNNNNNNNNNNNNNNNNNNNNNNNNNNNNNNNNNNNNNNNNNNNNNNNNNNNNNNNNNNNNNNNNNNNNNNNNNNNNNNNNNNNNNNNNNNNNNNNNNNNNNNNNNNNNNNNNNNNNNNNNNNNNNNNNNNNNNNNNNNNNNNNNNNNNNNNNNNNNNNNNNNNNNNNNNNNNNNNNNNNNNNNNNNNNNNNNNNNNNNNNNNNNNNNNNNNNNNNNNNNNNNNNNNNNNNNNNNNNNNNNNNNNNNNNNNNNNNNNNNNNNNNNNNNNNNNNNNNNNNNNNNNNNNNNNNNNNNNNNNNNNNNNNNNNNNNNNNNNNNNNNNNNNNNNNNNNNNNNNNNNNNNNNNNNNNNNNNNNNNNNNNNNNNNNNNNNNNNNNNNNNNNNNNNNNNNNNNNNNNNNNNNNNNNNNNNNNNNNNNNNNNNNNNNNNNNNNNNNNNNNNNNNNNNNNNNNNNNNNNNNNNNNNNNNNNNNNNNNNNNNNNNNNNNNNNNNNNNNNNNNNNNNNNNNNNNNNNNNNNNNNNNNNNNNNNNNNNNNNNNNNNNNNNNNNNNNNNNNNNNNNNNNNNNNNNNNNNNNNNNNNNNNNNNNNNNNNNNNNNNNNNNNNNNNNNNNNNNNNNNNNNNNNNNNNNNNNNNNNNNNNNNNNNNNNNNNNNNNNNNNNNNNNNNNNNNNNNNNNNNNNNNNNNNNNNNNNNNNNNNNNNNNNNNNNNNNNNNNNNNNNNNNNNNNNNNNNNNNNNNNNNNNNNNNNNNNNNNNNNNNNNNNNNNNNNNNNNNNNNNNNNNNNNNNNNNNNNNNNNNNNNNNNNNNNNNNNNNNNNNNNNNNNNNNNNNNNNNNNNNNNNNNNNNNNNNNNNNNNNNNNNNNNNNNNNNNNNNNNNNNNNNNNNNNNNNNNNNNNNNNNNNNNNNNNNNNNNNNNNNNNNNNNNNNNNNNNNNNNNNNNNNNNNNNNNNNNNNNNNNNNNNNNNAUUUAGACGUCGAACAAAACAAAUAUAACGGCGGCAGGACGGUGGCGGGUAGGGUAAACGUUGACCUGGAUUUGUCAAUUGGCGCGGCGGACGAAAUUCACGAAACCCUAGAAGGAGGAAGAGAAGCUCCCACGACCAAACAUUUAAAAGAAAAAAGAAGAAAAAAGGGAAACAGAUGAGAAAUUGAAUGAAUGAAUGAUUGUCUUCUUCCUUUUUCCUCUCUUCAUCUAUCUGGAUCUGCUCUGUCAAUCUCUGUCAUCCACUAUUUGGCUUCAGAGGCAUUCAUAACAUUUCUUUUGUCUCUCUGGUUUUUCCUCCGUUCUUCCCUUCCGUUUAGUUCAAAUUUGUAACCGUCCAACGAAAUGGGAAAGCCAACGGGGAAGAAGACUUCAAAUCCUCAAUCGCCGAAAACUCCGAGAACCCCUAAAACCGACGGUAACGCUAAGCACCAGCAGAGCAAGCUAGCAUCCGACAAAUCUUCCAAAGCCUUUGAUGAAGACACCGCAAUCUUCAUCACCAUGGCGCAGGAGCUUAAAGAAGAAGGAAACAAGCUCUUCCAGAAGCGUGACCACGAGGGCGCGAUGUUGAAGUACGAAAAGGCCGUCAAGCUACUCCCCAACAAUCACAUCGAUGUCGCAUCUCUCCACACCAGCAUGGCCGGUUGCUAUAUGCAGAUGGGACUCGGUGAGUGUCCUCGAGCUAUUAACCAGUGUAAUUUGGCGCUGGAGGUUUCUCCAAAAUAUAGCAAGGCUCUGUUGAAGAGAGCUAUCUGUUAUGAGUCCUUGAAUCGAUUGGAUUUAGCUUGGAGAGAUGUUAAUCGUGUUUUGUCCAUGGAACCUAGUAAUUCAUCCGCUCUUGAGGUUUUGGCUAGUGUUAAGAAGUCUAUGGCGGAUCAGGGGUUGAGUUUUGAUGAAAAUUCCAUUGGUUUGGAUGAUGAGGUUGAGAAGAAGAGUGGUAUUGGUGCAUCUCGUUUGCGCAAGGUGGUGAAAGAGAAGAUCAAGAAUAAGAAGAAGAAAGCUGAUAAAGCUGAGGUUGUGGAGAAGAAGAUAGAUGAUAAAGAAAAGGUACCGGUUGUUGAGGUGAAGAAAGCAACUCCUAUCAUUAACAAAAAGGAUGUGGUUGUGAAGACCAUUGAUGUGAAGAAAGUGACUGGUAAGAAAGGUAUUAAGGAAGAGAAAGCAAUUGCCAAGACUGUGAAGUUGGUAUUGGGGGAAGAUAUAAGGUGGGCGCAAUUGCCUGCGAAUUGUACUGUGGGAUUGCUGAGGGAUAUUGUUGGUGAUAGGUUUCCUGGCUUGAGAGGUGCUCUAAUUAAAUAUAAAGAUCAAGAAGGUGAUUUGGUUACUAUAACUACGACGGAUGAGUUGAGGUUAGCUGAGGCAUCCUGUGGUUCUCAAGGAUCAUCACUCAAGUUCCACAUUGUUGAAGUUAGUUUGGAUCUCGAGCCGAGUUACGAGCGACCGAAAGCUGAUGAAAAUGUAGUACUGAAAGACGAAAAGCCGAGUCAUGAUGUUGGAAGAAGCAGUGAUGUUGAAAAGGGGUCUGCUUCAGUUGAUGAUUGGAUUAUCCAGUUUGCAAGGCUGUUCAAGAACCAUGUCGGGUUUGAUUCCGAUUCUUAUUUGGAUAUUCAUGAACUGGGGAUGAAAUUCUACUCGGAGGCAAUGGAGGAUACUGUUACGAGCGAAGAAGCAGUAGAGUUGUUUGAUAUUGCCGUGGACAGGUUCCAGGAGAUGGCUGCUUUGGCUUUGUUUAAUUGGGGGAAUGUUCACAUGUCAAGGGCAAGGAAGAGAGUUUCUUUUCCAGAAGAUGGAUCCCGGGAGACCUUACUGGAACUGAUGAAGAGUGCAUAUGAAUGGUCAAAGACUGAAUAUAGAAAGGCUGGAGAGAGAUAUCACUUGGCCCUUAAACUAAAGCCGGAUUUUUAUGAAAGUCUUUUGGCACUUGGUCAGCAGCAGUUUGAGCAAGCUAAGCUUUGUUGGUACCAUGCCACUGGAAGCAAGCUUGAUUUAGAGAGUGGGCCGUCCGAGGAGGUGCUGGAUCUUUACAAUAGGGCCGAGGACUGCAUGGAGAGAGGUAUGCAGAUGUGGGAGGAGAUGGAGGAGCAGCGCCAAAAUGGGAUCUCUAAGUUUGACAAGUAUAAAUCCCAGCUUACGAAAUUGGGAUUGGAUGGUCUGUUGAAAGAUGUGUCGGAAGAAGCUACGGAGCAGGCAUCGAAUAUGAGCGCACAGAUAAACCUCUUGUGGGGGACUAUGUUGUAUGAACGUUCUGUUGUGGAGUACAGGUUGGAGCUACCAACUUGGGAAGAAUGUCUGGAAGUUGCCGUUGAAAAGUUUGAACUUGCUGGAGCUUCUCCGACGGAUAUAGCAGUUAUGAUCAAGAACCACUGUUCCAAUGUUACAGCAUUUGACGGUAAAGCAUAUAAUUCUUCAGACUCACAAUCUAGUUCUGCAAUUUCCGACGUACUUUUUUCAGACUAUUGGAACUUUACCGCUUUUGCAGGUUUGAGCUUCAAAAUCGAUGAGAUAGUGCAAGCAUGGAAUGAAAUGUACGACGCUAAGAGGUGGGAGAUAGGUGUUCCAUCUUUUAGGUUGGAACCUUUGUUUCGUCGGCGAGCUCCAAAGCUUCAUUAUAUGCUGGAGUCAUAUUGAAAUUUUUAUUGGUAGUCAAGUCAAGCAUUCUCGGAGUGUCAUGCCGAUUCUUCAAAUCAUUUGUGGUCCAAUUUGCAGCAGGUUACGGUUCUACCAGUCAAUAUAGGCAAGUGUUUCAUUGAGUGAAUUGAACAAUCUGAUUCCAGCCGUGAUUUCCUCUUCAGUUGAUGGAUUGCAUAGUAAUUUUAUGGCUCUACUUUGAAAAGUGAUUUCCCAUAGUAUGCUUCUACUUGGAUAUCUUGAAGCUAUACUCUGGAUUGUCAUAGAAACUUAGUGAUAGCCUUUUGAAGGAAUUAAAUAACAACAGUAUGUUUUCAGACUAACGCUUGGGUUGGUUGCUUGUGAUUGCAGGUUGUUUCUUUUGUUUCGAUUUUGGAACUGUGGAUGUUUCAAAGUUAGCUCCAUUGUUUGCUUCUGCAGAGUAAACGAGGAAUUUGGUGUUUUUUGGGCGUAUUGCAUGUGUUUGUGGGUUUGAGAAUCUGAGGCUAUUGGAUUUUGGGAUUUGGGUUUGGUAAGAAGGUCAAGUUACUUCCAUUUUUUGGUCAUUAUUAUUGUGGUUUGGUUACUUUUUGUGAGAUUGGGGUCAAGUUGAAAGGGUGCAAAUAUAGAGAAGCAAAAAGAAGGUAUAGUACAUGAUUUUGUUUGUUUAUUCAACAGAAACAAUAAGAGGUGGGUUUGCUUGUAAAAGAAGAAAAAUCAAUGCCUUGUGUUCUUCUUGUGUCAUAUUAUGAGUUUUGAUGCUUGCAACCUUUCUUGGAAAAGUUGGAUAGAUAUAGGUAUACACAGAAACCUUGUGUUCAGUAUUCGAAAGUGUACAUUUUGAUAUUUUGUUUAUCGUUUGUAACAAAAUACUACUAGCCUAUAAUAUUGUGACUUUGUGGUAUCACCAUUCAAUUUUCGUCCACUUUUUACUUUAAAUGCGGACCCAUCUUACACGGUCGUGUAAGACUCAUUCGUGUAAGAUCCGUUUUACACGGUCAUGUAACUCAACAUACACGGCCGUGUAAGACCCAUCUCAAACAACCGUAUAACUCAACAUACACGGCCUAUCAUACACGGCCGUGUAAGAUAAGACUUACACGACCUUGUAAGUUCUAUCUUAUACGGCCGUGUAUGACUCAUCUUACACGACCGUGUAACACAACUUACUCCGCCGUGUACGUCUUAUCUUACACGGUCGUUUAAGACCCAUCUUAAAAUCCAUUUUACAUGACGGUGUAAGAUAACCAUGUAACUUAACUUACACGGCCAUGUAAGACUCAUCUUACACAGUCGUGUAACUCAACACGAUCAUGUAACUAAUCUUACACUGUCGUGCAACUACCGUGUAAGCCCUACAUACACGUAAAAGUAAUCACGGAAAUAACAAAUGCCGUUGAAAGAGUGCAAACUUUCAGGAAUUUAGUACGUAAAAGUAAUGAUAAUGCAAAAAUCUCUCUAUAGAAUCUCGUGCUACAAAAGGAAGCAGAGGUGUCCAACUCAAUAUAUACUAUCAUCCUUUUCUCUAUUCAAACUCUCGUCGUUCCUUUCCAUUUGGUUACAUUUACAUUACAAAGCCUCCUUCAACCGAAAGGUCUUCGCGACGCCUCGGGCAUUGUCGUAGUCGUUGAGCUCAACCAGCAGCUUCUUCAACCGUCUCGCAAGUCCAUUACUCUCCCCCUCGCUCAGUCCAGACGCCGCCUGCUUCUUCUCCAACGCCCUUCUUAGGGACACCACAAAGUCCACCACUGACUGCAACUUGCCACUGCGAUCCCCAGUGACGUUUGGACCUGCCCACACUCCAGUCAGAGAAGCAACGAUCCUCUCCGUUCUGGCAACGGCAUCAUGAACAUCCGACGAAAUGCUUUGAACAUGGGGUAGCACCUUCCUCCGUAAAAGCUCAUUAAGCGCGAGCUCCUCGAGAACCGGCAAAGCAAGAAUAUCCUUCCACAAGCAGAUGUUCCUUAUCAAACGGACAGACACUCCAAAACGAUAGGCUGCAACUUGUGCAGCACUUGGCACUGCCUUAAGGACAAGCGAGUCCCAGUUUGGAACCAUGAUGUCAGCUACAGCAUCAGCGAGACGGGUACGGAUUGCAACUAAUAGCUCUGCUAGAGCCUGACUUGAGGCUGGAACGUAAUCGAUGACCAAGCUUGUGGCAGCAACGGCAUUCUCCGUUUCAAGUGUACUAAGUGUGUCCCAACAGUGGACGAUUUGGUGAUGCAAUUUGGGAAGAGCUACUUUUUCUACCAGUUGUGGUACGAGAUUACUGUCAGCAUCGUCGGGAUUCAAAUCAGAUGCACCCUCUGGUACACCAUAGUCGAAUAACAGAGAAUGCCUGGACAACAUUUUUUUUGAGAAUGAUUAGUGCAAAACAAACAAGCGCCAAAUACAAUUCACAAAAAGAUAGUAGAAGGAAAUCAAAAGUCGAUACCAUUUCAUGUGUGAGAAAUCAGCCUUGUCCAAUGGAUCCCACUGUAGAAGCUCCAGCCUCACAUAAGGAGAGAAGAGUGCUGGUAUACUGAGUGACAUGUAAGCAUCUCUGUAGCUAGCUGCAUACUUAAUUUUCCAAUUCUCUAAUCUUUCUUUCACCAAUUGCAACUGGGAAAAUUCUUCGGAAGCAUCACUUAAAAUUUGACCAGCAGUUUGUAGGCACAUAUCGCGACUAGACCGGUAAGCUUCACUUUCACUCUCGCUCUCGUCAGUGCUUGAUUCUCCUUCUAUUUUCUGAUCAGAGUUGUCAACUUCCAUGCAUGAAAAUCUCUUUGAAUCAAACUUGGAUCUUCUUCGUUGUCGUGCUUCAGCCCUCCGUUUCAUCUCCAUAUUCUUUUGUCUACUCAUAUCCCUACCCAGUUCAUCUAAUUCUGGUUGAGUAGCUUGCUCUUUCACAGAAGCUGAAGCUGUCUGGGCUGCACUUGCAGCAGCAGCGAUCAUCAUUGCAGUAUUUCCACGUUCCCUGAAGACUGACAUUGCUGCUUUAACAGCAGCAUCUACCCCCACCAUUUCAUCAUCAUUAUCAGCACUUCUUCUUUCCAAAACGGCUGCUGCCCGUUUCUGUUGAACCUUCUGCAUUCGCUCUUCAAGCUCCUCUAUGAAUGGGGCUUUAUGCUGGAAAGAGUAAACACAACUAAUCAACACAUAUACUGUAUAGAGAAAACUGAGCAUUCUAGUAGCAAAAUAUUCCAGAGGCAAAAGCAUAUACUGUUAAGCUCUACCCACAGGGAUUUAUCAGAACUCAAAGGUUUUCACCAUUUGCUAAGCAAUAUAAACUUUCUACUAAUACUCAAGCAGUGAUAAUUGGUCAAACUUUUACUAACCACCAGAAGAGAAACAAGGAACCACUUCUACCAGAAUUACUGCCUAAAUAUGUACCUAAGAUGCAUUAUUACCGAUAUGAUAAAGGGACAAGUGGUGCAGUAACAUAUAGAACUAUGCUUGACAAAAUCAGAUUGAAAAUUCGCAAGUAUAUUCAGCAGGCAUGAAGACUAAGAGAGCUCAUACCUGCAAAAAUUCACAUAAAACAGAAACAAAGUCACGGAGACUUUGCAUAAAGAUGAACUUCUCACCAGCAGCAGACAACGAGGCUUCAAGAGAAGUAAUAUUAUCCAGCGAGGCAGAUAAGUUCUCGUCAGUUUUUGCCAGUGUUGAAACUGUUCUAUCAUGAGAUUCCUACAAAUGGCAAUAAAGAAAAACAAAAGUCAACAGAUCUUUUCCCUCAAAUAACAAAAUCAAGCGAACUGCACAUUAACAUUCACAAGCUAGCUAAAUGUGUAUGGCAUACCUGAAGCUUCCUGGAAUUAUCCUGCAAUGCCUUCAAAGCAAUCCCUGCUUGUUGUUGAAUGGUCAGGGUAUCCAGCCGUUGAGCUGCCCCAAGAACCCCUCCAAUGUUUGGAUAUGCACUGCUGGCCCUAUGCUGCAAUGAAGGCUGCUGCAUCGUGGCAGUAGCAUUAGUACCAACACCAACAGAAACGACUCGAGUAGUAGCAGAAUUAUCAUCCAUUCUCUUCCCCAAGGCCUUCCUAAACUGCUCUUCUUCCCAAAUCUUGUCCUCUUCAUCCUCAUCAUCAACUUCAUCAGCAAUCUCAUUCACCGAGGUCUGAGAAUUCAUAUAUCUGGCCGAAGCAGCAGUACUAGAGUCAACAUCCUCAAAGACGCCAUGAGUUUUGCUUUCCUUUUUGCCAACCAUAGCUACACGAGUUCUAAGCUCAAGCUCGUCGUCGUCACUGGACCCUUCAGCUUCAGCGUGAGAAGGUCCAUUAAGGGGAAUGAAGUCAGCCGCAGAAGCUCUAGACUGCCUCUUCUUUUCUCUCUCGGCUCUAAUCUUCCUAAUGGUUUCAGGAUCGGGAUAGUCAUCAUGGGGUACGGAUUUCAUCAACCCAAUUGAUGCCAAUCGAGUAUUGGCGUCAGACACAGCUUGGACGUCUUCAUCGUCAUCAUCAUCAUUGUCUAUGAUAGAGUUCGGGUGAGUUUCUAGGGUUUGGUUUGGCGACGGAGCAGCAGGCUUGACAAGGCCUCUAAGAAUGAUCCUAGGCUCAGAGGAAGGAGAAGGCUUUGGGGAAGGUUUGGCUAGAGUGCGGGUGUUCUUCUGAAGCUCGAGAAUGGCUUCUUUGGUGUAAGUUCCGGCCUGAGGAAGAACAUUGGAAGUCGUAGCGGAGGAGCUAAGAGGAGGAGCUCGGUCUCUGGAUGCGGUGAGCUUGUGUGCAGAACUAGGCCUGCCGAGUCUAGAAGAAGAACCGGAAGAAGAAGGAGGAGGAGGAGGCUUUCGCCGGCUAGAAGAAGAAGAAGACUUAGAGAGAGAAGAAUGAUUGAGAGGAGUUACAGCACCUUCAUCGCCUUCGUCGUCGGCGAAACUAAGGAGCUUCUUAGGCUUGGAAGCUGAGGAAGAAGGUGGUUGAGGUCUGCGGACGGUGGGCGGUGAAGGGAUGGCGGCGGAAGGGUCAGUUGAGCUAGAGUCUUCGUCGUCCAGCCGACGGCGAAAGUUUCGCGAUUUGCUGUUGGAGGAGCUCAUCCCCGAUUGAGAUUUGCGAAAGGAAACGGCUUUGCUGUAGAGUGAGGACGAAUAGAACAGAGAGGAAACAGAAGACGAGUUUAAUUUCUUGAUCGGGCUUGGGCUCAAAAUUCUUAUGGGACCGUUAUAUUACUAAAUUAAUUUUAAAAAGCCCACAACGGUAACUUUUAUUAUUUUUCGAUAAGAUUACCUCCUAAUUAUUAUGUUUACAGCUUUCUAUCCUGAAAUCUCUGCAGACAAAUAAUAAAUAUUCUACGCCAAAACCCAAUAUAUAACAGUUCUUCACUUCUUCUGAAUUUAUAUAAGGCAACUGACGAAGACUCAGACUGAGGGGCAUUUCCGAUCGAUUGUUAAAUCUCGAAGCUUCCGGUAGAUUCUUUAGGGUUCUUAAAGGUUUGAUCGGAUUCAAAAUUCACUUCCAGCAACAAAAUAAUGGAGAUCGUCAGAAGAGCAUCUCAUGCUGGCUCAUGGUACACCGAUAAUCGUAAGUGCCACGCUACUCCUCCUCCUUCCUUCACCCGCUCCGUUGCUUGAGCUUCAGUUUCUGAUCUAAGUGGACUGUAAAGUUUCGAAAUUUCUCUGCAAUCCGAUGAAGGAAAGGCUGAUCGUCGGUGGGGUUUCUGGUUUAAAAGUUUAGGUCUUUAAGGUGAAACCUUUAACGUGGAAGCUUAGACAAGUAAAUUGUGAUGAUAAUGAUGGUAGUUUUCAGUAACUGUGAUGUUGAAUUUUCUAUUACAUCAUCAGCGAGAGAGCUAGAAGAAGAGCUUGAUGGGUGGCUGAAUGCUGCUGGACUGCCGAAAUCACCUGACGUUCGUGGAGUCAUUGCUCCGUAUGUUGCUCUUAGACUUAAUUCUUUCCUGUUUCUGUAAUCUGGCUCCCUUGAAUUAUAUGGUACUUGGUCUUCUUCAGGCACGCAGGUUACUCAUAUUCUGGCCGUGCAGCUGCUUAUGCAUUUGGAAACAUAGAUCCCACCAACAUGUGCGUUUGCUUUCUCUCUUUCAUUUGCAUUUCAUUUCCAGAACAUGUACAAUACAAGCAGCAUCUUAUGGUUGGUUUCCUUUGUUGGAUUACUUUGUGUCAGUUCUCGGAUAUUCCUUCUCGGCCCAUCUCACCACUUUUAUACUCCCAACUGUGCUCUUUCAAGAGCAACAGUGUACAAGACACCAAUUGGGGACUUACCUAUUGAUCAGGAAGGUAACGAAGAUAACAAAUACGUUCAGGUUUGCUUAGGAUCAGUAAUCUAAUGUCUGUCUUUUCAGUGAUUGAGGAGCUUAAGGCUACAGGUAAAUUCGAGUUGAUGGAUCUCCGAGUUGACGAGGCAGAGCAUAGCAUGGAGAUGCACUUACCUUAUCUUGCCAAAUUCUUUAAAGGGUACAUUCUCUAUUGCAGUUACGGAAAUUUCACUUCAUGCAACUGAUCACUGUCUGCUACAGGCACCAAGUGAAGGUUGUGCCGAUUCUGGUCGGUGCUUUAAAUGCGGAGAACGAAGACAUGUACGGGAAGUUGUUAGCAAACUACAUAAAUGACCCCAAAAACUUCUUUUCGGUAUCUUCAGAUUUCUGCCACUGGGGUACACGGUAUAGAUCAUCCCGAUACUUUGUUCGUGAGACGCCGUUCAAUUUCCUUAGUUAACUAUACAUGGUACUUUGAUGUUCAUUGUGUCGUGUGCCUAGGUUCAAUUAUACUCACUAUGAUCGAGAACACGGUGCAAUAUACAAAUCUAUCGAGGCACUGGAUAAGAUGGGCAUGGAUAUAAUCGAGACUGGAGACCCGGAUUCGUUCAAGCAGUAUCUGCUGGAAUAUGACAAUACCAUCUGUGGACGUCACCCGAUUGGUGUUUUCCUCCAUGUAAGUGCCUCCUAACAUCAAGAAUGUAGCUUGUUGGCCAAAAUGAUUGCUUCUGGUGAUCUAUAACACAUGGUUGCCCUGUGAUUUCAGAUGCUGAAGAAUUGCUCAGCAAAGAUUAAGAUAAACUUCCUCCGUUACGAGCAGUCUAGCCAGUGCAAGACUACAAGGGAUAGUAGCGUCAGCUAUGCAUCUGCGGCAGCAAAGCUGGACUGACCGAGUGAAGAGAGGCGUAAAAGCUCCCUCGUUCGCUCCAUCGAAUCUGUAACUGUGUGGAAGUUGUUCUGUUAUGAAUUUGGAAAGACAAAAGACAGGCGUGCUUGGUAGGAACAAUACCAGGCUUUGCAAGAACAAUAAAAACAUCAAUUUGCCUAUUGUAUCCCAAGCCGAUCAUUGGAACUGGUUAGUUGAAACUGGCAACGCGUAAUAUCUUCUAAUUGCAACCUGCCAAAGAUACAAGAAUUUGAUCAGACCCCGAUGGCUUUGAUCUGUACUUGAUGACUGGUUCGAGUUCGAGAAAAUGUAUACCAUGCAGCCACCUGUUGAUCUUGAUCGAUUGAAAAUUCUUAAUCAAAUUUGAAAUGAGAUGACGGAAACUGCUUCGUCAACAAAUCACCCUGUAAUGCUUUCUCACCUCGCAACCUCUCACAUGAUCCGUACUGGUUAGUUACCACUGACACUGGUUAGUUAAAACUGGCCAUGUAAGUGUUGGCUUUACGUCCACAACUUGCAGCCCCUCCCGCGUUACCCACCACCUCUGCAAUGCAGACUACGCAGUGCAGACAACGAACCUAGUAAGUAGUAAGUACCAUCUCCCUAUCCACUAUCUUACCUGCAGGCUGCAGCUGCCUCACAGUCACUGAUCUCUAACCAACAAAAGCCAACCCGACUUUCCCCACAUUCUGACUUAUUUCCCAUCAUCAUAUACGGUUACUCUUUCAUUAACUUAAUACAUCUCACGAAAUCACUAUACAUUCUGACUUGUUCUCUGCAACUCCAGGUUAAUUUCUAUUACUCUGUUCGUGUAUAUAUAGGCCUUUUCUCCAUAGAUAGACGCAAGCACUACACAGCAAAAAGAGUUGUAAGCGGAGAGAAAUCGGAUUCACUUGCAGGCCUGCAAUUGAUUGUUGAUUCUGAGGUUAUCAGCCGACAGCGCUGGCUCAUCCACCUCCAUCUCCGGUGCCCUUGGCGAUGUCCGGCGACUCUGACUUCAAUACUCGUCUUUAAAAUAAAGAAGGAUAAAAACGCAGAAACCCUUCCAAACGCGGAGAAACGUUUCUUAUUUCCGGAACCGAACUCGAAACGCCACGGCGGACUGCACGGUUAAAUUGGAAACCCACGGAGAAAGAUUAAAAUGACAAAAAAACCCCCGAAAUGCGAAACGUUUCGAGAUCCUCAAACCAAAUUCGAAACGCGAUAAACUGACGAUAAAGUGAAAUUGGCAGUAUGACUCGUCAGGCGGUAUACCGCGAUAAUUAGGUGAUUUGUUGACUAUUUUGCAAGAUGUUGACCGUGGCUAUAUUCCCUUAUAUAAUUUUAUAUGGGGCGUCUGUGGCAGUGCAGGCCUGGCCCAGUGUAGUUGCUGAAUUGGUCCAAACUGAAUAGCCUUUUCAGUGCGAUUUCUGGCCCAUUUCUUUUGGCUCAAUUGUUUUAUACGCUAAUAUGAUCAUUUUUAAAAAAUAUUUUUUCUACUAUUCCAAAUACUUUGUUGAUUGAUUUAGUACCCAAUAUUAUAUUGGUUUAUUUUUUUAAUUGGCGCGAUUAGAAAACAAAUUGGCACAAAUCACUAUUGGUUUUUCAAACUGAAGCCUAAUAUUAACGCUUUUGUUAUUUCAUCUAACAAGCUUACGGGUUAACAAGGGCGGACAAACUAACUAGUUGAGAUUAUGCGAGCUCGCUCGGCUCGAUCAUCCCAUUUGCAUUUUUAACUAUUUGAGUUAAAUUUCUGAGGUUAACUCGAAUGAACUUAUUAAAAAAAUAUAAUAUUUUGAAAUGGUUCAUAUAGUCUAAAUAAGUAAUUAGUUGUUAAGUUAACAUCAUUAAUUGAGCCAUCACUCUAUUCUUAAUCGAACUGGUAAUCAAACCACAAACGAACUAGCUAGCGAGCCAAGCUCGUCAAGAGCACAAGCUGAGCUCAACUCGUUUAUCAUUGAACUGCCUCCCAAGACAACUCAUUUAAGAUCAAUUAUGAUCAAAUUUUUUACAAGUUGAACAAUGAGCUGCUCAUGAGUAGCUUGGUUCGCUAUCUAUAAUCAUCAUGGUUGAAGAACUUGAACAACAUUUUGGUACAAAGUAAAUUGAUCUCUCGUUUUGGAGGGUAGAUUCCUUGUUGAAGAAGUUAUGUAUCUUUGUUGGUUUGUAAACAUGGUUCUCUGGAGUAAUGGUUUGCAUGAGUUUUGUACUUUGUCAUCCUCUCCCAUAUUUCUGGGGGUAAAAGCCGGUCUUAAACAAGCAUUUCAACAGAGGCCAAAAGCUCAGAUGACUGAUCUACUGUUUGUUUAUUUGUCUUGUCUUGAUUAACUUAAUUCAACAGCCGGUUUUGUUGGUUGCUGACGAAACCUCAUCAUUGUCAUCGUUCAUCCAUGAUUCGGUAUCAGGACCUUGGGGCUCAACCACCGCAACUUCACCACCGGUGUAUCCUACUGCAAACUGGUGCGGUUUCUGAGGGUGAGCUGCGAUGCUCACCGGAUACUCACCCACCCUAGUAGGAAUCCAACAACGGAACUCAAGAGAUGAAGAAGCAUAUAUGGCUACACUCCCAUCCAUAAGCCCGACAUAUAUUUUGCGGCCAUCGCAUGAAAAUGUUGCCUGAGAAAUGGGGAGCGAGCCUCCCGGAAUCCACUGCAAAGGCAUAUAAAGAGAAGAUGUUGCGAAUCAGUUUUUACGUUAGAUGGAUACUGACAUCAUAGAAAGAAUUAAGUGGAGAACCUCCGCAACACAAUCCAAGCCGUGGGCGGUAACAAAGACUCCCAUAUAGGCUCUGUGCACGGCAAGGCAUCGCGCUUGGUUGGGGUGAAAUUCGACGUAAGUAUCCGAGUCUGACUUGACUCUAUCUGGAAUCUUUAAAAUUCUGCUUCCUUCUCUUUCCCAACUUUCGGCAUUCCAUAUAGUAAUCUGCAUAUCAAACAUGCACAAGAUAUAAACAGAUCUCUCAAACACAGAUUGAAAACUCGAACCGAAGACAACACAUUCCAUCUUCAAAUGACAAUGGCCAAUGCUGGCUAACCUGAGCAUCUGCUCCAGAAGAUACCAUUUUAUUGAGAGAAGUUGAGAAGGCCAGCCCAGAGAUCCUUCCCGUAUGGCCAUAGAGUACAUCAAUACACUGCAAAAAGUAAUCCAUGGGGAAUGAGAAAAAAAGCUUGACAGGCUUGAGAUACCAUCGUUGGCAGGAGGAGGAAAAGGUACCUUGUCCAAACGGACAUUAUGGAUGAGAAUUGUGCAGUCGUCCCUUCCGACAGCAAUAAUGUUGUUAUCUUUCGGGUGGAAAGCAAGGCAUGUAGCUGCUGCUUUUGAUGGCGCGACAAAUGAUAUAGUCUGCAUAUCCGCCAUUAGUGAGAACAGUACAAAUAUACAUAUAACUCCGACAAAUACUAGGCAUGUCUGCAAUCUGAGAAAAAAAUUACCUUGAAUGUCAACAUAUUGAAAAGGGAAAUUUUCCCGCCCGAUGCUGAUAUGAGAUAGCAAUCGUUCUUUGACAAUGCAAAACAUGGUAAAGCCUCAGGAUUUUCAGUCAGAUCAUUCUUCAUCGUCGCUGAGGAGUUCUUUGGUUUCCAUAGUUGUGGAAGAACUUCAGUAGUUACCUAUGUUAACCUCAGUUCAGAUGACAGCAUUAAAGCAAAAUGGCCAAAACAGAACUGGAACAAAGAUAUUCCAUCUCACCUGCCCAAUCAAAUUGUGGUCGAUAACUGGCCAUUUCCAUAACAAAUGAGUGCCGUUCGAUGCUAAUGCCAAAAUAGCAUUACCUGAACUCCCGUAAAUCAAUUUUGAUAUCUGCAUUUAUCCCAGUUAUUCAUUUAAUAUCAAGAUAUCGAUAUGGGGAAGGAAGAAACUUAGUUAUAUGAUAGGUUGCUGUCCAAAACAUGAAGCUGUUUUGGGAACUAGAACUCAAAGGAGAUAAAAGCAAAGUAAAUGCAGUUUCCGUAACUGCGAAAUCAUUCAACGCUAAUUGAAUAUCUAACCUUCUCUACUUUCACAUGGCAGGGGAGCACUGGGGCUUUGAAACGAGGUGGUCUGUUCAUUUCAAGAGAUGUAUUUCUAACAGCCUCCGUGUCUACUAAACGUCCUUGCUGCAGAAAAAUUAAAUCGAGUCACAUAGUCAACAAUAUCAGAUAAGCGGUGAAUAAAUUCUUAAGACAUGCAAGGAAAAAGCUAUGAACACUGACCUCCCCGCCAAUUCUCCAGAAGUCAUCAGAGCCACUUCUGCAUAUACCAAGCAACUGAAGACCACUAUUGCUUGCCAAGAUCUUAAUUUUAUUUUCCUUUGCAAAAACAGCCAGGAGAGUGCUGUCCUUGUUGAAUCGGAUAUGUGGAUUUUCCUUGAUUAAGACCAUUGUGACAACUUAGAACAAGGUAAAACACAGGUUUUGUUGAUUAGUACAUAUCCAAGUAUUACCGGAACAAGAUAAGCUUACAGGUAAGUCUCCCUCUGCAUCAAUAGCUGUCAUGUGAAUAUCAUUGUUCAAACUCCAAAAUUUAAUCAGAUGCUCAUUGCCAGCAGCCAAAAACUGAUUCUUCAUUAUGUCAAACUUAACUGCACCCAAAGAGCUCUUCUGCAAUCCAUGGUAAUUUCUUUUGAUAGCCCCUUCACUCUCAUCCCAUUCAACAAGGAAUGACUCCCCAGAUUUACUGGUUCCACAAGAAAAAAGCCUGCAAAUGUUCAACUGCAAUAUUAAGAAAGUAACCUAACCAUUUAGCUGACUGAAUCAAACUAAUAUUGGUUGAUCCUUGCAAACCUUCUGCCAUCAGUGGAGUAAGCCAGUGAUGUACUUGCCAGACCAGGAGCCUCAUAAUUAACUCUAGGAUCCGAAUCACCAUAUAGCCAUAUUUUUAUGUUCCCAUCCACUGAAGUUGAAAAAAAGAACUGAAACACAGGAAAUACUAAGUAUCGCCGAACAAACCAAACCUCGGAGCAAUUCACUUCCUGGAUAUUAAAAACUAACUAAUGCAUGCAAGUUUUAGAUUUACAUGAACGCUGUCCUUGCUGUGGGGGCAGAGUGAAUACACUGAUGAGUGAUGUCCUUCGAAUUUAUACAUCCUCCUACCGUCGGUCACGUCCCAUGCCUUGCAACAUUCAGCAGAAGAAGAAAACAUGAUUUUCUUUACAACACACUAAGAGAACUUAUUUCUCAAGAUCGCCAGCAAACCUGAAUUGUUCUGUCAUCACCACACGUUAUGAUCAGAGCUAGUUUAUGGGGUUUGGCAAAUGCAAGAUCAUUGACACCACCAAUAUGAGCAUCAAUCUUAACAGAGAAAACACAGAGGAAAAAAGUUAUAAGCUAACAAAGAAAUGUACAUUUAAGAUUAACGACAAGAGAAUUACUGAAACCUACUUCCAAUCGCUGCCGUAUGUCAGAGCCACCAUGAUAAGCAUAUAUGUGCACAAUGUGUUUUGAAUAUGCAACCCCUGUUUAUAAAAGCAAAGCAGAGUUAUGCUUUCCAAUAAACAAAAUCCAAAGUCAGAACGACAAGUGCAUGCCACCUUUCGCUCCAUUAUCCAUAAACAUACCCAAAAGAGAACCAUCCUGGCUCCAAGUAACACGGUUGACCGCAACACGUGGAUCUCUGACCAAAGCAGUCUGGAUAUAUACCCAAAGUUGGGUUAGACCCAGGGAUAUAUUCUAUUGUUAAUGGGGAAGAGAGCAUUAUGUAUUGACAAACCUUGAAAACCCUUGUGCAGGCACUUAUAUCCCAAACCUUGAAGUUACUUGUGAUCAGUUUUUCACCAGAAGCAACAUCCCACAAACCUAUAUCCCCCGUGUUGGUUCCAACUGAAAUUUCCAUAUACAAGCAUGUUAAAUAACAUUAUUAGGUCAAAGCAGAGUACUUAUCCAAGUGUGCUAGCUUAUCGGCGAACCUAAUAGAUGAGUAUGCUGAACAGGAUGAAAGUCCAUGCUUGUUGGAGACGAGUCUUCAGUCAGUUUUCUUGCGACAAUAGUUGGCAAGUCAGCGGUGCUUGUCAGUCCACAACUCCCAACUACAGUGUUAUCCAUACGAUUCCUACAGACACCGAUAGGAGAUAUCAAAGAAGCUUGACUAGAGAGGGUGACAUUUUGUGCUUCCUGCAAAACACACAAAAUAAUGAGUAAGAGACGAGAAAAGAAUACCAAUGAAUGCUGGAAAUCAAACUGCAAGUUUGUCCAAUUGUACCUUAUCAACAGUACCACACAAAAGUUUUUUGGAUGCAAACUCAGCCGCCUCAGACUCAUCUAUGUUGGUCACGGGGAAGUACCAAGAAAUUUAUAUUACUAGAACAUACUUUUACACAACAAUAAAACAGUAAAGCUCAAUCAAUAGACGAAGAUAAAUGAUAUGGAGGUCGGUACCAGGACACGAAGUGAUGCCAGAGAUUCCAGAGUCAUUAACAGUUGAUGUCGAACUAGCAGAAGUAGACUAAACAUAAAAAAGAAAAACCAACCAAAACCUAUUAUCAGAUAUACAAAAGGGAUCAUGAACCAUUGUAAACGCACUCUGUUGUAUUAGCUAAUAAAAAUAUCAACCAUGAGUAGCAUAUUAUACCUGAGAAAUAACAGCAUUCACGGCCAAAGGUGCAUGUUCAUCCGGAGGUGAACACACAUGAUCCGCAAAGAGAGUUCUAAUAUUAGGCUCGGGUUGAGGAUUUUUACAUUGUAAAUGCUGCCAAUUCAAGCUGUCAAACCAAUUGUCAACUAUCAUUACACAUCAAUGUCAAAGCAGGAAUCAUGACGCAGGACUCAUAAAUAUUCUGUGGAUGUUAUAUAAGGGUUCUGUAUGGUGGAAUAUCUAACCUCUGGUUUACAAUGCGUCUUAACCUAUGACCUCGGAUGCAGGGAAAAUCAACUUUUCCCUUAAAGAUGGGAUUUGCUCUGAUGAGUUUCUGGAGUUCUCGCAUCACAAUUGCUCUUGCAACCUCAGUAUCACCAUACAUCGAGAGUGACCCAUGCUCCCUAUCCAAGUUGUCACAAGUAAGCAUCUGGCUCCCUUAGAAUCUCCAGAGCCACUUGCACCCACAUUCAUUUUGCUUAAAAAGAACAACAUGAAUGCAUACCUUAAGUUGUCUAAGAUCAAAAGCUGCGUCAAUUCCUUAACUAGCUCCUGGUUUUCAGGGGCAAAAACCUUCAGAUCCUUGACAAGAAUGUCUAAAGCCUUGGCUCUAUCAUUGCUGAAAAACCCAACAAAUAUGUUCACGAUCCUUGCAUCUUUGUGUAACAAAUAAAAGGGAAAACUCAAAAUAUGAUUAUAUGCAUGCUUACUUAUCUAAUGCCUCAAGGAAAUUAUGCUUCCUCAUUUCAAAAUAAAUCUUGGUUGAGUGCUUAUUGUCACCAAACUUGGUGAACCCGUAAAUAUAAUCCUCAGCCCCAACCCAGUCUCCCUUCAGAACCAACUCCUCGAAAUGCUCCAUGUUGAAGAAAUACCCGCUAUUCCGCUCAAGCCUAAAACAUCACAAAACAAGAGCCAUAUCUGUGAGCUGGCGGUAAGGUUGGCUCCAUUAUUUAGAAAUAAGGAUGGAAAAUCAAACUUACGCUCUAGCAGCCUCUUUCCAGCCUUCUUCUUCUAGGAACUGCAGCAUCAAGAAGACCAGCUCCUUACAGAGAGUCGACAUUCUUUCUCCUCAACGAAAGACCCUGGGAUUUCAUACGGAAAACAUCAGGAACUCAAGACCUCACUCGUCACUCGAUCAUAAAAAAUUCCAAUACAGACGACCGUAACCCAUUUGAAAAAUUUCAUCAAUACAAACAGAGCCGAAGCGAAUUUGCAACAAUCGAUAAAAAAAAUCGAUCAGUGGAUCAAACGCACCUGUGCGAGGAUCAGCUAGAAUACAGUUUUUACAAGUGAUUCGUUGUUAUUUAUAAUAAUUAAUAACAGAUGACUUGUCAAAUCAGCUGGAUUUCUUUGUUAAUUAAUUUUUUAUUAUUUAUAAAAAAGUGAAUAUUUAAAGAUCAUUUAACAAUUAUCUUUUCAAUUAUAAAAUUAAUGGUAUAUUAUGGAGUCUUAAAGGUUGUACUAAAUCAUAUUUACCCAAACGUCUGGUAAGAAUAGUCUACCUGAUGGCUUCAUGCCUUGGGCUGUAACCAAUGUUAUAAGGACUGAAUUUGAGUUCAGAUCCAUUUGAUCUGCUAAAUAAUAUCUCUAUAAAAACUCGAUGCUUCAUGUCAUUAAUUAAGCGGUUAAUACAUUUAUAAAUAAUUUUUUAGAUUUUUGAGUCGAAUGAAUAUGAUGAUUCGCUCUAUGAUGUAUUUGUUCCCGCCUUUAACCGGUUAGGUGUAAUAGUGUUUAGUUCAACUUAGAGGAUUGAGUGGACCGCUUUUUCAAUCUCGAAGUCGUGGAUAAUUAGCUAACAAAAACAAUGAAGGUGAAAUUGUGUAGAGCUAAAAUAGUGUAUCUGGCCUAUAAGUUGUAACCAAGGAGUGGACUUGAAAACUCUUGAACAUUCCGUGAGAUCAAUCUAAUUCACUAAAUAACUUUUUAUCUUAAAAAGCAUUCAUGUUUGAUGUCAUUGAAUCGGUAAUACAUUUUAAAAUCAUUUAACCUUUCGGGUCGAGUGAACUGAUAAUUUGUUUUAUAACUCAUACAUUGUUAGAUCAGAAAGGAUUACAAAUAUUCUUAGAUCCAACGGUCCAAAAUCGUCCCAGAUAUCCUGUAAUUAAUGAAAUCUUGGACUUUGAACAGCUCCCUUUCCAAACCCUAGCAUAAACCCUAAUUGAGAAAGAAAACCCCCAAAUUUCUAGUGCUUGCCUCUCGGCCUUUUAGUCGUCAAAUACUCUGAUUCCCGGUUGCUGUCGCGAAUCUUCACUCUAGAGAGGAGAAAGGAAAUGGAGACUGUGCUCUGCUCUGGCAAUGUCGUCCCAGCGAGGAAUCUCUGCUCUGCAGUGGAAGCUAUCAUACUAGAAACUGCCGUCGCUGCUGCCGGCUCUCUUCUUUGCUCGCUUCUCAUGGUAGAUUUACUCUCUGCUAUUGUUUUCCCUCUCUAUCUCCAGUUUAUUUUGGCUUCAGCCUACUUCACAGUUCCUUUUGACAGUGACCAUUCUUAAAGAUAAUGCGUGUUCCUGUUUUCUCUAGCAAUUUUUAGACACUAGGAUUCUCCUGUUCUGGGUUUUUUAUUUUGCUUCAAGUCUUCAACUUUAUGAUCUACUACGCCCUAGCUCUACUAGCUGCUGCUGUUCCAGCGCUUGUCUUGACAUAUGCUGUUUUCUAGUGUCGUUGCUUCCUUUAUUCCCCGCGGAUUGUACUUUUGCUAAGAGUAAUUUUUUAUGUGAUUAGUUCAAAAUGUAGCUUUGCUCUUGAUCUGAAGCUUGUUCACUAACUCACUAUAGAAUCCUGCAUAAGCUGAGAGAAGAAAGUUAAAAGGACAUAAAAAAGCUAGUCAAAUGGGAAUUUUAUGGCUUUGCCCUAAACAUCCCUUCUGAAACCGGUAUGGAACUAAGUGUAGUAUGGCUUUGAUUUAUCUCAACUGUGGAAAAGAGUGGUUAGUUGGUCAGUCUAACAAAUAGCUUAUUCAGAAGAUCUGUGCUUUCUCUGUUGAGAUUCCACUCCACUGACUAUGCAGUCUGGCUCUAUAAUAAUGAAGUUCUGCUCUAUGCCUUAAGCUUGAAACUCUGCAUCUGGGAUAUCUUUCCAAGCCUGUGAUUCUGCAAGCAUAGAGACUUUGUGCACGUUGCCCUGAUAUCUUAACAAUUAUACUUUGUUUCAAACUUUUCAGCUAGGCGCAGUGAAUGGACCUCAUCACUUACCAACCUUGUCUGGAGCAGUUAAGGGGUUAGUAAUAUAUAACACCCUUUUGAUAUGGGGUUAGGUGUUUCUCCUCUAAUGAUGUAAUAACUUUGCUGAAGUCAUAUGUUUUCGGGUUUUUGCAGUUUUCCGUUGACUCAACUUGUCCCAGCAAGGAAGCCUGAUCCAGACAACAAAGAUGCUGGUGAUGACAACGAUGAUGCAACUAGUGAGGACGAUGAUGAUGAUGUACCUAGCGAAGGGGAUGGUUCUGGAGAUGACAAUGACGACCAAGAAGACGGCUCGAGCGAUGAUGGCGGGGGGAAGGAUGAACUGAAGGUCAAUGGCGAAGGUGGAAGUGAUGAAGAAGAAGAGGAUGAUGACGAGGAUGAUGAUGAUGAAGAUGAUGAGGACGAGGACGAUGAUGACGAGGAUGAUGACGAUGAGGAGGAUGUGGACGAAGAUGAUGACGAGGACGACAUCCCUCAGCCACCAACCAAGAAGAGGAAAUGAAGAGAAUGGAUGAGGAAGACUUAGCAGACUUCUGCCAUUGUUGUUCUAUUAAUUUGUAACAUGAAAUGGAUAUUAUUAAGGUUAUGUGUCUAGAACUAUAACAGCGAGUGAGUUCCAAGUAUCAGUGUUGUCCUAAUGUUUAAGCUACUGUGGAUUUGAUGUAGUUAUCAAUCUUUGCUCAUGUGAUUGGUGGUUGUGUCGGGUGAAAAAAAAGCUGUAGUUGGUGGUGAAGUAGUCAUGGUUUUGCAAGUGUGCUGUGGACUGAAUGAUUUGAAAUAAGGGAGGCAGUUGACUUGACAGAAACAAAGGUCAAAUCCUUAAUCCAAUGGGAUUAUCCAGUUCCAGCUGGAAACCACUUCUCCCCUAAUGCACAUUAGAGCGAUUGAGGUUAAUCUGGUUGUGGAUUUAACAAGUUAUAGACAAUAAUUUACAACGGUUAAUAUGGUAAUCACUUUAAAGAGUGGUAUGAUGUGUUAGUUGGAGAUUGCAAUUAACCACAUUUUGGUAGUACAAUUAACCGUAACUUCAGUUAAUCGGUUGAUUCAGAGUACAUUACUAUUUCACACUUAUAUAAGCUUGAAAGGUUUUAGUUUUUAUUAAUCUGUCAUUAACCUGCUGACGUGUCUAGUGUCCUCUUGUGAAUAUAUAAUUUACAGUCAACUUGCAUAGAGUUAAGUUAACCAGAGUGAGUUGAUUCUCUUUAUAAUGUGUUUUGGUUAACCAAGAACCAAAAGGAGUAAGUAGAAGAAGGGAGUGUGUUCAUCAAUGGAAGUCAGAGAAUUGGAAGAACAGACUCCGAUUUCAUAUGCGCGACUCUGGAUUGGUGGCCUCCUGAGAAAUGCGACUAUGGAACUUGCAGCUGGGGAUCAGCUUCUUUCCUUAACCCGGUGAUCAGUUUCUUAGCUUCCUCAUUAGUUUGCUUCCAAAUCUUUAGUUUUCAUGCAAUUUUCAACGAUUGGCUUUUCAUCUUACGUAGGCUUGAGAUUGACAUACCUAUUGCCAUUAAAAAAAAGAAACUACUGACCGGAACUCGACUCGAUAUUAAAUGAGUCGGUUUGAUGACGAAGGAGCCAAUCUUGGCUCCAUACUGUAAAGCUCGACGAGCUAAGCUUUCAAAUUGGCUCAAUAUAGUGAGUUAGCUCAAUAUAGGUAGCUCGCUAACCAGCUUCAUAAGAACUCGGUUUAUUGACUAAUUUCUAACUUGAGUUGUUGAUUAUAAUAUUUAACAAACUAGUUCAUUAUAGGCUCAUUUUGAACCGAUCUUGAGCCAACCCUUAAACCAAGCAUAAGCUAAAGUUUGUUAAUCGAGCUGAGCUUAAGCACACAAAAAAAUAAUUGAGCCAAACCCGAGGUGAGCAAGAGCUCGGCUCGUGAACAUCUCUAAGUGAGGACUAGCUUGGUUUGACUUAGCGAAACGAUUCCCAACCUAAGAAUUGGAUGAAUCAAUUUCUUGGCUCGUGAACAACCCUCUAAUAAUGAUUUGGAUUAUUGGCUCGCAAGAUGCCCGAUUAUGAGCUCAAUUAUUUAACUAGCGAACCAUCUACAAAAUGAGCUCGAUUACUCGGUUGGAAUUCGAGUCCAUCAUAAAUGUUGGUUUUCUUAAUUUCAAGCUCGAGUUCAACUUGAUUAUAAUGUGUAACAAACUAGUUAGUCCGUUAUAAGCUCAUUUUCAACCGAUCUUGAGCCGUCUUUAAUCGGAUUAGUCAAUUUCUUAACUUCCCUUCUUCUUCUUCUUCUGAUGUUAAACCUUUUUUCUGCAGGAUCUAUAAAAUCCAACGUUACUUAACGCCGUUAAAGGUAAACAUACAGAGUUAUAUUAUAUUUCCCCUUACUUCUAUGAUGAAGUUAAUUAGUCAUAAUUGUUUGAAAAUCGUUGCUCAGCUUUCAGUCCUCUGAAGAUUAGACUGGGAGGCACUCUGCAAUUAGACGAAGUCCUACACGAGACACAAGGGCAAACUUGUAAUCCUACAUUUCUCAAGAACUCAUCUCAACUCUUGGGAUUCUCCCAUGGCUGCCUGCCCAUGUCCAGAUGGGAUGAACUCAACGCUUUCUUCAAAACAACUGGGUCAGCUGUUGUGUUCGGUCUGAACGCCCUGAACGGCAGGACGAUAACUUCUUCUGCAAAAGGAGCAUGGAACUCGACCAACGCCGAAGCUCUGAUAAGAUACGCUGUGAACAGAGGGUUUACAGUUGUCGGUUGGGAGCCGGACCAAUAUGCAUCUGAUCUAACCAAUCUUCAUGGCAUCAUACAGAAAGUUUACUACACUGGGUUCAGGAAGAAGCCGCUGGUUAUAGCGCCGGGAGCUAAGAUGCGAAAUGGCUCGCGAGUCCGUUAAGAGAACGCCGAAAGACUUCCUCGAGGUUGUUAGCCACCACAUCUAUAACCUUGGACCAGGUAUCACAUCCAUACCAAUUAAUUAAACGACCCUUAGCUUAUUCGACAGCUAGCUGGGAACAUUGCUGUUAAAAUGGCUUUUUUUACUAAUACAUUAGGUGUUGAUACUCACUUGGUUGACAAGAUCCUGGAUCCGAGGAUCUCGACGGUGAUUCUUCCCCUUUCAGCGGACUCCAAGGUGUUCUGAAUAACGCCGGGAGUCCAGCUGUGGCUUGGGUUGGUGAGGCAGGAGGUGCUUACAACAGUACUGGCCGUAACCUCGUCACUAAUGCGUUUGUGUUCAGUUUCUGGUAUUUGGACCAGCUAGCUAGGAAUGGCUGCUGCAUCAUACGACACCAAAACUUACAGCCGGCAAUCAUUAGUCGGCGGCAAUUAUGGCCUUCUCGACACAACCACCUUUGUCCCCAACCUAGACUACUAUAUAUAGGUGAGCUUACGUUGCAACCAUGCAAUUUUGAAAUCAGCUUUUCCUCUACUUACUCAGUAUUUUGUUUGUGCCCUCUGUUGACAAGUGCACUACUUUGGCACCAUUUGAUGGGAAGAUCUGUGCUCCCCGUUAGUUUCUCUGGAACCAAACAAAUACGAGCUUAUGUUCACUGUUCAAAGACUUCUGUAAGUAAGGAACUAAAAGUAUGGUGGAUUUAUUCAUGUCAAGUUGACUAAUAUACUGUAACAUGCAGCAAGGAAUCACAUUACUGUUGAUCAAUCUUGACAGCAACGCUACGGUCAGUAUUCGCGUUUCAAACAAAGAUGUCGUCCCCUCUCCUACAGCUGUCAAACACUAUCAGAGUCGAAAAAAAAACUUUGCUAGGAUGGGGAGAUCAGGUUCCAAGAUGGAUGUAAAAUUGAGGGAGAAGUAUCAUUAACUGCUAACGAUAGUGAUCUAUAUAAUCGGACUCUACUUUUGAACGGGGAAGUGUUAGGUGGAUACUGUUUCUGAAACUAUAUCUCAGUUGGAACCUGUCCAGGUCGGACUACUGGACCCGAUAACUAUUGCUCCGUUCUCUACACUGUUUGUGUGCAUUGCCAACAUGACAAUUCCAGCUUGUAAGUAAAGAAAGAUCGACCACUAAUAAGACCGACAUCAUCCGGUCAAUAUGUUUGUACAUACUCAUCUUAAAUAUGAAUAAUCAAGUCUGAAAUUUGUUGUUUGGAUGGGGAAUCUAAGAUCUUGGAAUUUAAGACCUUGCCAAUUUGUAUACCAAAUAUAAGAAAGAGCUAGUUAAGCUCAACAUAGCUAAUGCCUAAUAUACACAUGAAGAACUCGUAAAAACUCACACCAAAAAUAACUUUUUGACUUCAUUUGGUUAAAAUUUGGGACUUUAACAUAGUGCAAUUUAAUUUUUUAACCAUUUUCAACAACAUUCCAAAAAUUAACCAAUUUGAUUCUUUUCCCAACUUUUAUAAAAAAGCUCAAAAGUCCUUAUUAACCCCUACGGAAAAUGAUAAAAAAUCAAGCUAAAAAAUAAAGGUUGCAUUUUUUUUUCAUUUGGCUAACAUUUGACAAUUUAACAUAAUAAAAUUUGAAUUUUUAAUCGUUACCAACCAGCAUAUUAAAAAUCAGCCAAUUUUAAAAAUUUCAUAAAAACCCUAAUAAUACCUGAAAAACAUUAAAACACAAAAAUUGCACGUUUAACUUCAUAUUUAACUAUCAUUCAAAGAAUUGAUAUGGUGGAACUCGAAAAUCUAACCAUUUCAAACACACACCCGAAAAAUUAGCCAAUUUGGUUGAUUUAUUUAUAUUGAAACGAGUAACUCUGCUAUAACCUUCUCUAGAGAUAUGUCUUCUUCUGGCAUAACCUGGACGUGAUCUUCCUUAGCUCGAGAAAAGUUAUUUCUCGUUGUGGAUUGGAAUGUGAUAAUUCGUUUCUCGGAAGAUUGAUCCGGUGAGAAGAACUGGACCGGGGAGAGAUCAGACGAAUAAUUUUCCAGUAAAGAGACUCUGUAAUUGAUGAAUCGUGGGAAUUGCAAUGCAGUGAGUUUUUAAUUACCUUGGGGUGAUGAUGAGAAGAGGUGGGAGGGAGGGAGAGACGGAGAACAGUGGAAUACGCCAUAGUUGUAGUUUGGGAGCUCGAUUAACGACGAUGACGACGAUGUAUGGUUGCAGGCGGGAAUAAAAAAGAGCGGGAAUUGAUAGGUGUCAGUUAGUAGUGGACUGCUAACUUACGCCACAGGUGAUAUAAAGAUCCAGCGAAUCUAUUCGACGACAAAAAAAUGCCCCACGUGGACAGCUGAUGUGGCAGGUCAUCAAGAUUCAAGGUAACCAUCAUCCCUACAUUUUAAAUAAAACGACUGUGCUAGAUUUUUUAAAAAAGAUAUUAUUCAUAUUUAUUUUUAACUUUUUUUUUUCACACGGUACAUUUCUAUUUAAAAGUCGAUAACUUUUUAUCGGCCGGACCGAAUUUUCGGCCAAAAAACCAUCCGGCCAUGGGGAAGGUCCAGCCGGCCAGUUGUUUCGGCUAAGUUCACUUAUAUAUUACACAAUUUCCUAACAAAAUCAAUUAUCAACUUAUCAAUUGAUUACUACACUAAUUACUAAUCCCUUAAUUAAUUUUAGUAAUAGAUUACAGUUAUCACUAAUAAUUACAGUUAUAUAAUUGCAUUAAUUAUUCACUAACAAUUAUUUAAUUACACUAAUUAUACUAAUUAAAUACAUUAAACACUUAAAAUUAAAAAAGGGUGCACAGGCCCCGCUGGCCGCCGGUUUUGGUUGGAAACCCAGCCAGCCGGCAGCUGGUUUUGGCGGGAAACCGAUGGCCGGGCCUAAUCACCCUUUUGUUUAUAUUUUGUACCUUGAUAGAGUUUUGGAUAUUCGAUUUCUCCUUCAGAUCUUUGUUUGAGAGUGUUUGAGUUAGUCAAUAUACACAACUUCUUAUAUGGAUUUCGAUUUUAUGAAAAGACAAUAACAUAAUUUACUCAAUCUAGGGCGCUGUUUUAUUCGAAAACUAGGCGUCAAAUAGAGAUUCAGUUGGUAAAAUGGUAACAUGAAGUGUGGAUAUUGAUCAACCAAGUGGCUCUCGGAAAAAGUUGGAUCAAAAUUCGCCUUAAUCUUAAACGAGUCAGCUUGCAAGUAAGCUCGAUAAUAAACGAGCCGAGCUCGAGCUGACACUAACUCGGCUCAGCAGGCUUGCGAGCCAGCUCUUUUGAGGCUCGAGCACCAAUUCGAUCAAGGCUCGAGAGUCGGCUGGCUCCAUUGCAGGCUCGAUGAGUUGAUCCAGUGAUUUUAGUGUAUGAAAUAUCAUAACUAUCAACUGUAUCAAUCGUACAACCCAACGUCGUUAGUCCAUUGCCUAGUGAAUCCCAAAAACAUUGAUUUCAUUGCUAAGAAAAAAACAUACAACAAAAAUUCAAGUUGUGCCAACUUUCUGCUUCUUGUAAGUCAAGCGGGAUUGCCGGUCUCCAAGUAGUCCCUUCGGGACUAUCCAUAAGAGCAAUUCCCACAGCAGCUAAUUCUUUCCUAAUCACAUCCGACUUCUCAUAAUCUUUGUUCUUCCUUGCAUCAGUCCUUUCCUCAAUCUUUUGCAUGAUCACGUCUUCUGUUAUCUUCGCACGCUUCAGUGCCCUUUCCUUUAACUCCUCAAGAGCCUACAAAGAAACCCCUAGAAAUAAGUACUCCCAAAACAAUUGAGCUCGAACGAGAAUACAUGUCCGUAGGCUUGCCUUUGAAUAAGUUUCCGGCAUCAGUCCCAUGACAGUAAGAACUUUGAAGCUGAUAUAGCAGCCAAAACCACAGGAGCGAGCAGAUCAUCAGACAUUGAAGCUGUGAACACGUGAUUGAAUUUAACGAUGCAGUCCGUUGUAUUGGGAGGGAUUGCACUAUCUGCAGAGCCUGCAUCGUGCUGUCGGAUAACAUCCUCGCAAUCAUAUAAUGUCUGCAAACAAAAUGGACACUGUUUAAACCAUGGUACUAUAUUUAUGUCCAUCUAUAACAUUGGAACAUAUGAAAAAUCGUUAUCAAUGUAAAAGGAAGAGUCUUUCAGGCACCUGAUAAAUGUAAAAGAGACGGUCGGAAGCACUCUCAAGCAGUGCAUCGGCAUAGUUGAUCGGAGAUCUGUAGUGGGUCCCCAACAGGAAAAAUCUCACUGCUAACGGAUGGUAUAGAUCUAUAACCUGGAGAAAACAGAAAGAGUUGAAACAAUUACUACACAAUCACUGGAAACAAUUCAAUGGGAGGCAAAAGUUGAAACCAUUCCAAUGCAAGUAUCCUCAUUACCUGCCUGAUGGUGAAGAAGUUUCCGAGAGAUUUUGACAUUUUCUCUGACUCAAUUGUAACAAAUCCAUUGUGCACCCAAUAGCUAAUAUUACUAUCUCUACAAGCAGCACAACUCUGUGCAAUCUCAUUUUCAUGGUGAGGAAACACAAGAUCCAUUCCUCCACCGUGUAUGUCAAAGGAGUGACCAAGGUAGGCAGCACUCAUUGCACUGCCCUCAAUAUGCCAUCCCGGUCUUCCAGGACCCCAGGGACUCUGCCACGACGGUUCACCCUCCUUUGCAGACUAAGAAAAUAUAUAAAAAGGCACAGUUCAUAAGGAAGAACCAUAAGGUGCACAUUUGAACCGACUAAUUGGAAACUUACCUUCCACAAGGCAAAAUCAGCAGUUCUUCUUUCUUGUGUCAACAGUGACCCGCUCAUCAGCUCGAUUAUCUUCCAGAUAAUUGGCCGUACUCUGGGAACUUGUCGACAGAGAAAUAGACAUCUCCGUCAAUUCUAUAGGCACAUCCAUUGUCAAGAAUCUGAUAAGAUAAGAAGUCAAUAACUGGUUAUUAAAGGUAUGAAACGCUUGAACGAUUAAGAGUAGAUGGUUUCCGUCACCAUAUGAAGUACCUUGUUGAUCAUGUCAACGAUGUGAGGGAUGUGAUCUGAUACACGUGGCUCGACUGAAGGAGGAAGACAUUGCAGUGACACUAUAUCAUGGUGGAAUUCUUCACAGUAUCGUCUACUUAAGCUGAUCGGAUCCUCUCCCAGUUCAAUUGCUCGUUUGAUUAUCUGCAUAAUUUGAAAAAUCACACUCAGCUAUUCAGUCAUUCUACAUAAGCUUGAAGCUCCACGAACUAAGUCUCCACAUUAAGGAUUCAAAUUCAAACAUGCAAGAAAGCACUAACGAGCACCAAUCAACAAUUCACGAAGCUGAAGCAGGAUCUUAAACUAACCUUAUCAUUAACAUCUGUGAAAUUUCUAACAUAGCUGACAUCGUAUCCCAAAUGCUUAAGAUACCUGCCUAAUUCCCAAUCACCAAAACAACAAAAAAAGUAAUAAUCAACUCAUCAGCUUCUAAUUCUGAAAUGAGCAACCAGUUAAGACAUAGUGAACACACAGCGGCAGCCAUUGAUGACCUGUUGAGCACAUCGAAGGUGACGUAAACGCGAGCAUGGCCGAUAUUGCUAAGAUCGGACGCCGUAACACCGCAGACGUACAUUCCAACAUUUCCUUCCGAUUUCGAUACAGCUCCUUCUUCCUUGUCAUCGUGUUGGCCGGUUGAGGACUCGCGGCGAUUUCGCCGGAGCUCUUGCCGUUGGUUACCGGAUGGGAUGAGGUGAGAGAAGUGAAGAGCUGAAACAAUUGCCUUCUCUUUCCUAUGACCGGAGCUGGUGGGGGAGGACGUGUUCUGGUGUGAACAUAUCGGAACGGCGAUCUGGAGAGUGUGGAGAUGAAUCGGAUAGAGGAGAAGACCGGUCUGGGGAACUUGAACAGCGUGCCCAUUGUUCGUCGGGCUUUGGGUUUAUUUUUCUUUUUAAUAAUUAAUACAGAUAUUGGAUGGAGAUAAAGUAACUGGCUAUUCAAUCGGUUAACUCGAAAUAAUUAGAUUGGUUAAUCUGUCAAGAAUUUGAAAUUAUUUUGUAACGGAAACAAAUUGCUGAGCGACUCUCUUAAUGGGUAUACCUAUUUUAACCGAAACCUACUUCGAUCGAUUAUUUGGUGCUAACCAAUCCUCACCAUGUCAGUCGGCUAAUUGCUUAUCCUAUGUUGUAUAAAAUCCUUAUUAAUUUGGUCGAUUAUUAACCACCCCACCCCGAGUUUUAAUAAACAAUAAGACAUCUGGAUUUACCACGGUAAUUCUUACAAGCUUUUCUCUAUGAAACCUUCGUCACUGGUGAAUUUACAAUCACAGUAAAAAACUAACAAACAAAAAAAAAGAAAGCCUCAUGAUACAAAUCAGAUGAAAGAGCAACCCUCUUCCCUAUAUGAACCUACUUGGCCGGUGUUCUUCCGCCGCAACAAAGGAAUCUGCAGCCAGUGCCGCCGCCUCUGAAUGUUAACAAAGAAUAGUAUGAAUCCAUAGCCCCUGGACUAAGCUAGAGCAUUUUUGUCAAUAAGUUCUUCCCCCAGAAAUGAAAGAAUCACGAGACAGGAACGAGAAUCCAUGUUCCUCCAAAUCAGGCCAGGGAACAGACCUUAUCUGCAGAUUUAACAAGUCACGAAAAUGAAUAACAAUGGCCCUGCUGGGUGCUGGACAAGUUUUAGUACGGCAAAAAGACAAGAAUUUCACCUUGCUUUAUGCUAGAGCAGCAUAGACGGUUGUCAUCUAUGUACGUUGCUUGGAUACCCAUCAUCCAAGAUCCGAUUGAUGUAUCGUCAUAAGCAUACGUCUUCAGAGACGCACUGGAAAUUAAAACAAAGUGCUGCUAAGGAUGCCUAACUAAUGGUAACGAGAGAGGGAUCAUAGACAACACGUAAUCUAGAAUUAUUUGAAGACUGUAAGCAUCAGAUAAGCAACGCGAGAAUGUUAUUCUUUAUAUGAUCUAAGGGUUAUUCUCAAAUAAAAAUGGAUCAGGAUUAGACAGCAAGAUGAACAAGGCUGAAGCGUUCAAGCUAACCUGUUAAUGUUAAUGUACUGAGACAAAUUUUUUGAGAGUAUAAUAAGUGGGCCAGCUGCAUGCCGGAAGUACCUGAAACAGCAAACGAUCAGUCACCAGUCAAGCUAGCUAAUGAAGCUGUUAGAAUAACAUAAUUUGAAAGGAAGAGGAGAGGUGAGGUGAGGGUGUCAAUAACAUAAACAUGCAGGGAGACACUUGUCAGUACUCUAAUUAGUUCAUUAGGUUAGUGGACAGCUUUAUUAGUUAGUGGGGGGUAAUGAGUUACAGGUUUAUAUGAACUCAGAGUCAAUUUUCGAGUGGAAUUAGAAUUAGAGACAGUCGAUAAGAAACACACCACGAUCACCAGCUAGAAGAACUUACGAUUUCUCAUCCCCAAAUUUCCACCAGUCCGGCUCAUACCAUUGUUUUCCUCUGAAAAGCAACAAAUGCUACUUAAAAGUUGUAUAUAUAGUAUAGUAUCACAAGAUUUAACAAUCCUUCAACCAGGCAUAAUAAGUAACAGCCAUCAAAUCUAUGUGAAAGUAAAAGAAAAACAAUUUAAUACGGGGGAGCUUGGCAAAUGUAAAGCAUAAGUAGAAAUUCAAUCAACAGAGAAAUAAUGUGCAUGAAUGGACAAGUAGCCAAGAAAGCUAUGUCAUACUGAUAUAGAUAGAAUAUAUAUAUAGAACUUAGUUUCCAUGAUUCCAUCGACACAUUAAAAAAAAAUCCUACUUAAAAAACAGAGAUGCUAUAGAAUUCAAGCAACAAAGUAAGUGGAUUUUAGGAUCGUUUAAGCACAUACUCUUCAGUUACCACAUCUCCCGACUUCAUGCAUCCAAUAUAAGCGCUGUCUUGAUCACGACGACGUUCAAGGAGUCCAAUUAACCCAUCUGCAAUCGAAGAAAUACAAAUUAAUUAAAGGAAAGGAUGAUGCAUAAACUGGAUAGCCUCCUACCAGACGAAAUCAUGAAACUAUACCGAGAUCAAGGUUGAUUUGGUCAUCAACUUUGACGUAAAACUCUGCGUCCCAGUUCUGCACUGCAGUACUGUAGAAGAACUUGGCUUUUUUGGGCAGCUCUUCCUCAGCCUCCUCGUGACCUUCCUGAUAAUUUGACAGCAGACGAAUUAUAACUCAGCCCAAAUGUUAGACUUGAGAUGGCAUAAUGAACAUUUUUAGGUGAGUCUCAACGAUGUUCCUCAAUGCACUUAAGUGUCAGGUAUAAAGAUUGAAGAAUAUGAACCAUAAGGAGCCUUAUUCAGAGAUGGGAAAGUAAUGAAACCUUAAUAAACCAUGGGGAUUUCAGCUAAAUAACCGAAAUGAGAAACAAACUUGAUCGCUUACAAGAAUUAAGAAAUCCUUUGUCGUGCUAUUCUCCUCAUCAAUGUUCCGAUCUAAGCUAUCACCUCGAUUAGCACUGCAGAUUUUGAAUCAAAGUGAUUAUAUGGAACUCCAUCACAUUCUUAAGUUACAACAAUUGAUGCUUGGAAGAUGCAAGAAGCAAAAACUCAAAUCAAAUAGUGAUACUAGAAAUGAUGUUUAAGCAGGAUGAAACCUCCGACCAAUGACGAAUCUAAUUACUAUUCCUCUUUCUUCCAGUUUCUUUAAAGCAUCGUCACCUACAAAUUAACCAACAAAAUACGUUAAAUAUUAUCAAGAAGUUGAAGAUAAGUGUUCGGAAUCAAAUCAACACCAUUCUCAUAAGCUCAUGAUAAACUCCAUGUACCUCUUGGCAUCCAAGAGCCUCGGAAGACAUUCCUGCUGAGUCGGCUACCGAAUCCAGUGUAUACUCCAAUAACUGCCAGAAGCUUUUGGCCAGAAGCUGACUUGGACUGUGGCAACUGGUACUUGAGAUAUCCUUGACUUUUGGCCAUCGUCAAUUCCAUCUCAGCUUCCACAAUCCUCCUCUCCAGGUCUCUACAAGCCAAUACGCAUUAUCAGAACAGAACAUCGAAGAGAAGAACUCUCCAGCAUGUGUGAAAAUUGGUUUCCAAACGUACUUGCAUCCAAGAACAGCUAGCUUAUCAUCCACUGAAAGCACCUUGGGCCUCUACACACAAACCAACGAAAAAAGCAACGAGAUCAUAGACAUCAAACGACUACAGUGGGAGAAAUGGAUUAAACGUUAGCUUUAAAAUCAUACAAGAGACGGAAACAGACCUGUGCAGAGUUCGUCUUAAGCAGACUGGUGAGCAACAUUCUGUUCUCCGCAUCUUGCCACAACCUGGUAGAACGAUCAAUUUGAACCAGAUUCAAAUAUUUUCAAAUAGCACAAAUAUCAGCAGCAUUUCUGAUCCGAUAGACGGAUACCGGGCCCUAUUUCAGCAAAUGCCACAAUUAUACAUAGCAAUCAUCCGCGGAGCAAGGAAUGAAGGAGGGGAAUGACCUUCCAGCAACGUAGAGCCAAGCGAGGCAAGAGAAGAAGGCCAUCACGAGAGACGGCUUGGAAGUCUGAAGAUUCUUCGAUCUCCAUCGCCGGUCAGAUUUUGACGUCGUCGGCAAGGUGUCCAUCUCCGGUUCUACCCGACUCCGAGUACCGACAGAACUCCGAGCUCACAAACAAUAAUAGUGAUGAUUAGUGAGAGAUCUGGAAAUUUGAAACGGAAGAAAAUGCGAUGGAUGAACUAGGUGGAGUGAAGAACAAAUCACAGAGAGCUACUGUUGCUUCAAAUUUGGCAGAAGCUAAAGCGGGUGGGACAAGGGGACAAAACACCUGAACUUUGGGCCAAACAAGCCAAUCUCUUCAAAUGGGCUUAUUAAGCCUACGCCAGUACGCCUACUAUUAUGGCGUUACUAUUUUCAAAAAAAAUUAGGCAACUUCAGUACAUACCUGAGAUGAUAAAAUACUAUCUACCCAGCUGAACCAAACCGGUCAGUCAGACAAAGAGAAUCAAGAACCAGUCGUUAAUUUCGGUAUUAACUAUUGUCAUUACUCGAAUAAGAUCGUUAGUAACCAUUUUCAUUAGUCAAAUAAGAUCGUUUCAAAACCAACACAACUGGUGACGAUGAGGUUAUUGUCUAGUAUGUUUAUUUGAUUAUGCAAUACAACCGCACUUUAAAAUGAUUUUUAAUCAAAUUGAUAACCCCUGGUUGAACCUCUUUCUCGUCUUAUCGUUCUGUGACAACAUAGGUGUCCAUAAUGUUGACGGCUAUUAGUUCGAUACAAAAUCCGGCCGGUCACUAUAUUAGGUGCUGGAUUCAGUUAUUAAGAACAUAAAAGGGAAGAAUAACUUGUUACAACCAAGUCAUUUAUCGAAAAACCAAGAAUCAACAUACAUACAACCAUUAGCAGAGAACACUACCCCAUACGGCUUUAACAUGUGCAUAAGAACAUCUCAAUCCAUUGUUUCACAAUUUUCUAGUACCUCCACUGGAAUCACUUCUGACUUGUACCUAGCUUCUAGCAGCUGGUUGCAAGAACUUCGCCAGAGACGGCAUUUCUUCUUGUGCUCGCUUCAUUUCUUCAGGAUCUGUUCCAAGAUGCAACAACACAGUAGCUCAGCACUAUAUCUUGUUGCGUAGAGAAUAGUUAACUAACUAUGUAAACCUGUCAAGUCAACUCAAUCAAGCCUAGGGGACUUGUUGGAAAAGGAACUGUAAAAUCGAAAUGCGAGUAUUUUAUUUAUUUACCCAUGUUCUCCAUCAAUUUGGGCAUCAAGAACACGACGACCACCAUAAAUCCGAUCAUCAUCCCCAUUGGGCUCUUGACAAUUGACAUCGGGGAGAAGGGUUCUCUAAUCUGCAAUGGACGACAUGAACAAGAAAAGUGAAUAACAAAUUACUUGUGAACAAGGUGGAAAGUGAGAAAGGUUUGGAUCAAACCUCGUAGUACUGUUCCUCCCUCAGUGGCUCCAACACCAGCUCAGUCAGACCUCUUCUGUUCUCUGUUAAUGCUGCCUGAAUCUUGCCUGGGAACCUGGCACUAACAUCAACUCUGACCUAAAACGGAUCAAUUCAAAAAAUGAGAAGACAAUCCAUCACGGGGAUUAUUGAAAGAACCAACAAGAAUUUGCAGAUGAAGAUCUCACUGGAGAGAAGAAAUAGCCCAUUGCAGACACUUCAAUCAAAUGUGUUCCGGCUGGAACAUUAUGGCUACAAAAAGGAAGGACUAUUAGCACCACACUGAAAGUUAGCUGGAUUCUAAUGAGAGGAAAGAAGAGGGAAAUUACAAUGAGAAGUAUCCAUCAGGCCUUGAGAAGGUAACAUUUUGGCCACCGUUCAGAAUCACUUUGACAUUCGAUGUUUUCCCAAGAAUACCAUAUCCUUUGGCUACUGCAAGUCAAAAAUUAAACACCAGGUCCAAAUCAGUUGAUGUGUAGUUGAGAGAUUCAAAUAAUACAGUUGAGAUGUAGUUUGGAGAUUCAAAUACUACAGUUUGCAUGUAAUUAAGCGGAUUGCUAAGCUCCACAAUUUAAUGGAUCUUUAAGCAACUCAGUAAGAAAAAUAAAGAACCAAGAGUCGAAUUGCAUAGCACAUCUGACAAUGAGGAAAAAAGCAGCAGCAUACCUGGAAUUUUAAUUCGGCCAUUGAUGGUGUACCCAUCAGCAGACCUGGAAGAUAAGCAACAGGCGAACCCAUCAAUUACAAUUAUCACAAAAGCGACUCAAGCAGAAACACUACACUUCAUUAUUCAAGCUGUCAAUCAACAACGUUGCUAGAACCGCAGAAUGCAUUCAAUUGAUUUGCAAAAAUGUUCACCAACGGAUUCAAACACCUAACAGACUCGAACGUAAUAAUAACGAUGAAGCGCGUGCAAUAAACGACAGAAGAAGAAAUUAAGGAAAGCGAACGGAAUAAUCGAGCUUAACCGAUUGAGAUCGUACCCGGACGAGAUCGCGCGAGCUGGAGAGAGAACCAAGAGGCAGAUUUGCAGCAAAAGUAGGAGAACAGAUGGCCUAACUCUUGCUAUCAACGCCAUGACGAUGUAGCAGAGAGAUUCGCUUUUGCUGCAGCAGGACGCGAAGUUGGGUGAUGAACAGCUGAUCGAAGACGACGGGAAACUUCCUCUUUUUGCCCGUCUCUUGUGACAAGUUCGACGCGAAGAACUUGGGAUAAUACUAGUAAAAUGCGCGAGUUAUCAGUGAGCACGCGCCACUUUUUAUCUAGCCGCGCGUGCGAAUUUGGAAGGGAGUGAAUCCCACUUUCUCUAAAAUUCACGCGCGCGUGUCAGAAAUUAGGCGCGUGAGGUUCUAUGGCGCGUGAACAUCACGCAUGAAACGAGUCGGGUCGAAGCUUUUUUCCGGGUCGGGUCAAGAGCUUUUGCAGGGUCUGGUCGUUUGACCGUGCGAUGGCGGGCCUGAGUCUACAAAUUUAGGCCAUUCUCAUGUCGGGUUGGCCUUUAAUUUAAAAGCCCAUAAAAUGGGCUCUCAGCUCCAGCAUUUUUAAACAACAGUAAAAAUGGGUCAAUAUCGUUUUAAAGCCUUUUUCAUUUGACCGUAAAGCUGCAGGCGCCAGUCCAAAAUAAUUGGGCCACUUCUCUUUUUGGGUCCGCCCAAAGCCCAGACCCCUUUAAAAUCAGGUCUAUGCUCCAAUUUUUUCCAACAACUCUUAAAAAUAGCCGUCGGCUCUUAUGGCGCCGUUUCACGCCGAUAAAUUUCAGCCACCACUUAACGCCGAUCAGGUAAGUUACAAACGGAUUCUGCAAAUACAAUUACAAACAAACGAAUAAUACAAGAAAAGGAGAAAAAGGUCGCAAAUUUCAUGGUGUACAACCCCAGAGCACCUCAGCCAAAAUCGAAGCAGCUUCAGCUUCAGAAAUUGAGGCAUCCCUCACUCUCCCUACAAUUUCUCUCUUCAGAUCUUUCCUCUCCGCCCUAGUCAACCCAUCACCCACCUCCACCUGCACCGCAAACCUUGAUACGCAGCUUCCAAACGGCCCCGACCUCUGCAGCUCCACAAGCUUCUUGAUCACUCCUAGUUGUAACAUCGCUUCGAUCACUUCUUUCCUCCCGUGAUACGCAAUCUCGCAAACGCAGUCGACCACCGCCGACUUGAUCACCAGAUCGUCGUCGUGGGAACCUAAGAUAGCAACGAUUCUCGGGAGCUGCCCGUCGAGUUCCAUCUCGUCGAUCAACGGCGUCCUGAUUAGCGAGACGAGCACAGACAGGACUUCAAUCGAACAAUUGGUGCGCAUAGAUACAAGCGCCCGGAUAACCGACCCCAUUAGAACCAACCCGACAAACACAUCCUUGUUGAACUUAACUAACCCGACGAUGGCUCCAGCGCCGCGUUCCGCACUUCCAUUACCCUAACUUGAUCAUCGUCGUCGGUUCCUUGAAGCGUCCUCACAAGCCUCUGCACUUCCUGCCGAUCGAAGUACAGUUGGAUUUCAGCGGCGAUUUUGAACGAGAGCUGGUAGAUUUUGUAAGCGGUGAUUUGGCGGCGGAGGAGGGAACUGAUCCCGGUUAAUUUCUCGAGAUUGCGGUAAAGAGGUUUGAGGUCGUUGAGCAAUUGGGAUAGUUUGAAGAGAUUAGGAUCGGAAGAGAGGAGAUAGGCGCCGAAUUCGUGUUCGAGCUCCAAGAUUGCUUCGAUGGCGGGUUGGGCGGUGGAAAGGGAGGAGAAGAAGGGGUUGUUGUUCUUGUGCAGAUCGUUGGCAGCUCCUCUGAGUGAGUGGAGAAACGAGGAAAUGAGUUGGGUGUUGGUUUUGGUCUCUGAUUCGUCUUCCAUGGUUGGUCGACGGCGCCAAGGUCGGAGUUCAUGAGAGUAGGAGGUUGGGUGGAUAUUGAGGGAGAAAAAGGAAGAACGGAGGCCAACGCAACGGAGUUAUCGUGGUGGAGCUGAAGCCAGAAGGUCGGUGGAGACUGGACCUACAAUCAACCAACCAGUCCUCACGAAAUUAGGACUGCUUUGCACCUUUGAAAAUUUGUGAGACUGAUGUGCAACAUUUAAAAUAUUUUAGACUGAUGCAUAACCCCGUUAAAGUUACAGGAUGAAAUGAGUCUCUGAAGUUUUUGCUCAUUUCAUAUCUAUUCAUUAAUCAUUUAAUCUUACCACUUAGGGAAUUUUGAAUCACAUAUGUUAUAAUAUUUGAUAGUCAUGGACCAUAUAUGACUCAUGGUAUAGGUCUAGCCUUCUCAUACACGGUAGUCAAGCUCCUCAACCAAUGGAACCAAAGAAGACAUGCAAAGGAAAUCUUCUACGCAAAGAGAAGGAAAAUGCAGACUUUAUUAACUUGAGGGAAUGAUGUUGGAAUGUCCAAGUGCAAUCAAUGGUGGCAAAGUAACCAUGUGACAUACAUGUUAUGAACUUCUGAUUUAUGAGCUAGUAAAGUAGUAAUCAAUAAUAAUGUUAUAUCUACAAACUUGGUGACACCCUCCACGACAUUAUGUAACAAUACCACUAGCUAGAGAACCAUUUCAAAUCUCACUGAGUCGUAAUCUUCAUUUCAAAUUACCUUUAAUUUGAUGAUCAGGAGGAGCAACGGCAUUAAUCUCACUAGCGGAAGCGUUUAUCGUAACGCCAGAGCAUUAAGCACUUGUUUCACAAAUCAUAACAGUCGCCCCCUUCGCUUUCAUGAACCGUACCUUUUAUUCUGCCUUUUUGCAUUCAUUUUCAUGGGUAAAUAUAUAGAAAGCAUCCUUUCCUCACAAGGUUUCUUAUUCAAUUGAGGAAAAAUCGUUCUUAAUUUGUCGAUGGAGAAGAGAUUCAAGGUAUACGUGUACAAGGAAGGGGAGCCACCGAUAGUCCACGACUUACCGUGCAAGGACAUAUAGACGGUAGAAGGGAGGUUCAUACACGAGAUGGAGCACGGGUCGAGCGGCCGUAAGUUGAAGACGGAAGACCCAUGGAGAGCCCACGCCUACUUCAUGCCUUUCAGCGUAACGUGGAUGGUCAAGUAUCUCUACACCCCACUCUCUUACGAUCUCGCCCCUCUCCGGCGCUUUGUGGCUGAUUACGUUACAGUCAUCUCCUCCAAAUACCCCUUCUGGAACCGGACUCUCAGCGCCGACAAUUUCAUGCUUGCUAGCCACGAUUGGGUCGGUACUAUUAUAUCCUUGCCAUUCUUGCUUGCCAAUAAAUGUACUUUUCCCCUACCAUAUGCUUGAAAAAGGUAAUAUAUUUUGUUACAGGGUCCCAUGCAUCAAAAGGCAAUCAACUAGUCCAAGACAAGUCAAUCAGAGUCCUCUGCAACGCCAACACUUCCGAAGGAUUUAACCCAAGAAAAGACGUCAGCCUACCCGAAAUCCACCUCUACGGCGGAAACAUACCCACCGAGCUCCUCCUCUCUCCUCAGCCCAAAUCCCACCGCCGUCCUUACCUCGAAUUCUUCGCCCGAGGCCUCCACGGUCCAAUCCGCCCAAUCCUCCUCAGCCACUGGCGAAACCGAAACGACCCACAACUCAAAGUCUUCGAGUACCUACCCAAGAACGUAAGCUACUACUCCUUGAUGUUAAAAUCCAAGUUCUGCCUCUGCCCGAGCGGCCACGAGGUCGCCAGCCCGAGAAUUGUGGAGGCCAUCUACGCCGACUGCGUCCCCGUCAUCCUGUCGGAGAACUACGUGCUUCCCUUUAGCGACGUGCUGAGGUGGCAGGUCUUCUCGGUGGAAGUUCACGUGGCAGAGAUUCCGAUGCUGAAAGAGAUUCUGGGUUCGAUACCGGAGGAGGAAUAUUCGAGGCUUAAGAAGGGGGUGCGUGCUGUGAGGAAGCAUUUUGUGUUGAACCAGCCGGCGAAGAGGUUCGAUGUUUUUCAUAUGAUUCUGCACUCCGUUUGGCUGAGGAGACUCGAUAUCAAGCUCUAGAUAGAUAGAUAGAUAGACAUAGGUUUUGAUUUUUGGACUGGUUGCUGCUUAGUUUGUUGGUAAUUAGGCUUGAUGAGAGUGAUAGAUGACGACGAUCAUGCUAAUGCAAACUUACGUUGUUUUUUCACAAAAUAAAACGGAUUGAUUGGGUUUAUAACAUUUUGUACUCAGUUCGGUUGAUUGAUUGUAUGAUCAUGAAUUGCGCUUUCUAAAAUAAAUAUCAAAGGGCUAUGAAAAGAAUAUUAAAGCCAUAACAUAAUUUUACUAUUGCAUUAUAUUAGCCUCUCUUAGCUUAUCUUAUAGUUGGACUAAUUCUAAUUUAACUUUAUUUAACUAUUAUUUGAACGGUUUAAUUAUAAUAAAAUUUUAAUUUUUAGUCAUUCCCAAUAUGUAUGUCAAAUAUUAGUCAAUUUCAAAAUUUUUAAUUUUCAUGUCAAAAUUGUCUAUUCCAAAGGGGUUAACCUAUGGAAACUAACCAUUUUCACAAAAAAAUUUAAAAACUCUUAAAUCGACCAAUAUUUGACGUGCAUGUUGGAAAUAACUAAAAAAUCAAGUGGCAUCAUGGAAACCCUGGUAAACAAUGGCCAAAAGAAGCUAAAAAUCAAAUUUACUCGAUGUUAUUUUAACAUGUUGAAAAAUGGUUUUAACUUCAUUUGGCUAUCAUUUGAAGGGCUUAACAAGGUGAAACCUUAAUUUUUAGCCAUUUCCAACAUGCAUGUCAAAUAUUAGACGAUUUGAAAAUAAAGUGGCAUCAUGGUAACCCCGAUAAACAAUGGCCAAACGAAGCUAAAAAUCAAUUUUACUCAGUGUUAUUUUAAUAUGUUGAAAAAUGGUUUUAACUUCAUUUGGCUAUCAAUUGAAGGGCUUAACUAUGAUGGAAUCUUAAUUUUUAGCCAUUCCCAACAUGCAUGUCAAAUAUUAGUCAAAUUGAAAAUUUGAAAAUUUUCAUUUGAAGUUUAUCAAUUUCCAAAGGGGUUAACCUAUCGAAACUAACCAUUUUCAAAAGAAAAUUUCAAACAUUUUAAAUCGACUAAUAUUUUACAUGCAUGGCCAAAUGUAACUAGAAAGUAAUUUUACUCUGUCUUAUUUUAGCAUGCUGAAAAAUGGUUUUAACUUCAUUUGGCUAUCGUUUGAAAGGCUUAACAUGUUGAAACCUCAAUUUUUAGCCAUGCCCAACAUGCAUUUUAAAUAUUACCCAAUUUGAAAGUUUUCAAUUUUCAAGUCAAAACUGUCAAUUUCCAAAGGGGUUAACCUAUGGAAACUAGCCAUUUUUCACAAAAAUUUAAAAAAUUCCAAAUCGACUAAUAUUUGACAUGCAUAUUGAAAAUGGCUUAAAAUCAAGGGGCAUCAUUUUAACCCAAAUAAACAGUGGCCUAACGUAGCUGUAAAGUAAUUUUACUCUGUCUUAUUUUAGCAUGCUGAAAAAUGGUUUUAACUUCAUUUGGCUAUCAUUUGAAAGGCUUAACAUGUUGAAACCUCAAUUUUUAGCCAUGCCCAACAUGCAUUUUAAAUAUUACCCAAUUUGAAAGUUUUCAAUUUUCAUGGAAAAACAGUCAAUUUUCAAAGGGGUUAACCUAUGGAAANNNNNNNNNNNNNNNNNNNNNNNNNNNNNNNNNNNNNNNNNNNNNNNNNNNNNNNNNNNNNNNNNNNNNNNNNNNNNNNNNNNNNNNNNNNNNNNNNNNNNNNNNNNNNNNNNNNNNNNNNNNNNNNNNNNNNNNNNNNNNNNNNNNNNNNNNNNNNNNNNNNNNNNNNNNNNNNNNNNNNNNNNNNNNNNNNNNNNNNNNNNNNNNNNNNNNNNNNNNNNNNNNNNNNNNNNNNNNNNNNNNNNNNNNNNNNNNNNNNNNNNNNNNNNNNNNNNNNNNNNNNNNNNNNNNNNNNNNNNNNNNNNNNNNNNNNNNNNNNNNNNNNNNNNNNNNNNNNNNNNNNNNNNNNNNNNNNNNNNNNNNNNNNNNNNNNNNNNNNNNNNNNNNNNNNNNNNNNNNNNNNNNNNNNNNNNNNNNNNNNNNNNNNNNNNNNNNNNNNNNNNNNNNNNNNNNNNNNNNNNNNNNNNNNNNNNNNNNNNNNNNNNNNNNNNNNNNNNNNNNNNNNNNNNNNNNNNNNNNNNNNNNNNNNNNNNNNNNNNNNNNNNNNNNNNNNNNNNNNNNNNNNNNNNNNNNNNNNNNNNNNNNNNNNNNNNNNNNNNNNNNNNNNNNNNNNNNNNNNNNNNNNNNNNNNNNNNNNNNNNNNNNNNNNNNNNNNNNNNNNNNNNNNNNNNNNNNNNNNNNNNNNNNNNNNNNNNNNNNNNNNNNNNNNNNNNNNNNNNNNNNNNNNNNNNNNNNNNNNNNNNNNNNNNNNNNNNNNNNNNNNNNNNNNNNNNNNNNNNNNNNNNNNNNNNNNNNNNNNNNNNNNNNNNNNNNNNNNNNNNNNNNNNNNNNNNNNNNNNNNNNNNNNNNNNNNNNNNNNNNNNNNNNNNNNNNNNNNNNNNNNNNNNNNNNNNNNNNNNNNNNNNNNNNNNNNNNNNNNNNNNNNNNNNNNNNNNNNNNNNNNNNNNNNNNNNNNNNNNNNNNNNNNNNNNNNNNNNNNNNNNNNNNNNNNNNNNNNNNNNNNNNNNNNNNNNNNNNNNNNNNNNNNNNNNNNNNNNNNNNNNNNNNNNNNNNNNNNNNNNNNNNNNNNNNNNNNNNNNNNNNNNNNNNNNNNNNNNNNNNNNNNNNNNNNNNNNNNNNNNNNNNNNNNNNNNNNNNNNNNNNNNNNNNNNNNNNNNNNNNNNNNNNNNNNNNNNNNNNNNNNNNNNNNNNNNNNNNNNNNNNNNNNNNNNNNNNNNNNNNNNNNNNNNNNNNNNNNNNNNNNNNNNNNNNNNNNNNNNNNNNNNNNNNNNNNNNNNNNNNNNNNNNNNNNNNNNNNNNNNNNNNNNNNNNNNNNNNNNNNNNNNNNNNNNNNNNNNNNNNNNNNNNNNNNNNNNNNNNNNNNNNNNNNNNNNNNNNNNNNNNNNNNNNNNNNNNNNNNNNNNNNNNNNNNNNNNNNNNNNNNNNNNNNNNNNNNNNNNNNNNNNNNNNNNNNNNNNNNNNNNNNNNNNNNNNNNNNNNNNNNNNNNNNNNNNNNNNNNNNNNNNNNNNNNNNNNNNNNNNNNNNNNNNNNNNNNNNNNNNNNNNNNNNNNNNNNNNNNNNNNNNNNNNNNNNNNNNNNNNNNNNNNNNNNNNNNNNNNNNNNNNNNNNNNNNNNNNNNNNNNNNNNNNNNNNNNNNNNNNNNNNNNNNNNNNNNNNNNNNNNNNNNNNNNNNNNNNNNNNNNNNNNNNNNNNNNNNNNNNNNNNNNNNNNNNNNNNNNNNNNNNNNNNNNNNNNNNNNNNNNNNNNNNNNNNNNNNNNNNNNNNNNNNNNNNNNNNNNNNNNNNNNNNNNNNNNNNNNNNNNNNNNNNNNNNNNNNNNNNNNNNNNNNNNNNNNNNNNNNNNNNNNNNNNNNNNNNNNNNNNNNNNNNNNNNNNNNNNNNNNNNNNNNNNNNNNNNNNNNNNNNNNNNNNNNNNNNNNNNNNNNNNNNNNNNNNNNNNNNNNNNNNNNNNNNNNNNNNNNNNNNNNNNNNNNNNNNNNNNNNNNNNNNNNNNNNNNNNNNNNNNNNNNNNNNNNNNNNNNNNNNNNNNNNNNNNNNNNNNNNNNNNNNNNNNNNNNNNNNNNNNNNNNNNNNNNNNNNNNNNNNNNNNNNNNNNNNNNNNNNNNNNNNNNNNNNNNNNNNNNNNNNNNNNNNNNNNNNNNNNNNNNNNNNNNNNNNNNNNNNNNNNNNNNNNNNNNNNNNNNNNNNNNNNNNNNNNNNNNNNNNNNNNNNNNNNNNNNNNNNNNNNNNNNNNNNNNNNNNNNNNNNNNNNNNNNNNNNNNNNNNNNNNNNNNNNNNNNNNNNNNNNNNNNNNNNNNNNNNNNNNNNNNNNNNNNNNNNNNNNNNNNNNNNNNNNNNNNNNNNNNNNNNNNNNNNNNNNNNNNNNNNNNNNNNNNNNNNNNNNNNNNUACCCAAUUUGAAAGUUUUCAAUUUUCAUGUAAAAAUAGUCAAUUUUCAAAGGGGUUAAUAUAUGGAAACUGCCCUUACUCUGCUCAUUUAAGAAGUAAAUUGUUCCCUGGUAAUACUUUUCCUGGAGUUUGGGAGGAUGAAGUGGAGUGGAUGCUCAGCAAUUUCCCUGAUCCCUCUCCUGUUUCUCGUGCCGCGUACCUGGUCUGGAGAUGUAUGUGCAGUCAUCUUUGGAAGGAGAGAUGUCGUCGCAUCUUCACUGGAAUUCGGAUGGAUAGUGAUCAAUUGGGUCGACGGAUUUGUUGGGAUCUUUUUGUAGUUAAGGGUGAUAGUUGCAUUACAAGCUGCCUAGAUGCCUAUACUAAACUGAAUAUCUUCUAAAUGUAAUUAAUUCUGUAGCUGUAUAGUUUUGUCCUUCCUCUUAGUCGUCUGAGUUGACUUUGUAAACUUUGACUGUUUGGCGGUUUCGGUGAAAUAAAUUGAGAUUUACCGAAAAAAAAAA